AUACCAACGGGUUUCGAGAAGCUACAAAAUUUGACGGGUUUGAAUCUUUUCUGGAAUCAGUUGUCAGGAGAGAUACCAGCAAAUAUAAGCCUCAUUCCUACACUGGAAACCUUCAAAGUUUUUAGCAAUCAAUUGAGUGGAGUUUUACCUCCAACAUUUGGCCUUCAUUCGGAGCUCAAACUCUUUGAGGUUUCCGAGAAUAAACUAAGCAGGGAAUUACCUCAACAUUUAUGCGCUAAGGGGGCUUUGCUUGGAGUGGUCGCUUCCAACAACAAUCUCAGCGGGGAAGUGCCCAUGUCCCUCGGGAAUUGCACAAGUUUGCUCACCAUUCAGCUUUCCAACAAUUGUUUUUCAGGCGGGAUUCCUUCCGGCAUUUGGACAUCCCCGGACAUGGUAUCAGUGAUGUUAGAUGGAAACUCAUUCUCAAGGACACUUCCAAGUAAAUUGGCAAGGAAUUGUCUAGAGUGGAGAUCACUAACAGCAAGUUUUAUGGUCCAAUUCCUGCUGAAAUCUCUUCCUGGAUGAACAUCUCUGUGCUCAAUGCCAGCAACAAUAUGUUGUCUGGAAAAAUUCCAGUGGAAUUGACCAGUCUUUGGAACACCACUGUUCUGUUGCUUGAUGGGAAUCAAUUCUCGGGUGAACUUCCAUCCCAGAUCAUCUCAUGGAAGUCGCUCAAUAAGUUAAAUCUCUCAAGAAACAAACUUUCUAGCCUAAUUCCCAAGGCAUUAGAUUCUUUAACUAGCCUUAGUUACCUCGACCUGUCAGAAAACCAGUUCUCAGGUCAAAUUCCUCCUGAACUUGGCCAUUUGAACCUUAUUAUCCUCCAUCUUUCGUCCAACCAACUCUAUGGGAUGGUCGCCAUUGAGUUUCAACAUGAAGCAUAUGAAGACAGUUUCUUGAACAAUCCCAAGUUGUGUGUCAAUGUUCCCUCUCUGAACCUCCCUAGAUGUGAUGCCAAACCUGUCAACUCCGACAAAUUGUCAACCAAAUAUCUCGUUAUGAUCCUAAUUUUUGCUCUAUCUGGUUUCCUAGCUGUUGUUUUCGUCACCCUGUCCGUGGUUCAUGUCUAUCAUAGGAAGAAUCACAGUCAGGAGCAUACAGCUUGGAAAUUUACUCCAUACCAUAAACUAGAUCUCGAUGAAUACAACAUAUUGUCCAGUUUGACAUAAAAUAAUCUGAUCGGAUGUGGUGGGUCAGGGAAAGUAUACCGAAUUGCUAAUAAUCGUUCUGGUGAACUCUUAGCGGUUAAAAUGAUUUGUAAUAACAGGAGAUUGGAUCAAAAGCUUCAGAAACAAUUCGAAACAGAAGUCAAGAUAUUGAGCACCAUACGCCAUGCCAAUAUAGUGAAGUUGUUGUGUUGCAUAUCAAAUGAAACCUCAAGUCUUCUUGUUUACAAGUACAUGGAGAAGCAGAGUUUGGAUAGAUGGCUUCAUGGGAAGAAGCAAAGAACAUCGUCCAUGACAAGUUCAGUUCAUAACUUCGUCUUGGAUUGGCCAACAAGGUUGCAGAUUGCCAUUGGACCUGCAAAAGGCCUAUGCCACAUGCAUGAAUACUGUUCUGUCCCAAUCAUACAUCGAGAUGUGAAGUCCAGCAACAUCUUGCUAGAUGCCGAGUUCAAAGCGAAAAUUGUGGAUUUUGGAUUGGCUAAGACGUUGGUCAAGCAAGGAGAACCCAACACCAUGUCAGGAAUUGUAGGCUCUUACAGGUAUAUUGCCCCUGGUAAGACCAUCAAGGCCCUCCUUUCCACAUGUUUUCAUUUCCAUAAUUUAUCGAUAAUUUGUAUCAUACCAUUCUCGUAUACUUGGAUCAUAGAGUAUGCUUAUACAACAAAGGUGAACAAGAAGAUCGAUGUAUAUAGCUUUGGAGUAGUCUUGCUUGAGCUUGUGACGGGAAGAGAACCCAACAAUGGGGACGAGCACAUGUGCCUUGCAGAAUGGGCAUUGGAUCAGUUUAGAGAAAGGAAAACCAUUGAGGAAGUGGUAGACGAGGAGAUCAAGGAACAAUGUGAUAGAGCACAAGUGGCCACUCUCUUCAAACUAGGCAUUAGGUGCACUAACAAAUUACCAUCCAAUAGGUCCACAAUGAAAGAGGUUUUGAAAAUUCUUCAACAGUGCAGUCCUCAAGAGGGCCAUGGAAGAAAUAAAAAGGACCAUGAAGUUGCACCUCCACUUCAAAAUGGCACUUAUCCCACCACUUACAAGUUGUGAGGAUAAAGCCCUUAAAAACAUGAUAUUAUGUAAUAAAUUUGGAACUCAUUAUUUAUUUAACGAUGUUCUGAUUUCACUUUUAUCUAUUCUUAUUCCAUGUAUUAUACUUUAUGAGCAUUCUUGUCUGCAUCUUUUGCAUUGCACGUAACUUAGGUGCAUUAAAAGUUGCACAGAAGAUCUAGGUCAUGGGUUCCUCGCAAAUAUAUGACUUGUUCACAACCAGUUCAUGGGUCUAGGAAGCCCAUUAGAGGUUGUAAAAAACCACUUCCUAAUUGGAAGAAUGGCUAGUCUUAGCUAUUGGGAUGAGUUUUCCAUGAUAAGUGCAUUAGUGUGUAUGGUUACAUAUUGGACAAGACCUAUGGUGAAUCAUGACUUAAGGUUAUCAAGCAGUCAUGACCUCAUCAAACUGCUUCAUUGUGUUGUCUCUCAACCUUGAGAGAAUAUUGAGCUUGUACUAAAGUUAGCAAUGACUUUGACAUACAGGUGAGAUCGUAAGUUGAUCAUAUAUUCCCUAUGGAUUGAGUCACUGUUGAUGGAAGAUGGUAGCGAUAGGUAUUUUCAAUAAAAACACCAUGAUGUUUCUUGGGAUUAAGACAAUGUGCCCCUUUUGGUGAUCUUAAAGAGGUGUGUUCAUGGAAACUAUGGUCAUAGUAGUUCCUUAAGUAAAAAUCGACAUAGGCUCUUUGAGAGGUAAGACAUGUCAAUUGAAUACACAAUAGGAGGAUUUAUAACUCAAGGAUGGUAGAGGUAGUCUUGAAAGACUAAUAACUUUCACUUUGUUAGACUAUGAAUAUCAGUUCAUGGGAAGACUAAACACAAUAAAUAGCAAGUCACAAACCUGAACAUUUGGUAUCUCAUUGUUAUUUUCAAUAAAAUAACAAUGAGAUGGUAAGUUGAUCAUAUAUACCCUAUGGAUUGGGUCACUGUUGAUGGAAGAUGGUAGCAAUAGGUAUUUUCAAUAAAAGCACCAUAAUAUCUCUUGGGAUUAAGACAUUGUGCCCCCUUGGGUGAUCCUAAAGAAGUGUGUUCAUGGAAACUAUAGUCAUAGUAAUUCCUUAAGUAAAACUCAACAUAAGCUUUUUGAGAGCUAAGACAUGUCAAUUGAAUACACACUAGGAGGAUUUCUAACUCAAGGAUGAUAGAGGUAGCCUUGAAAGACUAAUAACUUUCACUUUGUUAGACUACGAACAUCAGUUCAUGGGGAGACUAAACACAAUAAAUAGCAAGUCACAAGCUCGAGCAUUUGGUAUCUCAUUGUUAUUUACAUAGGAUACCGGAGUUCAAUUGAUUCUUUGUAGUGGGAUGUUGAAUCAACUUUAGAAUUGGAUUUUGAGAGAGUCGGUAUUCCUAUGGGUCCCAAUGGUCCUUACUCUAAGCUUAUAUACUUUGUUGGCAAGGAUUAUAAGAGUCGGAUUAGCUCUAGGUUUACUUUUGUACAUAAGGGCAUUUUGAUAAUUACGCAAGGUUACACAAAGGUAAAUGAACAAGGUUUUUAGAUUGGGUUAAUUGAUUAAUUAGUAGGCCCUGUUUGGUUAAUUAAUCAAUUAGGACUUUCUAUAUUAAGUGACCUAAGCCCUUAGUGGGCUCAAGUCACUUAAACCUAAUAGAAAACCCUAUAAAUACCCCCUUAAGGGUUAGAGUUUAUAUAGUUUUUCUAAAAAGCCAUCUUCUAUCUCUAAAGAGAAAGAGAAAGAGUCAUAGCAUCCACCCUCCCUUCUAUCUCCACUAGAAGUGUGUCGAUCAAGGUUCAAGUCAUUGGGAGGAAAACUUUGAAUUUACGAGACUUCUGCGAUUUCGUUCUUCAUUUUCACAAUGUGGAUUUGAUUCGAGAACAUCCGAAUUUGAGGUAUGGUUUUCAUUAGCACUUUUUGAAUCCCUUUAAAGUUUAAAAAUGUUAUUUUUCCGUUGUGCAUAGGAUUAAUUUAGAAAAUGCUUAGAAUAGUUAUGCAAGUUCCUAACCUGAUCUGAGCUUAGGAAAUGGAGAGAACCUAGUUUUUUCCCUUAAUGUUUGUGCUCCAAAGUGUUGAGAUAGUUUAGAGGGUGACAUGAUGAUUGACAUAAUACCUUAUGUGGAGAACCUAGUGAAUCCCUUCUCCAAGACAUUGAUAGGGAGAGUCUUUGUUAGUCACAUGGAUAGCAUAGGUUUUAAAUGAGUAUUUGGCAUGCUUUAAAGGCAUGAUGCUUUGAGGGCUAAUGGGAGAAUGUUAGGAUAAAGCCCUUAAAAGCAUGACAUGAUGUAAAAAAUUUGGAAUUCAUUAUUUAUUUAAUGAUGUUCUAGUUUCACUUUUAUCAAUCCUUAUUCCAUGUAUUAUACUUUAUGAGCAUUCUUAUUUGCAUUUUUUGCAUUGUACAUGACUUAAGUGCAUUAGGAGUUACAUAGAAGAUCUAAGUCAUGGGUUUCUUGCAAAUAAAUGACUUGUUCACAACUGAUUCAUGGGUCUAGGCAACCCACUAGAGGUUGUAGUGCAUCAUACCACCUUCUAAUUGGAGGGAUGACUAGUCUUAAUUAUCAGGAUGAGUUUCCCAUGGUGAGUGCAUUACUGUGUAUGGUUACACAUUAGACAAGACCUAUGGUGAGUCAUGACUUAAGGCUAUCAAGUAGUCAUGACCUUACCAACCAACUUCAUUGUGUUAUCUCUCAACCUUAAAAGAAUAUUCAGUUUAUACUAAAGUUAAUAAACUGAAGUUAGCAAUGGCUUUGACAUACGAGUGAGAUCAUAAGCUAAUCAUAUAUUCCCUAUGGAUUGGGUCAUUAUUGAUGGAAGGCGUGAAAGGCAGACGCCCGGGCACGCAAAGCCCGUCUCAACGAACGGGAGGAGAAAAGGCAAGAAGGAACUUUGCGGAAGGCUCUUGGUGAUAAACGCCCCGCAUCCCCUCCACCUGCUGGCGCACUAGAUAAAAAGAAGAAGAAGCAGGUUUUCAACAAGGGAAAAGAAAUAAAACUCUCAUCUCCCCCAAAGGAAGUUGUAAUACCACCUCCAACUUUCGUAAGAGGAAUAACAAUAAGAACGCCAGAUCUCUCCGUUUUGCCCUCUGUUUCAAGCGGCUCCAGACAUAUCGCGUAUCUAAAUGGAUCGGGGCCUUCAGUGCCAGUGCCAGCGGCUAGACGGCUGGCUCUUCUGGCUGAGGAAGCGACUUCAGUGAAUCAGCCCGACUCUCCUUAUCCGGACGCGAAUGUAGCCGGGGCCUCUUGUACUUAAACGUUGCUUCUUAUGGCGCCUUUAACGGAAGAAACAGGGGUUGAAAGUCAGGGUUUGCCUCAUUGCGAACCAAGCUUCCUUGCCCUUGUACCGGUGAAGGGGCCAGCUAUAAGGAGGUCUCAUCCGGCCCGUGAUUUAAAGUCUGGCAUUAGCGGGCGGCUUCAGGACAUUCUUCUGGAAACCAUCGAAGUCAGCUGCUCAUCCGCCCAGGAGGAUCAUCCGGAGGAGAGUGAGACGGAGAUGGCAGAAGAGAACCCAACCGCCCCGGUGCUGGUCCCGGAUGAGGGUUCACCCGAAGAGAUCCAGCCGGCCGUGAAUAAUGGGGCCCUAGAUCCGAGGGAGGAGUCACACCCUACCGCCUCGUCAAGGGGAAGUCUAGUUGAUGAUGCGGCUUGCAUCUCCGCUAGCCCUUUCAAUUAUGCGGAGUUGGGAGAGAUGCUGAAACGGAUUCCACCCGGCUCAGAUGUUGAUGUGCCUUCAGCAAAAAUGUUUGAAGUGGCGGAAAUGGUAUAGUUUUACUUCUUGAUUUUUCUUGCCAUACUGAUGUGUUUGUCACAUGGGUUGUAAUUUUGUACUUCUUGUUUGUGGGUUUUUCUGCAGCUGGUGAGCGGUAUUCGUGGCAUGGCUUAACAACAUGAUCUUUUUUCAGACCUGCUGCGUACUGCCGAUUAUAUGAAGGUCUUCGUCUCCCAUCGCAUAAACAGUAAAGAAGAACUGCGCUUGAGAUUGGAGCAGGCCGAAGCUAGUUUAUCCGCUGCCCGGAGGGCCUCUGAAGAGAGUGUCGAAGCUUUGAAGAAAUCCCAAGAGGACAACGAGGUUCUCCGGGUAGAGCUAGCUGAGCCAAAGAGUCGGGAGGAAUCUACAGACGCCCGUCUGCAUGAGGCGGAGGGUGAGAUGGCCCAGUUGAGGGGAGAAGUGAGGCAACUCCGGACAGAGGUGUCCAUUGAGAAAAAGCAGAGAGAGGACUUGCAGUUGCGUUUAUCAGCGCAAAAAGAAGAGUUCGAGGCUGAGUUUGCUGCGAAAAGGGAGGAACUCGAGACGAACUACCAGAAGUAGGUAGAUGAGAUGUAUAUCUUUGGCUACCGCUGUUGCAUGAAGAAGCAUGGCAUCAAACGGGACGUCCCUUCGAUUCCCCCGGGUGAGGAAGAAAAGUUGCGUCGCAAGCCCUCCCAAUGAGAGUUUUUCUUUUUUUAUCUUUUAUUGCUUUUUUCUUUUUGUAUUUUGUAGUCCGGAGAACCUUUUUUGUAUACAAUUUUCACAAGUAUUAAUAAAACAUACUCAUUCACAUUGUACUUGUAUCUUUCUUUCAUUAGUAAUACUGCUUUAAAUUGGACACAUUCCAUGGUCGGAGCAAUGGGGUUCCAUCUAGCUUUUGUAGAUGAUAGACUCCAUUUUCACUUGUCUUGGAUACUAUAUAGGGGCCUUCCCAAUUGGCUUGAAACUUUCCUGCUCCUGUCUCAACAGUGUUUUCGAAAACCUUCCUAAAGACCAGCAUUCCACUUUUGAAACUUCUGGGCCUUGCUUUGCGAUUGUAGUGAGCGGCUGCCCUUUGUUGAUAGUCUGCCAUCCGGAUGGAUGCGGUUUCUCUUACUUCGUCUGCCCAGUCCAAGUUUCUUCCUAACUUCGCACUUGCAUUAUCCUGACUUCCUGCCUCGGUCCGGAUAGUGGGUAGCCCUAUUUCAGUAAGAAUGACUGCGUCCAUACCGUAUGCGAGGGCGAAGGGAGUGUUUCCUGUCGGACGUCCGGGUGUGGUUCGAUAAGCCCACAGGACGCCGGGUAGCUCCUCUACCCAUUUCCCUUUGGCUUGCUCGAGCCUCUUCUUUAAGGCAGUUAUUAGGGUCUUGUUUGUGGCCUCUGCUUGUCCAUUGCUUUGAGGAUAACGCGGUGUGGAGUAUGCAUUUCGGAUGUUUAGUUCCGAAUAGAAAUCCCGAAAAGUUUUGCUAUCGAAUUGUGGACCGUUGUAGGCUAUAAUGGUUUGGGGGAUUCCAAAGCGGCAGAUGAUGUUCUUCCAUACGAACUUGGUGACAUCUUUGUCUUUGAUGCUAGCGUAUGCUUCUACUUCCACCCAUUUACUGAAGUAAUCCAUGGCGACGAGUAGGAAUUUUUUCUGGGCAGCUGCGGCUGGUAGGGGUCCUACUAUGUCCAUGCCCCACUGCGCGAAAGGCCAGGGACCUGAAAUUGGUUUCCACGUCUCCGACGGCACAUGUGGUAUGGGGACAUGCCUUUGACAUUUGUCACAUUUUUUUACGUAGGCUGCCGCAUCCUUUUUCAUCGUGGGCCAGUAAUACCCUUGCGAAUAGGCCCUGUGCGCCAGAGAUCGACCUCCAGAAUGAUUUCCACAUACUCCCUCGUGCAAUUCAGCUAAUACAUACAGGGCCUCUUAGUGGUUUAGGCACCGGAGAUAGGGACCUGUGAAGGACUGUUUAUACAAAUGCCCCCCAAUCAGGGUGAAACGGGCGGCUUGUAGCUUGUGUGUCUGCUUGGGCUCUUCGAGCAGAGUGCCUGUCUGGAGGUACCUUAUAAUGUCUUCCGUCCACUCUUGGCCGUCUGCUUGGUUUGCCUCAAUGGUAUUGCAAAUGGAAGCUUCUGUGACGGAAGGGUUGACUUGCACAUGUAUAGGCAACAAUAUGGCUUCUUUGAUGGGGAGGGAGGCAGCUAUGCCUGCCAGGGCGUCGACACGUCCAUUUUCAGCUCGUUUAAUUUUUUCGAUCGUCCAUUCGGUGAACCGUUGUAAGGUGUCCCUUACUUUAGUCAGAUACAGUGCCAUGCGCGCAUUCUUAGCUUCGUAUUCCUUUUGGACGUGCCUUACCACGAGUUGAGAAUCACUAUAGACCCGGAGCCUUGAGACGGAUAGAGCCAGGACGAGGUCCAAUCCGAAUAGAAUGGCCUUAUACUCCGCUUCAUUGUUAGAGACGGGAAACCCCAGCCGGAUGGCUUGCUCCAGAUGUUCUCCUGUUGGGGACUAUAGCAGGAGCCCUACUCCGGAUCCUGAUGAUCAGGAGGUUCCAUCGACCCGCAAAGUCCACCACUCUUUUUCACUUGGUUCCUUGUGCUGGGUAGGCUUUUGGGAGUAUUCCAGCACAAAGUCAGCCAUCACUUGACCUUUCAUGGACAACCUGGGUUGGAACUCAAUUCCAUAUUCGCUCAACUCUAUGGCCCAUUGAAGCAUUCUUCUGGUUAGGUCCGGCUUAUGCAAAAUGUUGCAAAGAGGUUGGUCUGUUAGCACGACCACCGGGUGGGCUUGGAAGUAAGGGCGGAGCUUCUAGGCGGCACUUCAAAGAGCUAAGGUCAUUAGCUCCAUCUUUGAAUACCUGGUUUCUACGUCCGUCAACGCUCUGCUGACGUAGUAGAUAGGUUUCUGCUCCUUAGGUGAGGAGCAGCAGAAUAGAACAACGCUAAUUGCUCACUCCGAUACAGCCAAAUACAUAUACAAUUUUUCUUCAGGGAGGGGGUUGCUUAGGAUGGGCGGUUGCAUGAGGCAGUGUUUAAUUUUUUUCAAAAGCGCUCUAACAGCUGUCUGUCCAUCCGCUUGCUCCAUUUUUUCAUAUUGCCAAGAAGAAAGGUCGCAGUUCAUCAAUGAAGCGGGCUAUAAAGCGUCCUAGCGCGACGAGCUUGCCUAUGAGGCGCUAUAAUUCCUUCUUGCUCCUGGGGGGUGGUGUUUCCAUGACUGCCUUGACUUGAUCCGGGCUGACCUCUAUCCCCCUUUGGCUGACCAUAAAUCCUAGGAAUUUGCCAGCACUUACGCCAAAGGCGUAUUUAGAAGGAUUCAACCUCAUGUCAUACUUCUUUAAGAGGUGGAAGACUUCUUGCAAGUGGAGGACAUGUUCCUCUCGGGUUUUGCUUUUAACCACGAUAUCGUCAAUAUAUACCUCUACUGUGCGGCUGACCAGAGGUUUGAAGAUCUUUGUCAUCAGUCUCUAAUAAGUGGCGCCAGCGUUUUUGAGUCCGAACGGCAUGACUUUGUAGCAAUAAAGGUCGUGUGGUGUUAUGAAGGCUGUCUUUUCUUCGUCAGCCAGGGACAUGGGGAUUUGGUGGUAUCCGGAGAAGGCGUCCAAGAAGGAAAGCAUCCCUUGCCCAGUAGUGGAGUCCACAAUUUGAUCUAUCCGUGGCAAAGGGAAACUGUCUUUUGGGCAUGCAUUAUUGAGGUUGGUGUAGUCGACGCACACCCGCCAUUUGCCUUCUUUUUUGGGUACCACCACUACAUUUGCCAACCAGUCCAGGUAAUCCACUUCUCUGAUGAAUCCGACUUCUAACAAAUUGUCAAUCUCAUUCCAGAUAAUUUUUUGUCUGUCCGGGUGAAAACGUCUAACCCUCUGUCAGACGAGUCUUGCUAUGGGCAAGACAUUAAGCUUAUGGGAGACGAUGGAGGGGUGAAUCCCCUUCAUAUCAUAAUGCGCCCAUGCGAAAAUGUCAUGGCUUUGUUGGAGGGCGUUUUGGAUGUUCCGGGUCUCUUCUAGAGUUAGGAGAGAACUGAUAUAUGUAAGGUGAGUAAGUACCUUCUUUCGAAAUUUGGAUCGCCUGCAAGGGAUCCGCUUCCGGGGGAUCUUUGUCUGUCAGACUCAAUAAUUGCUAUUGGUCACGUGCAUGGCUGGACUCAGGGAGGGAUGCAUCCUCCUGGCUGGUCUCUGCUUCUCGUGCUAUCUAGUAGCAUUGGUGAGCAGCUAACUGGCUGCCGUAUAAGUCAAUUUGCCCAUCCUUGGUAAGGAAGCUUACCAUUUGAUGAUAUGUAGAGGGGAUGGCUUUCAUGUAGUGCAGCCAUGUGCGCCCCAAGAUGACAUUGAAGGAUGAUAAGUCUUGUACCACCAAAAAUUGUACGUUGAGAAUGACUAGGUCAGCUUGGACCGGCAGUACAAUGUCUCCCAAUGAAGUAGUUGACGCCCCGUUGAAUCCGGACAAGAUUCGCCCAGGUUUUUCGAGGCCUGUGAGACUGUGCCCCAUGUGGCUAACGACCGAUGCUUGUACAAGAUCGGCCAAGCUGCACGGGUCAAUUAGGAUGCGUCGCACGUCGAAAUCUCCUAUCUCUAGGGACAGGAUGAGGGCGUCGCGGUGCGGCUGUAAUAUCCGGGUGGGGUCUACUGGUAGGAAAAUGAUUGUCCCAUCUAUGGGGCGAGGGCCCCCCCAGUUAUCCUAGGCCGGAUGGAGUUGACACACUCGCGCACCGAUGCUGGUCGCAACAACUUUUGUCUCUUUCGUUUGGAAUCGUACUCCUCGUCGGAUGGGCCUCCGUUAAUAUAGUUUAUAACGGCUUUAGAGGUGGUUGGGGCCCUAGGGGCUCCAGAGUUGUGAUUUCGAGAAGCGUCUUCACCUCUGGCAUCUGAGCGGAGGUAUUGCUUUAAAUGUCCCGCCUUUAUGAGCCUUUCGACCAAAUGAUGGAGACACCUGCACGCCUCCGUUGUGUGACCAUGCUCCUUAUGGAAGACACCUGAACUCUCCUCUGGGAUUCAGCAAUUUAUGAAUGUAUCUUUAGGCCCAUGUAGAUAAAUCCAUGCUUGGUGGUAGUAUGCUUAUUGAUGAUAGUCUAGAGAUGUGGAAAUCAAAUGAUUCUGAUGAACUAAAUUUGAUGCGUGAUGAGAUAGAUGACGUGUUAUCUAAGGAUCACAAAGUUCAUCAAUAGAAACUCGUUUGAUGAUGCGUCAAUCUGAUGGAGAGAAUCCGUUGAUAAAAAAUGAUGAAAUGCCAAUUUGAAGAUAAUGACUGCGAUUCAUCUCCGAAGAUGAAUCUAAUGAGAACGUUCAGGAUUCAGAAAUGGAGAGCUAUAAUGGCAGUGGUGAUUUGCAACAACAUCGAUCUCUGGUGGCAGUGACAGCAAACUCUAAUGGUGGUAAACUACGCCGACAGAGACAAUCUCCAUGAAUUGCGCAACAAACUUCAAUGGCGAUCUCCAGUGGUGGUGAUGAAUUCUCCUACAACAAUGAACUCUCAUUCUCCUGUAGAGAUGAACUCUCAGAUGUCGGUGAAUUAUUUUUAUAUAUUUUUUUAAUAAAUUUUAAAUGAAAUAAAAUAAAUAAAUAAAUUUUAAAUCAAUAAAUUAAUUUUAUAUAUUUUUUUAAACUCAUUUAACUUAUUUUAAAUUUUCAAUUAUAAAAUUAAAUAAUUUGAAAAUAUAUAAAUUUAUAACUAAUUUUAAUUAUAUUUUAUUUUCUUUUAUAAUUUUCAUAUAUAGUAUAACCAAUACCAAUGUUUUCAAAAUCAGACCGCUGCUUGAACCGGAAAAGUUACCGGUUCACGAUUCACGAUUCACGAUUCAUUAAUUGAACUGGUGGUCAAACCGUAGUCAAAUCAAUGACAUCAUAAAUAAUAAUUUUUUUCUUUUUUCUCACUAACUAAUCCCACAUCGGAAAUGGAUAAAAAAUAUGUAGGAAUUGUGGUAUAAAAGGCAAGCUAGAAUCAUUAACUUGCAAGACUAAAAGCUUAUUGGGCUUGAUGACAAACAAGUUGGAUGGGCUCCUCAUGGAGUGAUCCGGUUCUCUUAUGGUAUCAAAACCUUUUUUUUUUUGUUUUAAAAUAAAUAAAUAAAUAAAUUGUUCGGUUCGCUAAGAAUCGCCUGGUUGGGGCGGUUCACUAGCUCAACCACUGGUUUGAUGCCCAAACGGUUUUUUGGGUGGACCAAACUGGUUUUGUUACCGAUCGGACCAACUGGUCCGGUCCAAUUUUUAAAUCAUUAUCAAAUACAAUAAAAUAAUUUUUUUUAACAUUUUUUUUAUUUUUUUAGUACUUCUCAAAAAUCAAACAUAAUCAUAAGACUAAUCAUAUUUUUUAUCAUAAUAUCAUUCGAAGACAAUGCCCCAAGUGAGAAUCCCAAAACUUUUCAAUGUUUUACUAAUAUUAAGAUUUUGAAAAUCUAUACAAUUUAUUUUUCUUUUUCUUUUUUUAAUAUUUGGAUGAUAGUGCAUGAGUAUACAAGAAAGGUCAACGCAAAGAUCAAUGUCUACAAUCUUGAAAUUGCACUUCCAGAGUUGGGCCCUAAAAGAGAACCCAAUAAGGGGAAGGGGCAGCGUAUAAACCUUGUUCAAUGGGCAUGAAAACACCUUGGAGAAGGAAAGUCAUUCCUCUACCGGUUGACUAAUAAUUUGAUGGUAAUGACAGUAGUUCGGAUCAUUAACAUGACUCAUUUCUUCUAAACAUUUGCACUUAGGUAGCUCAAUAACUUUUUUAUGGAAUAGGUCUUCCAACAUGUUAGGCACAUCAGAGUCAGGAAAAUGAUAUUUCUUAUCCUUUAAUUCCUUCAAGGUGAAUCGACGCCUCUCAUUUUCCUAAAUUGGUCUAGUCUCUCUUACUUCCUUCUUUUUAUCUCGUGCUGAGAUUUUGAUGGGCGUUAUAUUUACUGUCAUUGACUUGUGGAUGGGUUUUAUUGAGGCCCGAUCACUUGUUUUCUCAUCAUGUCUCUCUCUUUACCGAUCAACAAUUAAUAAGGUCUUUUUUAGCACCAUGGUUAGCUAUGUUGAGCUUCAUGUCAUGUGCUCAAGUAGUUAACUGUUCAAAAAUGUGAGGUCAUAUCCCUUAGAGGAUGUACAAAACACCCCAAUGCAUUCCUUGUAUGCACAUUUCCAUGGCUGAUACAUCAAAUAAUCUAUCUUUGUAGUCGAAACUUAAAGAACGCCAAUGAUUGACGUAGUUUACGACCGGCUCAUAUUUCCAUUGCUUAGUAUUAGUAAGCUCCAUCAUGCUUACAGUCCGUCGGGUGCUAUAGAAAUGGUUGAGGAAUUUGCAUUCCAUUUGGCUCUAACUAUCGAUACACUUAGGUGUAAGGUCUAUGUACUAAUGAAAGCAUUCCCUCAAAAGGAACGAACAAAUUGUUUAACUAACAAGUCACUAUGUGCACUUGCAUUGUUAGAAGUUUUAACGAAAUGACAUGUUGUUUUGGAUUUCUCUUCCCAUAAAAUGAUUGAAACUUUGGAGGUUGAUAACCUACAAGCAUACAUAGGUUAUCAAUCCUCUUAGUGUAAGGUUUAGAGUACAUAAGUGUACUCUGUGAGGGUCCAUCGUACCGCACUCUAAUGGUGUUAGUUAUUAUGUCUUGAAGUUGCUAGACAGAUAACAACUCCAUCGAGGCAAAUUCCAUCAUUUUUCUUUCGACUUGCACUGUUCUAGAUGCAUGUGGUGCAUCAUCGAGAAGAGAUGCAACAUUCAAAAGGUGGUUAAGUCUUUAACUUGACUCACUUGUAUUUUGUACUUGUGCCUCAACCUUGUUUAUGAGAGAGGCUAUCUGCAUAUCAUUCUCCUCGACUAUCGUAGUGAAUUUGGUAAUGGUGUCAGUCAUCUCUACCAAUUGUUCCUCUAUAGAUGUAGUACCAACUGUCAUUACCGGCAUAGUCAUUGAGAUGAGAAAAAUAAAAUAGUCGAAAUGAUUGGAGUAGUUUUCCUCAUUCGACAUUCCAAUUGGUGAUUCGGAGUGUGAGCUGGUGCUAGAGUUAAUAUUGGUAAUAAAGCAAGGAGACUCAUCCCGAAAGUCCUUUAGUGCUAAAGAGAGUUUUCCCCUACUAUGAGGAUUGUGGCUCUUUGCCCCUAAGGAGGCCAAAGUGAUGAAUGGUUGGUGUUCAUCAUGUGUCCUUACCGAUUUUAGUAGACAAGUAGACCUAUUUAUUUCGUUGAAAGUGAAGAUGUUGAUUUUGAUUUGCUACGAGUCAUGGGACCCAUAGCAGUGUUGUGUGUUGAUUAUGCAAUGAUGAUCUUGUCAUUGUCCUUGUUGACAUGCACAACUUGAGUUCUUUUGGAUAUCAUCAACGUAGUAGAGAUCAAUCUUCUAACAAAAGAUAUGAGAGGCAGAGAGAUCCCAUCAAACAUGCUAGAAAUUUGUAUGCACAAAUUUCAUAAAGGUCCUGCAAAAUUAGCAAAACAAUACGAAAAUAAUGUGAACAAAAUAUUUAUCAAAAUUAAAAAUAUUGUGGUAUAAUAUAAAAAAUAAUACUCUUUACAAAACAAUAUUUUUUUCUCUAAUUUUUUUUGCCUUGAUCACAAUUUGAAAGACGACAAUGUCGUUUUCUUAUUUUGAAGAUUAAUUGAGGGCCACAAGUGACUUAUUCCUAAAUGAACACGUUGAAUGAUGAAGAACGCAUGUAGCAAUUCUAUCAUUUGCCGAACCUAUAGGGAGAUUCGAUGAUUUUUUUUUUUUUUUUUUUUUGUAAAGCCUUUUUUCCCAUACAAAGUUACCUCUAGAUUUUCUUCUUUAGGAUUUUCUUUUCUAGAUUUUUCUAAUUUUUGAGUUUCUCCCAUUUCUUGAAAGAAUUCACCUCUAUUUAUAGGUGAAGGUAGGAAAUUCGAAUUUUGAAUUCCCAAAUUUUAGUUGCUUAAUUCAAGGAAUUUAGUUAACUUUUCUUCUUGAGAAGGUUUCUCAUGAUGAUGAUGAUGAUAAUAAUAAUAAUAAUAAUAAUAAUAAUAUUUUUUUAAUUAUCAUUAUUAUUAUAUUUUCGAUUUUUUUAGGAAACUUAUUCGUAAUAGGAUAUUUAUUUAUUUAUUUAUUUUGAAUAUCAAAUUAGUGGUAAUUAAUCCACUAAAAUUUUUAUGUCUACAUCCUUAUCCACAAGUGUAGAGACAAAUAUGUCGUAAGUAAAUAAACUAUGAAUGACUUCAUUUGAGCUUAAAAUAAUAAAUUAAGCAAAUAAGCAUGUAGUAAAAUUAGAACUUACGACCCUCCUACUAAAUAAAGCUCUAAUAAUAUGUUGGAUAAUUGAUUUUUUUAAAAGCUUAAACUUAAGAUUUGCAUCCCGAUGGAUGUGCAUCAUGUUUUCUAAUAAUAUAUCACAUACUUUUCUAGAUUUUAUGUUAGACUUGUGAUUACUUCUCUAAAUUAAUUUUUCAGCAUAUUGUAUAUAUGCAUUUGUUAGGAUGAAUCAAUUAUCAAUCAAUGCAGAAAUACAAGUACUCCUCAUAGAGCCUCUCUACUUAUUUCCACUACAACAGCUUAGUUGGUUGAACUUAAAAGAAUUCCUAAGUGCUUUCACAAAUGUUUUGAACUUCAAACCUGCACAAAGAUGGAAACCAUAUCAUUGAAAUAAUUAAAACAAAUCAACUGAAAUCAAACUGCUAUUGCCUUGUUUAAAAAUUUAAAGAAAAAAACAAAAAAAAAAUCAUGGGCUUUUACGCAAAACUUAACAGUAGGGUUCCCAAAGUUCAUUAUUCAGAAUACUAACAAGUGUCAUGUAUCAGUUCAACUCGGCACCUUCUUCCAUAAAUAAAUUAUAUUUGCUUUGGAAGAAAACUUGAGUUUUGAACAAAUAUAAUAUAUUUGAAAAAAAAAUCCAUAAAAUGGAUCUUCAAUCAAAAUAAUUCUCAAAAUAGUGUAUUUGUACUUGGGCAUCCAAAUAGUUUGAGAAUAUUUUUUAUGUGAUAAAAUCCUAAUUGAUAACUAUGAUUUUAAUUUAUUUUUUUUAAAUAUAAAACCGCUGUUGGUAAUUAUAGUUUUAACCAUUUUAAAAGAAAAUUCAAAAUCAUAAUUAACAACUAUAGUUUUAUAAGGUGGAUAUGUUAGCUCUUUUCUUAUAAUGUGUGAUCAUAUAUAAUUAUAUUUGUGUAAAUAUUAUUUAAGAGUAUCAAUUGAUAGAUAGGUGAAUCAAUUGAUUGGGCAUUCAAGAGUCUUAUGUAUGGAAGACUCAAAUUAUAAAUGGGGAGUUAGAAAAUUUAAUUUAUAUGAAUGUGGUGUUUAUAACCCCAUCAUUAUGAAAUUUAUUUUGUACAUUAUAUUUAUGAGUAAUAGAGGAAAAUGAAAAACUAUAACCUAUGCAUUUAUAUAAAUGCAUUCAAGUUCAUAACUCACCAUUACCCAUUAAUUUGUACAUAAUAGGUGUAAAUAAUGAGUAUAACUCUCGUAUAAUCUUUUAUAAGAAGACUAAGAGAUGUACAACUUUUUAUAAGUUAAGGUCUCAAGUCACAUUCUCAUUCUUAUGUCAUUUUGUUGUUUUAUUUUUUAACAACAUACACCACAUAAGUGACUCAUCCACUAUAUGAGAGUAGUGAGUUGAAGACUUUGACAAUACAAUUCACAAAAUGAUUCAAUUUCACUUCAAAAAUGAUAUUGAUAUUAUGGAUCAAGGUAAGAAUAUGAUCAUUAUUUUAAUAUUUAUAUUUAUUUUGUUUUAUGCAUUCAAAAUUAUUUUUUUUUAAAUAAUGAUUUCCACAUAAAGUUUAUAAAAGUUUAGUUAACAGGAAACCCAUGUGGAUGAGAUGCACUAAAAUUAUUCUGAGAUGGAAUCUAACCUGUGGAAUUUUUUUUAAAUAAAUUAUUUUUGUUCAAAACUUAGAAAAAAAAACUUGUUGAAAACUAAAUUCAACUAUACACUUUCGUAUUUUUCUUUUUAUAAGAUCAAAUCCACGUUAUCACUUUUCCACUAGAAUCCUCAUGAUUAAUUGUAGAAUUCUUGAGAUGAAAUGAAAUGGUUGUUGAAACUUCAGUUUUCAAUCUUGAUCAAUGUUGUCCCUUCCCUUAGCUGUGCAUUAUUCCAAUGCCAGUUUUUCUCCACAAACUUAGUCCAGAGACAAGAUUAGAUUCCGUGUGGAACCAUUCAUGUGUGGAUCCCGUUGUGAGACUUGACCAUCAAUAUCCUUCUCUCCAUUUGUGGGGUACUGCCCACGUGACCACUGCUUUGGAAAUUUGAGUAACACACCUAAAUUCUCAAAGACCCAAAACUACAGAUUUCUGCUUCAUCUUUCUCCUCAUUCAUGUGCACCUUUUCAAAGUAUUCAGUGGAGAUUGGCCCCAUCAGUCACGUUUUCCAUAAUGCAUGGUUACGUCACCAUCCAUUUGCUAAGUUGUCAUGCCUUUUUUCUACACCAACUCAGAAACCCCACCCGGCUGGUAUGGUUUUCAUUUUUUAUUUAUUUAUUUUUUUUAACCAAUAUAAAUAAGGCAUGAACCCAUCCAUUUUCAUAUCUGUACCUAAUGUUAAUAUUAAGUGAUUCUACUUAAAAAUACUUUUAGUUUAUAUUAUUAUUAUCUGUAAUACUUUUAUUAUUUAGAGAUAAUUACUUAAUAUUUAAAUAUAUAAAUAAGAAAAAAAAUUCAAAAAAACAUCCAUCAAUAUAUAAUAUAACAAAUUAUUGUCUUUAAAACCUAAUUUUUAGCAUAAAAAAAAGGUAUUUUAUCUCACUCAAAGUUACUCCCAAAUCAACUCUUAAGGAUUGUUUGAAAUUGCAAAUUUAACUUUUAUAUUGAUAAAUAAAAGAGGUAAAAGUAAUUGUUAUGUUUGAAAAUUAUAUGUCAAAAAUAUUGUUAUUAAAGAGAAAGAUAAUUUUGAAAUUUUUAGUUAAAUAAAAAUUUUCUAAAAUAUAUAUAUAUAUAUAUAUAUAUAUAUAUAUAUAUAUAUAUAUAUAUAUAUAUAUAUUUAAUGCAUAUGAAUUUCUAUUCACAUCCAAUUAUGAUCUAAUAUUCUUAUAUAAAACCUCAUUCAAUUUAACAUGAGUAUAAUUACUUAUUUUAUUAUUUAUUAAUAUAUAUUAUAAUUAAUUAAUUAAUUUAUUUAUUUUAAAAAAAAAAACUAUGAAUGAUUGAUAUUUCCAUAAAAUCAAAACGUGAUGUAGACUAAUUGGUGCCUAGCGUUGACCCAAAGUCAAGUCUUUUCUCUAGUGUGGCAUUUUACACAUUUAUUUAUGAUUACCAAGACUUGGAAAAGCAACAUUAGGAAUUGGUGUUCCCCAAUUUUUUGUCAUCAGGUUUAAAAGAUAAAAUAGAGGGUAAGACAUGGAUUUAAAUUUUAUAAUCAGAUUAAAAAACCGAAAACAAUAUCUAUAAUCAAACAAUUUCACAUGUGUUUUGAAGUUUUAUUGUUUUAUUUAUUUAUAGAUUGAUUCAACAACCUAAAUUUUAUUAUAUAUAUUUAAUGAUUUAGAUUUUUUAUUUUAUAUGUAUAUUCUCUCUCUUAACAUUUUCUCAAAUUCCAUCAAUUCAUGAGUUUCCAAGAAGUAUCCCCUACUCCACUCCAUGAAACAUAUCUUGAAAAUGAAGUUGUCCCUUAGAAUAAAAUAUCUAUCCUCAAGACUUAAGACCUCAAACCUAAAGCUAAGGAUAGACCUCCAACCACCAUCUGGAGGACAUUAAUUAGUCUUGUUUUCUUAAUUUUUAUUUUCCAACCCCACUUUAACAACCGAAAAGAUUUACUUGUCUUUAUUUAUGAUUUAAAAAUAAAUAAAUUCAACUUUAUAUUAACUUGACUUUCAAAUAUACUAUUUAACCGUUGGUUUUCAUCUUUCCCACCCAUCUUCCUCCCAACUCAUAGAGAAGCGGUAAGGAACUCAAUGUCACCAAAAUGCGGAAACCACCAUUUUUAUUUACCAAAAUUCCAUUCCCCGCUCUAUUUCUCCUCCUCGUCUUCUCCUUAACCUUUCAAGUAAUUUCCCAAAAUCUAGAUGCUGAACGAUCAAUCCUACUAGACGUUAAACAACAACUGGGCAAUCCACCGUCACUCCAAUCGUGGAAUUCCUCAUCCUCGCCCUGUGAUUGGCCGGAAAUUACAUGCAUCGACAAUAUCGUCACUGAAAUUUCACUCAGCUACAAGACCAUCACAAAGAAAAUUCCGGCCAGAAUUUGUGACCUCAAGAACCUAAUCGUACUUGACGUCUCCUACAAUUACAUUCCAGGCGAGUUCCCGGAUAUUCUCAAUUGCUCUAAGCUCGAAUAUCUCCUCUUGUUGCAAAACUCCUUCGUGGGUCCAAUUCCAGCUGAUAUUGAUCGACUUUCACGUCUCCGAUACCUAGACCUCACCGCAAACAACUUCUCUGGAGAUAUUCCCGUAGCAAUUGGGCGGCUACGGGAGCUGUUCUACUUGUUUCUGGUUCAAAAUGAGUUCAACGGCACCUGGCCAACGGAGAUUGGUAAUUUGUCAAAUCUUGAACAAUUGGCCAUGGCCUAUAAUGACAAAUUCCGGCCUUCAGCCCUUCCAAAGGAGUUUGGCGCAUUGAAGAAGCUGAAGUAUCUGUGGAUGACGAAGGCAAAUUUGAUGGGCGAAAUACCGGAGAGCUUCAACAAUCUAUCGAGUCUGGAACUCUUGGACCUCUCAAACAACAAAUUGGAAGGUACGAUCCCGGGAGGCAUGCUUACAUUGAAGAAUUUGAACUAUUUUCUUUUAUUCAUUAAUAGAUUGUCCGGCCACAUUCCUUCAUCCAUAGAAGCUCUCAACUUGAAAGAAAUUGAUCUUUCCGACAACCAUUUGACGGGGUCCAUACCAGCGGGUUUCGGGAAGCUACAAAAUUUGACGGGUUUGAAUCUUUUCUGGAAUCAGUUGUCAGGAGAGAUACCAGCAAAUAUAAGCCUCAUUCCUACACUUGAAACUUUCAAAGUUUUUAGCAAUCAAUUGAGUGGAGUUUUACCUCCAGCAUUUGGCCUUCAUUCGGAGCUCAAACUCUUUGAGGUUUCCGAGAAUAAACUAAGCGGGGAAUUACCUCAACAUUUAUGCGCUAGGGGGACUUUGCUUGGAGUGGUCGCUUCCAACAACAAUCUCAGCGGGGAAGUGCCCACGUCCCUCGGGAAUUGCACAAGUUUGCUCACCAUUCAACUUUCCAACAAUCGUUUUUCAGGCGGGAUUCCUUCCGGCAUCUGGACAUCCCCGGACAUGGUAUCGGUGAUGUUAGAUGGAAAUUCAUUCUCAGGGACACUUCCAAGUAAAUUGGCAAGGAAUUUGUCUAGAGUGGAGAUCGCUAACAACAAGUUUUAUGGUCCAAUUCCUGCUGAAAUCUCUUCCUGGAUGAACAUCUCUGUGCUCAAUGCCAGCAACAAUAUGUUGUCUGGAAAAAUUCCAGUGGAAUUGACCAGUCUUUGGAACAUCACUGUUCUGUUGCUUGAUGGGAAUCAAUUCUCGGGUGAACUUCCAUCCCAGAUCAUCUCAUGGAAGUCGCUCAAUAAGUUAAAUCUCUCAAGAAACAAACUUUCUGGCCUAAUUCCCAAGGCAUUAGGUUCUUUAACUAGCCUUAGUUACCUCGACCUGUCAGAAAACCAGUUCUCAGGUCAAAUUCCUCCUGAACUUGGCCAUUUGAACCUUAUUAUCCUCCAUCUUUCGUCCAACCAACUGUCUGGGAUGGUCCCCAUUGAGUUUCAACAUGAAGCAUAUGAAGACAGUUUCUUGAACAAUCCCAAGUUGUGUGUCAAUGUUCCCACUUUGAACCUCCCUAGAUGUGAUGCCAAACCCGUCAACUCCGACAAAUUGUCAACCAAAUAUCUCGUUUUCGCUCUAUCUGGUUUCCUAGCUGUUGUUUUCGUCACCCUGUCCAUGGUUCAUGUCUAUCAUAGGAAGAAUCACAAUCAGGAGCAUACAGCUUGGAAAUUUACUCCAUACCAUAAACUAGAUCUCGAUGAAUACAACAUAUUGUCCAGUUUGACAGAAAAUAAUCUGAUCGGAUGUGGUGGGUCAGGGAAAGUAUACCGAGUUGCUAAUAACCGUUCUGGUGAACUCUUAGCGGUUAAAAUGAUUUGUAAUAAUAGGAGAUUGGAUCAAAAGCUUCAGAAACAAUUCGAAACAGAAGUCAAGAUAUUGAGCACCAUACGCCAUGCCAAUAUAGUGAAGUUGUUGUGCUGCAUAUCAAAUGAAACCUCAAGUCUUCUUGUUUACGAGUACAUGCAGAAGCAGAGUUUGGAUAGAUGGCUUCAUGGGAAGAAGCAGAGAACAUCGUCCAUGACAAGUUCAGUUCAUAACUUUGUCUUGGAUUGGCCAACAAGGUUGCAGAUUGCUAUCGGAGCUGCAAAAGGCCUAUGCCACAUGCAUGAAAACUGCUCUGCCCCGAUCAUACAUCGAGAUGUGAAGUCCAGCAACAUCUUGCUAGAUGCCGAGUUCAACGCGAAAAUUGCAGAUUUUGGAUUGGCCAAGAUGUUGGUCAAGCAAGGAGAGCCAGACACCAUGUCAGGAAUUGCAGGCUCUUACGGAUAUAUUGCCCCUGGUAAGACCAUCAAGGCCCUCCUUUCCAAAUGUUUUCAUUUCCAUAAUUUAUCGAUAAGUUGUAUCAUACCAUUCUUGUAUACUUGGAUGAUAGAGUAUGCUUAUACAACAAAGGUGAACAAGAAGAUCGAUGUAUAUAGCUUUGGAGUAGUCUUGCUUGAGCUUGUGACGGGGAGAGAACCCAACAAUGGGGACGAGCACGUGUGCCUUGCAGAAUGGGCAUGGGAUCAGUUCAGAGAAGAGAAAACCAUUGAGGAAGUGAUGGAUGAGGAGAUCAAGGAAGAAUGUGAUAGAGCACAAGUGGCCACUCUCUUCAAACUAGGCAUUAGGUGCACUAACAAAUUACCAUCCAAUAGGCCCACAAUGAAAGGGGUUUUGAAAAUUCUUCAACAGUGCAGUCCUCAAGAGGGCCAUGGAAGAAAUAAAAAGGACCAUGAAGUUGCACCUCCACUUCGAAAUGACACUUACCCCACCACUUACAAGUUGUGAGGAUAAAGCCCUUAAAAACAUGAUAUGAUGUAAUAAAUUUGGAAGUCAUUAUUUAUUUAAUGAUGUUCCGAUUUCACUUUUAUCUAUCCUUAUUCCAUAUAUUAUACUUUAUGAGCAUUCUUGCCUGCAUCUUUUGCAUUGCACGUAACUUAGGUGCAUUAAGAGUUGCACAGAAGAUCUAGGUCAUGGGUUCCUUGCAAAUAUAUGACUUGUUCACAACCAGUUCAUGGGUCUAGGAAGCCCAUUAGGGGUUGUAAUAAUCCACUUCCUAAUUGGAAGAAUGGCUAGUCUUAGCUAUUGGGAUGAGUUUCCCAUGGUAAGUGCAUUAGUGUGUAUGAUUACAUAUUGGACAUGACCUAUGGUGAAUCAUGAAUUAAGGUUAUCAAGCAGUCAUGACCUCAUCAAACUACUUCAUUAUAUUGUCUCUCAACCUUGAGAGAAUAUCGAGCUCGUACUAAAGUUAGCAAUGACUUUGACAUACGAGUGAGAUCGUAAGUUGAUCAUAUAUUCCCUAUGGAUUGAGUCAUUGUUGAUGGAAAAUGGUAGCAAUAGGUAUUUUCAAUAAAAACACCAUGAUGUCUCUUGGGAUUAAGACAAUGUGCCCCUUUUGGUGAUCCUAAAGAGGUGUGUUUAUGGAAACUAUGGUCAUAGUAGUUCCUUAAGUAAAACUCGACAUAGGCUCUUUGAGAGCUAAGACAUGUCAAUUGAAUACACAAUAGAAGGAUUUAUAACUCAAGGAUGGUAGAGGUAGUCUUGAAAGACUAAUAACUUUUACUUUGUUAGACUAUGAAUAUCAGUUCAUGGGAAGACUAAACACAAUAAAUAGCAAGUCACAAACCUGAACAUUUGGUAUCUCAUUGUUAUUUUCAAUAAAAUAACAAUGAGAUGGUAAGUUGAUCAUAUAUACCCUAUGGAUUGGGUUAUUGUUGAUGGAAGAUGGUAGCAAUAGGUAUUUUCAAUAAGCACCAUAAUAUCUCUUGGGAUUAAGAUAGUGUGCCCCCUUGGGUAAUCUUAAAAAGUGUGUUCAUGGAAACUAUGGUCAUAGUAAUUCAUUAAGUAAAACUCAACAUAGGCUCUUUGAGAGCUAAGACAUGUCAAUUGAAUACACAAUGGAGGAUUUAUAACUCAAGGAUGAUAGAGGUAGCCUUGAAAGACUAAUAACUUUCACUUUGUUAGACUACGAACAUCAGUUCAUGGGGAGACUAAACACAAUAAAUAGCAAGUCACAAGCUCGAGCAUUUGGUAUCUCGUUGUUAUUUACAUAAGAUACGGGAGUUCAAUUGAUUCUCUGUAGUGGGAUGUUGAAUCAACUUUAGAAUUGGAUUUUGAGAGAGUCGGUAUUCUUAUGGGUUCCAAUGGUCCUUGCUCUAAGCUUAUAUACUUUGUUGGCAUGGGUUAUAAGAGUCGGAUUGACUCUAGGUUCACUUUUGUACAUAAAGGCAUUUUGAUAAUUACACAAGGUUACACAAAGGUAAGUGAACAAGGUUUUUAAAUUGGGUUAAUUGAUUAAUUAGUAGGCCUUGUUUAGUUAAUUAAUCAAUUAGGACUUUUUUUGGGCUAUAUUAAGUGACCUAAGCCCUUAGUGGGCUCAAGUCACUUAAACCUAAUAGAAAACCCUUUAAAUACCCCCUUAAGGGUUAGAGUUUAUAUAGUUUUUCUAAAGAGCCAUCUUCUAUCUCUAGAGAGAAAGAGAAAGAGUCAUAGCGUCCACCCUCCCUUCUAUCUCCACUAAAAGUGUGUCAAGAUCAAGGUUCAAGUCAUUGGGAGGAAGACUUUGGAUUUACGAGACUUCUGUGAUUUCGUUCUUCAUUUUCACCACGUGGAUUUGAUUUGAGAACAUACGAAUUUGAGGUAUGGUUUUCAUUAGCACUUUCUGAAUCCCUUUAAAGUUUAAAAAUGUUAUUUUUCCGUUGUGUAUAGGAUUAAUUUAGAAAAUGCUUAGAAUAGUUAUGCAUGUUCGUAACCUGAUCUGAGCUUAGGAAAUGGAGAGAUCCUAGUUUUUUCCCUCAAUGUUUGUGCUCCAAAGUGUUGAGAUAGUUUAGAGGGUGACAUGAUGAUUAACAUAAUACCUUAUAUGGAGAACCUAGUGAAUCCCUUCUCCAAGACAUUGAUAGGGAGAGUCUUUGCUAGUCACAUGGAUAGCAUAGGUUUCAGAUGAGUAUUUGGCAUGCUUUAAAGGCAUGAUACUUUGAGGGCUAAUAGGAGAAUGUUAGGAUAAAGCCCUUAAAAACAUGACAUGAUGUAAUAAAUUUGGAAUUCAUUAUUUAUUUAAUGAUGUUUUAGUUUCACUUUUAUCAAUCCUUAUUCCAUGUAUUAUACUUUAUGAGCAUUCUUGUCUGCAUUUUGUGCAUUGUACAUGACUUAAUUGCAUUAGGAGUUAUAUAGAAGAUCUAAGUCAUGGGUUUCUUGCAAAUAAAUGACUUGUUCACAACUGAUUCAUGGGUCUAGGCAACCCACUAGAGGUUAUAGUGCACCAUACCACCUUCUAAUUGGAGGGAUGACUAGUCUUAAUUAUCAGGAUGAGUUUCCCAUUGUGAGUGCAUUACUGUGUAUGGUUACACAUUAGACAAAACCUACAGUGAGUCAUGGCUUAAGGCUAUCAAGUAGUCAUGUCCUUACCAACCAACUUCAUUAUGUCGUCUCUCAACUUUAAGAUAAUAUUGAGUUUAUACUAAAGUUAGCAAUGGCUUUGACCUACAGGUGAAAUCAUAAGCUAAUCAUUUGGGUCAUUGUUGAUGGAAGUCGGUAGCAAUAGGUAUUCUCAAUAGAAAUACCAUGAUAUCUCAUGGGAUUUAGACAGUGUGUCCCCUUGAGUAAUCUUAAGAAAGUGUGUUCAUACAAACUAUGACCAUAGUAGUUCCUUAAGUGGAACUUGACAUAGACUCUUUGACAACUAAGACAUGUCAAUUAAAUAUAUAAUUGGACGAUCUGUAACUCAAAGAUAGUAGAGGUAAUCUUUAAGGAUUGAUAACUUUCACUUUAUUAGACUACAGACACUAAUUCAUGGGGAGACUAAACAUAAUGGAUAGCAGGUCAUGGACCCGAGUACGUAAUAUCUCGUUGUUAUUUACAUAGGAUAUUGGAGUUCAAUUGAUUCUCUAUGGUGGAAUGUUGAAUCAACUUUAGAAUUGGAUUUUGAGGAAGUCAGUACUCCUAUGGGUCCCAAUAGUCCACACUCUAAGCUCAUAUAACCUAUUGACACGGAUUAUGAGGGUCGGAUUGGCUUUAGGUUCAUUUUUGUGUAUAAGGGCAUUUUGAUAAUUACACAAGGUUGCAUAAGGGUAAGUGGACAAGGUCUCUAAAUUGAACUAAUUGAUUAAUUAAUAGGCCUUAUUGGGUUAAUUAAUCAAUUAGGACCCAUUUUGAGUUAGAUUAAGUGACCCAAGCCCAUGUGGGCUCAAGUCACUUAAGCAUACUUAGGAACCCUAUAUAUACCCCCUAAGGUUUAGGGUUCCCACAACUUUUGUCCUCCACCUGUUAGGAUAGAGCCCUUAAAAGUAUAACAUGAUGUAAUAAAUUUGGGAUUCUUUAUUUAUUUAAUGAUGUUCUAGUUUCACAUUAUUUAUUUAAUGUGAAGACAUUUGGAACCCAUCUCUCCUUCACAGAUUUAUCCAAAAGUUGCAUGCUCUGACUCAAGUUUCCAUGCAUACACAACCCUCUGAAGUGAUCAUCAACUCCAUUACCUUAGUAGUUUUUUCCAUGUCAAGCAUACAGUUAGUUUUGAGAGCGAGACCCAUUUUCACUAUGAACUCAAUGACUGUGCUUCGAUCAACUAGUUUGGCAUUUUCAUUUCUUUAUGGCAACCAAAUUUGGACUAGAUCUAACACUUGGCAGGCCAAAGGGCAUGAAUCAAAAACAGAGGAAAGCGACGGAAAAAAAAAAAAAAAACAAAGCACAAAUGGUUGAAACAAAACGAACUAAUAAAAGCCACAUUUUAUGUUUCAAUCAACCGACUUAGAUGUAGGUGAGUGAAACUAAAAAGAUUUUAAACAAGAACACAAGUAUUAUUCAGACAUUCUAUAGGAAAGCUACAACAGAGAUAAAUCAUGCUCAAACAUAACCAAAGGAAAUGAGGCAUGAAUCAACUAUAACCAAAUCACAGAAACCAAGAGAUUAACAAUAACAAGUGUGUGUCCUACGAUUAUCCAGACCCAAAACAUGGAAAAUUUUAGAAUCUAAUUGAUAAAUGAAAGAAAAAAAUGGAAAAAAUGGAGAUGAAGAAAAUUAAAUACACAAUUUAAAGGACUGAGAACCUGACCUGAACUCUUCUCUAAGAUUUAGCAAUUUAUGAAUGUAUCUUCAGGCCCCUGUAGACGAAUCCAUGCUUGGUGGUAGUAUGCUUAUUGAUGACAGUCUGGAGAUGUGGAAAUCAAAUGAUUCUGAUGAACUAAAUUUGAUGCGUGAUGAGAUAGAUGACGUGUUAUCUAAGGAUCACAAAGUUCAUCAAUAGAAACUCGUUUGAUGAUGCGUCAAUCUGAUGGAGAGAAUUCGUUGAUAAAAAAUGAUGAAAUGCCAAUUUGAAGAUAGUGACUGCGAUUCAUCUCCGGAGAUGAAUCUAAUGAGAACGUUCAGGAGUCAUAAAUGGAGAGUGUAGGGACCCCUCCCCUUGGGAAACACGUGGCACGCAGCUCAUAGUGACGCGUGGCACGUGUUAUCAGCCGGACCGUCAUUAUCCGGAUUCCCCUAAGGAUAUGCAUGGUGCAGAUAUCCUAUCCGGACCGCCUCAAGGAAAGGCAAACGACGUUUCAUCUUCUCCUAUCCAAGGAAGAGCAAACGACGUUGGCAGAGCGUACACAUCCGGAUAGUCUCCACAACACAUCCGGAUAGUCAACAUGAGCCAUCCGGAUAUAAAUCUUCUGGAUGGUCAAUUAAAGUAAAGCGAGUCUUACACGCAAUCACAACAAGCAGCCAUGGCCCACAUCCCAUCACCUGCAGAAUGAGAAGACAAGAGGAAGUGACAGCAAGUCACUUCCCACGAUCAUUCUGCAUAAUCGCUUCCCACGAUCUCUGACGGCCGCAUCACCUACCAUAGUCUCUGACAGCCAUUCAUAGGAUGAUAGUGCUCCUACUAACACCUAUUGUCAUCAUCACAACAGAAAAGAUCUCCUCACCAUUAAUGAGAGGAACAGUACCCCUGAAGCUGGAUAUAUAUACCUUCGCACGAAGAAGAAAGGGGAUCUCCUGGUAAUCUCUUGAUACCUAGAAAAAGGCCAACUGAUUUAUAUAUCUCUUUCUCACCAUGGCUAACAAAACCAUCGGAGGGUGCGUCCGGACACCCUGUCCGAAUGCCUUUUGCAGGUGCAACCACUGAAUCAAGAACCCCUUGUGUGUUGAGAAUCACGUAUCCAUCCAUAUAGCAGCAACGUGGACCAUCGGAUACGCGAGGUGACAACAGAGAGCUCUAAUGGCGGUGGUGAUUUGCAGCAAUGUCAAUCUCUGGUGGCAGUGACAGCAAGCUCUAAUGGUGGUAAACUACGCCAACAGAGACAAUCUCCAUGAAUUGCACAACAAACUUCAAUGGCGAUCUCCAAUGGUGGUGAUGAAUUCUCCUACAACAAUGAACUCUCAUUCUCCUGUAGAGAUGAACUCUCAGAUGUUGGUGAAUUAUUUUUAUAUAUUUUUUUAAUAAAUUUUAAAUGAAAUAAAAUAAAUAAAUUUUAAAUUUUUAUACAUUUUUUUAAACUCAUUUAACUUAUUUUAAUUUUUCAAUUAUAAAAUUAAAUAAUUUGAAAAUAUAUAAAUUUCUAACUAAUUUUAAUUAUAUUUUAUUUUCUUUUAUAAUUUUCAUAUAUAGUAUAACCAGUACCAAUGUUUUCAAAAUCAGACCGGCGCUUGAACCAGAAAAGUUACCAGUUCAUGAUUUACGGUUCAUUAGUUGAACUGGUGGUCAAACCGCGGUCGAAUCAAUGACAUCAUAAAUAAUAAUUUUUUUUCUUUUUUCUCACUAACUAAUCCCACAUCAGAAAUGGAUAAAAAAUAUGUAGGAAUUGUGGUAUAAAAGGCAAGCUAGAAUCAUUAACUUGCAAGACUAAAAGCUUAUUGGGCUUGAUGACAAACGGGUUGGAUGGGCUCCUCAUGGAAUGAUCCGGUUCUCUUAUGGUAUCAAAACUUUUUUUUUUGGCUUUAAAAUAAAUAAAUAAAUAAACUGUUCGGUUCGCUAAGAAUCGCCCGAUUGGGGCAGUUCACUAGUUCAACCGCUGGUUUUGUUACCGAUCGGACCAACUGGUCCAGUCCGAUUUUUAAAUCAUUAUCAAAUACAAUAAAAUAAUUUUCCUUAACAUUUCUUUUAUUUUUUUAAGUACUUCUCAAGAAUCAAACAUAAUCAUAAGACUAAUCAUAUUUUUUAUUAUAAGAUCAUUCGAAUACAAUGCCCCAAGUGAGAAUCUCAAAACGUUUGUCAAUGUUUUACUAAUAUUAAGAUUUUGAAAAUCUAUACAAUUUCUUUUUCUUUUUUUCUUUUUUUAAUAUUUGGAUGAUAGAGCAUGAGUAUACAAGAAAGGUCAAUGCAAAGAUCAAUGUCUACAAUCUUGAAAUUGCACUUCUAGAGUUGGGCCCUAAAAGAGAACCCAAUAGGGGGGAGGGGUAGCAUAUAAACCUUCCUCAAUGGGCAUGGCAACACCUUGGAGAAGGAAAGUUAUAAGUGAAAGCACUGGAUGAGGAGAUCAUGGCACAAUGCUACUUCAAAAAAAUGAGUACUAUGUUCCCAAUAAUCAAACUUUAUCAUGAAAAUGUUGAUAAUAGCGAGGAUUAUCUUAUUUACAAGUAUAGAGACAAAUAGGCAAAAGGUAAAUAAAUUAUUAAUAGAGCUUAAAAUAAUAAAUUAAGCAAAUAAACAUAUGGUAAGAUCGAAACUCAUUAUCCUUCUACUAAAUAAAAUUCUAAUACCAUAUUGGAUAACUAAAUUUUUUAAGAACUUAAACUUAAGAUUUGGAUCCUUAUGAUUGUAUAUCACAUUUUCUAAUAAUAUAUCAAAUACUUUUCUAGAUUUUGUGUUGACUUGUGAUUACUUCUCUAAAUCAAUUUUUCAGCAUCUUGUAUAUAUGUAUUUGUUAGGAUGAAUCUGUCACGCCCCAAGACCCACUCCAAGGGCGUGACGGUCAUUUCACACCUCAAACCCGAAGGCUUAAAGUAUAAUCUGACCCAAACAAUCAUAUUGUAACUGGAUGUUACCAAUUACCAAAUACCUGUUCAGAGUAGCGGAACAAAAUCUAAAAUCCUCAAAAUUCAAUUUCCAAAUAACUUCCAAAUAUCAAAUGAUCCAAAUGAACAUAACUAACAGUUAAACAAAAUCCAACAUAAAAUCCUAAGUCAAAUCCUAAUGAUGACCAUUCCUCAGCCUAGCCAUCACUCCUCACCCGAACUAAGAGUACCUGAAAAAUUUUCAACAAUUGGGAAUGAGCUCACAGCCCAAUAAGGAAUAUUAAUGCAAUUCAUGGAUCAAAUAUUUUCAUUUCAAAUAGGAGAUAUCAAUUUUUUUUUUUCUCAUCGAAUAUCAGAGUUUCAAAAAUACCAAUAUAUUCAAAAUUCAACCAACCAAUUUCAUAUCAAAUUCAAACACUUUCACAUCAGACUCAAUCAAAUCCAUUCAAUUUUUUCAUUACUCUGGUUAUCAAAUAUCAAAUGCCCAGUUAGGUGGGACUUUUCAAAUGGGUGGCUAGCCUCAAAUUGUUCCUGGUGGACGAAACCAAACACUACUAGUACUAGUAACCUCUAACCAAACCCCUAGAGGCUGGGGUCCAAAUCAAUUACAUUCCCACCAUGAAAUGUAAAGGUCAACUAUUAUAGCCCGUUGACAGGGCCGAAUAGUCAACUAUUAUAUCCCGUUGACAAGGGCCAAACAAACCAGAGUGAUGUUUUUGUUCAAGUAUUCAAAUUUACACAACAUAAUAUCUCCAUAUUUUGUGUCAUAAAUAAAACAAAAUAUUCCAACAUAAUAUUCAGUGCAAAACAAUUUGAUCCAUGCAUGGUAACAAAAUAUCAUUUUCUUUUCCACAAUUCAAAAUAACAUAUAAAAUAAUUUAAUUUUAUAAAUAUUGCAUUAACUUCCCUUACCUCAAAAGAAGUCCUUGAAAGCUUGGGAGAAGAAUAAUUCUGAAAAAAAUAUAAUCUACUCUUCACCUAAUAUAACAUAAGAGAAACAAUUAUUACUAUUUAUUUAUAAUUUAACUAAUUUAUUCCUUAUUUAAAUAAAACUAAUAAAUUCCCAAUUUGUUUCUAAUAACACACUACUAAUUUAAUUAAAUUACAAUUUUAUUUCAUUAUAAAAUUCUAUAUAUAUAUAUAUAUAUAUAUAUAUAUAUAUAUAUAUAUAUAUAUAUAUAUUGCUAAAUCUAUUAUUACUAUUAUCUUAAUUAUUAAUCUGAAACUAAAUAUCAUUAUUUUAUUAAUUACCUAAUUUGAGGCUAAAUCAUUAUUACAAAAAAUAUAUUAUUAUAUAUUUUGCUAAAUCUCUUACAUGUAUGGGGUACACACCAAACAAGUAAAACAAAGCAAAAAAAUUUUUUUUUUCCAUUGCCAUCAUCAUAAUAAUGAAUCAUUAUAUAUAUAUAUAUAAGUCUCCUUCCAUCCGGGCACACGCCCAAAUUUUUUUUUUUUUUAUUUUCCUUCCUUCCAAUGCUGUGCACACGCGUUCUCCUUUUUUUUUUUUUUUUAAUUAACCCUAACCUAAAAUUGAAAUAUUCCAAGGAAUUUUUUUUUUCUAAUAAAACUUAAGAUCUCCCAAAUUCCAAUACUAAAAUCAAAAUAUUAAAUUUUCACUAUUUGAUAUUAAAACGAAUUAAAAAAAAUAAUCUAACCCUAAUCUAGAUUUGGGGUUUUCCAAAAAAAAUAUAUCUAAUGUGUUUGAAAUUAAUCAAUGAAUCUAAAAUAUUAAACUAGGGGUUAGAAUCUUACCUAUAGAGAUUUUUUCUUCAACCCUGAAAUCUGACUCCAACCUUACGUUUUCUGAAAUUCUGCGAAUAGGAACUCUAUUCAGAAAAGAAGGGAAAAAAUAAAAUUUCUAAUUUAUACCUAGGGUAUUUAUUCGUAAAAUUACACUUUUACCCCUCUUCCACUUUAUUAAAUUAAUUAAUUAACUAAUUAAAUUAUUAAUAACAAUUUCCUAAAUUACCCUUAAAAGAAAAUGCCUGGGCGUUACAGAAUCAAUUAUCAAUGAAUGCAAAAAUGCAACUCCUCAUAGAGUCUCUUGCUUAUUUCCUCUACAACUUAAUUAGAAAAACUUAAAAGAACUCCAGAGUGAUUUCACAAAGAAAUAGGAUAAUUAUUUUAUCUUCAAACCUGCAAAAAAGAUAUGGAAACCGUAUCAUUGAAAUAAUUAAAACAGAAAACAAUUGGAAUCAAAGUGCUAUUGCCUUAUUUUAAAAACAAAAAAUAAAUAAAAUAAAUCUUAGGUUUUAUGCAAAACUAAAUAUUAGUUGCCUAAAGCUCCUUAUUUGGAAUACUAGAUGGGUGUCAAGCAUCAUUUCAACUCGGCACCUCCUUCGGUAAAUACCAAAAAUAAUAUUUGUUUUGGGAACAAGACUAGAGUUUUGAGCGGAUAUAAUAUAUUUUAAAAAAAUACACAAAAUAGAUUUCCAAGUAAAAUAAUUCUCAAGCUAGUAUAUUUCAGCUACAUGGGCAUCCAUAUGGUCGUAGAUUUUUUUUUUUUUAAUGUUGGUCUAUGUCAUAAAACUUUAAUUAGUAACUACGAUUUUGAUUUUUUAAAACAUAAAAUGAUAGUUAGAUAUUAUAGUUUUAAAUUUAUUUUUAAAAUCAUAAUCAUCAAUUACGAUUAUAAACUUAAAUUUAAAACCUUAGUUGGUAACUAAUGUUUUGACCGUUUUACAACAAAAUCAAAAUUAUAGUUCACAACUAUGAUCAUGUGAUAUAGAUACAAGUGUCAAUAAAACACUCCAAUUUGAAAAUUAUUUUGAGAGGGGAUCUACUUUGUAGAUUUUUAUUUGUUCAAAUAAAUUAUUUUUCCUCAAGGCUUAGAAAACUAACUUGUUUAGAACUAAAUUCAAUUAUACACUCUCCUAAUUUUUCUUUUUAUAAGAUCAAAUCCACGUUAUCAGUUUUCCACUAGAAUCCUCAUGAUUACUUGUAGAAUUGUUGAGAUGAAAUGGAAGUGUGGUAUGAGAUGCAUGCUUGUUUAAACUUCAGUUUCAAUCUUGGUCAAUGCUGUCCAUUCCCUUAGAUGUGCAGGAUGUGGAACCACUGCUGGAUCCUGUUGUGAGACUUGACCAUCAAUAUCCUUUUGGACUUGUGAAAGCAACCUUCCCCCGUUUUCUUGACGCAACCUGCUACUUCCACGUGAGCAUGCCAAACACGCUUAGGGCCUGUUUGUUGGUGUUUUCAAAUACAUUUUUGGAAACAGUUUUUACUGUUUUCAGAAAUAAAAUUAUGUUUAUUUAUUCUCAAAAAUAAAAAGAAUAAAAAAAAAAUAUUUAGUUCAGUUAAUAAAAAUAAUUUUUAAUAACAAAUAAAACAAAAAAACUUGUUUGGAAAAUAUUAUUGUUGGUUUUGUUUUUUAAAGUUGAGUAUUUUAUUUAACUAAUUGAUAUUGUAAAUAUAUAAAUAAUUUUUCUUCGUAAAAAUAAAAAUGUUCCAUUCUAAACAUUUUUUGCAUCGGUUUUAAUUUUUUUAAACAAAUUAUUACUUUGUAAACAUGUCUAAAUAUGUUUGAUUUCAAUAAUUGAUAAACCAUCUUAUCAAAAUAUCAUAAAUCGGUAAAUAUCAAUAAUUGGAUUUUAUGAAGAUAAAAUUUAUGAUAUCAAAUAAUAAUGCAUUAUACUUGGAAACCGAUGAUUUAUCUUUUCUACUAAUAAUAUAUUUAUGAUAAUUUUUUAUUUAAAAAUAUUUAUAAUUUUAUUUUAUAUUUAAGAAUUAUAUAAAAGAUAAAAAAAUUAAAGUAAAUCAAACUAAUUUAUUUAUAAAAAAUUAUUAAUUUUUAUAAAUUUACAUAUUAUAUAUAUAUAUAUAUAUAUAUAUACGACAGGAAUCCUUGUACUCUUUUCUCUCAUUCUCCUUAUGUUCUCCGUUUAUCUUCCAAGGCCCAAACUUUUAUUCACUAAGGUUGAACCAUUUCUCUCCUCAAAUAUUAACUCACUAAAGUCAAAAUUUAGAUCUAUGAUUGUUGUUAAGAUUCUUGGUUAGGAUUUCAUCUUUUGUGUUAUUGUUUAUGUUUUUGUUUGGUUUUUGAGAAAUCCUAGAAUUUAUGAAAGUUUCUGCUUUGAAAUACAUUAAAAAAAAUCAUAUCAGGAUAAAAUCCCAAAAUAUCCGAAAAAUAUUGAAAUGGAAAUGAAGAAAAAAUAAAUAUAAAUAAAACUUGUUGAUUAAGUUGAAUUUUUUUUAAACCGAAUUUUCAAUUUUCUAAUUUUUCUCAUUUUCCUUGGCAGUGUAAAAAAAAAAAAAAGAUAAGAGCACAUAGAGAACACGACAACAACACAAAAAACAUCAUUUUAAAACCAGGUUUUAGAAAACACAUAAAACACUUGAGAACAAAAAACACUCUUUUAUAAAACAUGAUUUUUGUGUUUUUUGUUCUAAAAAAAGAAAACAAUUUUUGGAAAUACCAACCAAACAAGCCCUUAAUGACUCAUUUUUCUUUUAUUUAUUUAUUUUAUUUUUUUGCUUAUUUGUUUAUUCUCUUGUCUGUUUUUAUUUUUAAAGAAAUAAAAAUAUUUUUCAAAAAAAUAAAAAAAAUAAAAUUAAAGAAUGUUCUCCAAACUAAAUGAAUAUUAUAGAACCCGACCAACAACAUACUAAACAAAAUGUAAAAAUCUAAAAAUAUGUUUGGUAGUAAUUGUUUUUAAUAUUUUUAAUACCUAAAAAUGAAAAAAUUUAGUGUUAAAAAAUGAAAAAUAUUUUAUAAAAUCACUGUAAAACUUAUUCUAAAUUAUUGAACUAAAUACGAAAAUAACAUAUCAUGCACGAAAAUAAGAUGAAGCAAAAAUAACUUGUAAUGUACACCUUGGGAAACACAUGAUAUUUUAGCAUCGUGUAGCAGAUUGCAAAAUCAAAUUUCGUGAGGAAUCAGGUGCCCAUAAAUCUCGUAUCUUCAUAAUGGCAUAUAGAGGAAAGUCAAGGUAAACGAAACCAUCAUAUUCUUCAACUUGCAGCCAACCAAAUAUGUUCAAGUCCAUUCAAUACAGUCCAUAAAAAUUUUAUUUUAUUUUUACAAAUUUUUUUUUCUUUCUAGAAUUCGAAUCUGAGCCUCACGACUAAAACCGAAUACGUACAAAGCAUCUAUUCUAAAAAUAAAAAAAUUAAAUUGAAUUAAAAAUUUUGGAUAUUAUAAAGCAGAAUACGUACAAAUUCUGUUGAAAGGUGAGUCAUAACAGUUAAAAAUUUAUAUAUAAUUUUUAUAUAUAUUUUAAUUAGUUUUCAAUUUUGGAUAUUAUCAAAUAAAAUUUUUAUGUAUAAUUUACUUUAGUCAGUAUUGUCCAACAUAAUUAAAUAAUACCAUGGUGGCUUAGGUUAAUUCCAAAAUGAUGGUAAUGGACUAAUGACAGAAAAAUUAUCAUACAAAAUACCUAGGCAACCAUAGGUGAAAAAAAAAGUAAUAUAAAUUCCAUAUAUUAUUAUUUAAUAUUAAUUUUCAGUCACCAUCAUAUGAUUUUUCAUAAAAUAAAAUAAAAAGGUAAAAAGUAAAUGUUCAUUAUGUUUGUUAGUAUAGUAUCAAAAGAAACUUAUUAAAUUUUUAGAAAUAUAAUUUAGAUUUAAAAGUAAUUGUAAAAAUUUGAAAAUAAGACUUAUAUUAUGAAAACAUUAAAAAAUAUUAUAAUUUAACCACAAAGAUAAUGAGUAUGACUAAGAUCGACGAUUAGGAAAAGAGAUUUUAUAAAAAAAAAAAUAUAUAUUUUGAAGUAUCUUACAUGGAUCAUUGAUUUUUAUUCAAAUUUUAAACAAAUUCAUACUAAUUUGGUUCUGGUUCUACUUGUUUCUGGUUCAAAAUGAGUUCAACGACACCUGGCCAACGGAGAUUGGUAAUUUGGCGAAUCUUGAACAAUUGGCCAUGGCCUAUAAUGACAAAUUCCGGCCUUCAGCCCUUCCAAAAGAGUUUGGCGCAUUGAAGAAGCUGAAAUAUCUGUGGAUGACGGAGGCGAAUUUGAUUGGCGAAAUACCGGAGAGCUUCAACAAUCUAUCGAGUCUGGAACUCUUGGACCUCUCAGUCAACAAAUUGGAAGGUACGAUCCCGGGAGGCAUGCUUACGUUGAAGAAUUUGAACUAUUUGCAUUUAUUCAUUAAUAGAUUGUCCGGCUACAUUCCUUCAUCCAUAGAAGCUCUCAACUUGAAACAAAUUGAUCUUUCCGACAACCAUUUGACGGGGUCCAUACCAGCGGGUUUCGGGAAGCUACAAAAUUUGACGGGUUUGAAUCUUUUCUGGAAUCAGUUGUCAGGAGAGAUACCAGCAAAUAUAAGCCUCAUUCCUACACUGGAAACCUUCAAAGUUUUUAGCAAUCAAUUGAGUGGAGUUUUGCCCCCAGCAUUUGGCCUUCAUUCGGAGCUCAAAUUCUUUGAGAUUUUUGAGAAUAAACUAAGUGGGGAAUUACCUCAACAUUUAUGCGCUAGGGGGGCUUUGCUUGGAGUGGUCGCUUCCAACAACAAUCUCAGCGGGGAAGUGCCCACGUCCCUCGGGAAUUGCACAAGUUUGCUCACCAUUCAGCUUUCCAACAAUCGUUUUUCAGGCGGGAUUCCUUCCGGCAUCUGGACAUCCCCGAACAUGGUAUCGGUGAUGUUAGAUGGAAAUUCAUUCUCAGGGACACUUCCAAGUAAAUUGGCAAGGAAUUUGUCUAGAGUGGAGAUCGCUAACAACAAGUUUUAUGGUCCAAUUCCUGCUGAAAUCUCUUCCUGGGUGAACAUCUCUGUGCUCAAUGCCAGCAACAAUAUGUUGUCUGGAAAAAUUCCAGUGGAAUUGACCAGUCUUUGGAACAUCACUGUUCUGUUGCUUGAUGGGAAUCAAUUCUCGGGUGAACUUCCAUCCCAGAUCAUCUCAUGGAAGUCUUUCAAUAAGUUAAAUCUCUCAAGAAACAAACUUUCUGGCCUAAUUCCCAAGGCAUUAGGUUCUUUAACCAGCCUUAGUUACCUCGACCUGUCAGAAAACCAGUUCUCAGGUCAAAUUCCUCCUGAACUUGGCCAUUUGAACCUUAUUAUCCUCCAUCUUUCGUCCAACCAACUCUCUGGGAUGGUCCCCAUUGAGUUUCAACAUGAAGCAUAUGAAGACAGUUUCUUGAACAAUCCCAAGUUGUGUGUCAAUGUUCCCACUCUGAACCUCCCUAGAUGUGAUGCCAAACCCGUCAACUCCGACAAAUUGUCAACCAAAUAUCUCGUUAUGAUCCUAAUUUUCGCUCUAGCUGGUGCUUUCGUCACCCUGUCCAGGGUUCAUAUCUAUCAUAGGAAGAAUCACAGUCAGGACCAUACAGCUUGGAAAUUUACUCCAUACCAUAAACUAGAUCUCGAUGAAUACAACAUAUUGUCCAGUUUGAUAGAAAAUAAUCUGAUCGGAUGUGGUGGGUCAGGGAAAGUAUACCGAAUUGCUAAUAACCGUUCUGGUGAACUCUUAGCGGUUAAAAUGAUUUCUAAUAACAAGAGAUUGGAUCAAAAGCUUCAGAAAAAAUUCAAAACAGAAGUCGAGAUAUUGAGCACCAUACGCCAUGCCAAUAUAGUGAAGUUGUUGUGCUGCAUAUCAAAUGAAACCUCAAGUCUUCUUGUUUACGAGUACAUGGAGAAGCAGAGUUUGGAUAGAUGGCUUCAUAGGAAGAAGCAGAGAACAUCGUCCAUGACAAGUUCAGUUCAUAACUUCGUCUUGGAUUGGCCAACAAGGUUGCAGAUUGCCAUUGGAGCUGCAAAAGGCCUAUGCCACAUGCAUGAAAACUGCUCUGCCCCGAUCAUACACCGAGAUGUGAAGUCCAACAACAUCUUGCUAGAUGCUGAGUUCAACGCGAAAAUUGCGGAUUUUGGAUUAGCCAAGAUGUUGGUCAAGCAAGGAGAGCCCGACACCAUGUCAGGAAUUGCAGGCUCUUACGGAUAUAUUGCCCCUGGUAAGACCAUCAAGGCCCUCCUUUCCACAUGUUUUCAUUUCCAUAAUUUAUCUAUAAUUUUUAUCAUACAAUUCUUGUAUACUUGGAUGAUAGAGUAUGCUUAUACAACAAAGGUGAACGAGAAGAUCGAUGUAUAUAGCUUUGGAGUAGUCCUGCUUGAGCUAGUGACGGGGAGAGAACCCAACAGCGGGGACGAGCACAUGUGCCUUGUAGAAUGGGCAUGGGAUCAGUUCAAAGAAGGGAAAACCAUUGAGGAAGUGAUGGAUGAGGAGAUCAAGGAACAAUGUGAAAGAGCACAAGUGACCACUCUCUUCAGUCUAGGCCUCAUGUGCACUACCACAUUACCAUCCACUAGGCCAACAAUGAAAGAGGUUUUGGAAAUUCUUCGACAAUGCAGUCCUUAGGAGGGCCAUGGUAGAAAGAAAAAGGACCAUGAAGUUGCACCUCCACUUUGAAAUGACACUUACCCCACCACUUACAAGUUAUGAGGAUAAAGCCCUUAAAAACAUGAUAUGAUGUAAUAAAUUUGAAAGUCAUUAUUUAUUUAAUGAUGUUUCGAUUUCACUUUUAUCUAUCCUUCUUUCAUGUAUUAUACUUUAUGAGCAUUCUUGCCUGCAUCUUUUGCAUUGCACUAGCUUAGGUGCAUUAAGAGUUGCACAGAAGAUCUAUGUCAUGGGUUCCUUGCAAAUAUAUGACUUGUUCACAAUUAGUUCAUGGGUCUAGGAAGCCCAUUAGAGGUUGUAAUAAACCACUUCCUAAUUGGAAGAAUGGCUAGUCUUAGCUAUUGGAAUGAGUUUCCAAUGGUAAGUGCAUUAGUGUGUAUGGUUACAUAUUGGACAUGACCUAUGGUGAAUCAUGACUUAAGGUUAUCAAGCAGUCAUGACCUUAUCAAACUGCUUCAUUAUGUUGUUUCUCAACCUUGAGAGAAUAUCGAGCUUGUACUAAAGUUAGCAAUGACUUUGACAUAUGGGUGAGAUCGUAAGUUGAUCAUAUAUUUCCUAUGGAUUGAGUCACUGUUGAUGGAAGAUGGUAGUGAUAGGUAUUUUCAAUAAAAACACCAUGAUGUCUCUUGGGAUUAAGACAACGUGCCCCUUUUAGUGAUCCUAAAGAGGUGUGUUCAUAGAAACUAUGGUCAUAAUAGUUCCUUAAGUAAAACUCAACAUAGGCUCUUUGAGAGCUAAGACAUGUCAAUUGAAUACACAAUAUGAGGAUUUGUAACUCAAUGAUGGUAGAGGUAGUCUUGAAAGACUAAUAACUUUCACUUUGUUAGACUACGAAUAUCAGUUCAUGGGAAGACUAAACACAAUAAAUAGCAAGUCACAAACUUGAACAUUUGGUAUCUCAUUAUUAUUUUCAAUAAAAUAACAAUGAGAUGGUAAGUUGAUCAUAUAUACCUUAUGGAUUAGGUCAUUGUUAAUGGAAGAUGGUAGCAAUAGGUAUUUUCAAUAAAAGUACCAUAAUAUCUCUUGGGAUUAAGACAGUGUGCCCCCUUGGAUGAUCCUAAAGAAGUGUGUUCAUGGAAACUAUGGUCAUAGUAAUUCCUUAAGUAAAACUCAACAUAAGCUCUUUGAGAGCUAAGACAUGUCAAUUGAAUACACAAUAGGAGGAUUUAUAACUCAAGGAUGAUAGAGGUAGCCUUGAAAGACUAAUAACUUUCACUUUGUUAGACUACAAAUAUCAGUUCAUGGGGAGACUAAACACAAUAAAUAGCAAGUCAUAAGCUCGAGCAUUUGGUAUCUAGUUGUUAUUUACAUAGGAUACCGAAGUUCAAUUGAUUCUCUGUAGUGGGAUGUUCAAUCAACUUUAGAAUUGGAUUUUGAGAGAGUCGGUAUUCCUACGGGUCCCAAUGGUCCUUGCUCUAAGCUUAUAUACUUUGUUGGCAUGGGUUAUAAGAGUCGAAUUGGCUCUAGGUUUACUUUUGUACAUAAGGGCAUUUUGAUAAUUACGCAAGGUUACACAAAGGUAAGUGAACAAGGUUUUUAGAUUGGGUUAAUUGAUUAAUUAGUAGGCCUUGUUUGAUUAAUUAAUCAAUUAAGACUUUUUUUGGGCUAUAUUAAGUGACCUAAGCCCUUAGUGGGCUCAAGUCACUUAAACCUAAUAGAAAACCCUAUAAAUACCCCCUUAAGGGUUAGAGUUUAUAUAGUUUUUCUAAAGAGCCAUCUUCUAUCUCCAGAGAGAGAAAGAAAGAGAAAGAGUCAUAGCAUCCACCUCCCUUCUAUCUCCACUAGAAGUGUGGCAAGAUCAAGGUUCAAGUCAUUGGGAGGAAGACUUUGGAUUUACAAGACUUCUGCGAUUUCGUUCUUCAUUUUCACCACGUGGAUUUGAUUCAAGAACAUCCGAAUUUAAGGUAUGGUUUUCAUUAGCACUUUCUGAAUCCCUUUAAAGUUUAAAAAUGUUAUUUUUCCUUUGUGCAUAGGAUUAAUUUAGAAAAUGCUUAGAAUAGUUAUGCAUGUUCCAAACCUGAUAUGAGCUUAGGAAAUGGAGAGAUCCUAGUUUUUUCCCUCAAUGUUUGUGCUCCAAAGUGUUGAGAUAGUUUAGAGGGUGACAUGAUGAUUGACAUAAUACCUUAUGUGGAUAACCUAGUGAAUCCCUUCUCCAAGACAUUGAUAGGGAGAGUCUUUGUUAGUCACAUGGAUAACAUAGGUUUCAGAUGAGUAUUUGGCAUGCUUUAAAGGCAUGAUGCUUUGAGGGCUAAUGGGAGAAUAUUAGGAUAUAGCCCUUAAAAGCAUGACAUGAUGUAAAAAAUUUGGAAUUCAUUAUUUAUUUAAUGAUGUUCUAGUUUCACUUUUAUCAAUCUUUAUUCCAUGUAUUAUACUUUAUGAGCAUUCUUGUCUGCAUUUUUUGCAUUGUACAUGACUUAAGUGCAUUAGGAGUUACAUAGAAGAUCUAAGUCAUGGGUUUCUUGCAAAUAAAUGACUUGUUCACAACUGAUUCAUGGGUCUAGGCAACUGAUUACUACUCAAAAAGUGUUAUUUGAUAGCUUGUAAUUAACUCUUUUAAACACUUUUGAGUAGUAGUUAUCACUUUUUAACCCAAUUAACAUAUUAAGGACCCUUACAAUCAAUUCUAAUCAAAUUGUGUUAAGUUUUGGUGUUUUGAUAGCUUUUUUAUCACCAAAGCAAUCCGAGAUUGAGGAGAGUUCUUUGGAAUCCAUGGCAAAGAUGUCCGGACAGGGCGUCCGGACACACCAUCGGAGGGCGGCGGAAUAUGGGUUGUGGCAGGCUGUCGGAAUGACGUAGCAAGGUUUGCUCACUUUAGUCAAUGUUUUCCAUCCGGACAACAUAUCCGGAUAGGAUAUGCUAUCGUCCGGGGUGUGAUGUGCACGAGUGUCGUGUGCUUCUCCCUAAAGGAGUCCGGAUAGCAUGGCGGCGCGUGUCCUCUUGGGGAAUCUGAAUGGAGUUGCACCGGAUAGCAAUGCGCGCUCCGUGUCAUCAGGGGAAGGGGUCCCUACACCUUGUACACGCAGAUGGUCCCCCUUGCAACGCGCGGAUAUCUCACUCCCAAAAUUCUGUCUGGUCAGACAUGUCUGGAUCCUCUGAUCGGAUAUUUCACAUCUGGAUAUCUCACAACCGGAUGGGAGAGGAGGACGUUUCAACUUCCCCGGUCAGACAUGUCCGGAUCCUCUGAUAGCGCCUACCCGGAGAGUUUUUCUCUCAGUAUACAGUGCCGCAGUGUUCUCCUGAAGCUUCCUGAUAUUUCCAACCGACAUCUUGAAAUAUUUUGCUUUAGAUAUUUGAUGUCUAAAUCCCCAAACUCUCCUUGUAACCCACCUAUCAUAGGAUUUCUUAGUCUUUAAGUAAGAAAAAUGGUGAAUAACCUCUGAUAUAUAUAGUUUGUAAUUUUCUUUAUAAGAAAUUAUGAUGUAAUCGGCGGAAGAAAGAAAUAUAUUUCACAGAGCACUUGCUCUGAUUUUCAUAUAUAUUUUUGUUUUCUCAUUCUUUUUCUUACUAGCCAAACAAGCUCUGAGGAAGUUUCCUCAGAGAAUGAGUGGCUAGACUUUUAGUUCCUUGGAGCUAAGGUUGCCGGGAAAGGUUUCAAGUGCAAGAAUUUAUAGCUUUGUGGUUUCGGCCAUUAAUGAAGAGAAAGUAUGAUCCUUUAAUGAUUUCUAUGUUUUUUAGUUAACUUAAAACACCUUCAAUUCACUUGAGCCAACACUUGGUAAGGCAAGUGAUCUCCGUCCAUGGGGAUGCACUAGUUUGCCUCUUGCGAGCUUUUGAGAAGUGACUUGAAAGUAGGAUUUUCUAUAAUUGCCAACACUUGGUAAGCUUUUGGACUCCAAGGAGACAUCCAUUAGUUAUCUUUUGCGAGCUUGAGAAAGGAAGUCCAAAGUUAAUGAUCACCUUGAAUGGCAAAUGCUAGAUGAGAGGCACGAGCCAUUGCAAGUUGCAUCAGUGAGAAGAAACUAGAGCUGAAAUCCAUUUAAAGGAUACAUCUGUACAACACCGGUUAGAGAAUUGACUAUAUGUAAAUUCUCUAAUGCGAGGAAAUGAACCAAAUGACCGAAGCUCUAUUUUUGCAUAAGGAACCUCCCUUGUGAACCUAAACCUUCAAGGAAUGUUUUUUUUCAUAAGUCAUUUACAUUACUUUCUUUUUAGUUAGCUUUAAACAAAAUCUCAUUUAAACAAAGUUUAUGUUUUAUUUCUUAAGCUAACCUUGAAAUGAAAAUAAGAUGAAGCAAAAAUAACUUGUAAUGUACACCUUGGGAAACACAUGAUAUUUUAGCAUCGUGUAGCAGAUUGCAAAAUCAAAUUUCGUGAGGAAUCAGGUGCCCAUAAAUCUGGUAUCUUCAUAAUGGCAUAUAGAGGAAAGUCAAGGUAAACGAAACCAUCAUAUUCUUCAACUUGCAGCCAACCAAAUAUGUUCAAGUCCAUUCAAUACAGUCCAUAAAAAAAAAAUUUUUUUUCUUUCUAGAAUUCGAAUCUGAGCCUCACGACUAAAACCGAAUACGUACAAAGCAUCUAUUCUAAAAAUAAAAAAAUUAAAUUGAAUUAAAAAUUUUGGAUAUUAUAAAGCAGAAUACGUACAAAUUCUGUUGAAAGGUGAGUCAUAACAGUUAAAAAUUUAUAUAUAAUUUUUAUAUAUAUUUUAAUUAGUUGUCAAUUUUGGAUAUUAUCAAAUAAAAUUUUUUAUGUAUAAUUUACUUUAGUCAGUAUUGUCCAACAUAAUUAAAUAAUACCAUGGUGGCUUAGGUUAAUUCUAAAAUGAUGGGAAAUAAAUCAAAAUGGUAAUGGACUAAUGACAGAAAAAUUAUCAUACAAAAUACCUAGGCAAACCAUAGGUGAAAAAAAAAUGUAAUAUAAAUUCCAUAUAUUAUUAUUUAAUAUCAAUUUUCAGUCACCAUCAUAUGAUUUUUCAUAAAAUAAAAUAAAAAGGUAAAAAGUAAAUGUUCAUUAUGUUUGUUAGUAUAGUAUCAAAAGAAACUUAUUAAAUUUUUAGAAAUAUAAUUUAGAUUUAAAAGUAAUUGUAAAAAUUUGAAAAUAAGACUCAUAUUAUGAAAACAUUAAAAAAUAUUAUAAUUUAACCACAAAGAUAAUGAGUAUGACUAAGAUUGACGAUUAUUUUGAAGUAUCUUACAUGGAUAGUUGAUUUUUAUUCAAAUUUUAAACAAAUUCAUACUAAAAACCCAUAACGCUUGCUAAAUCUAAUCUUGUAACCUGGUGUUUUGUUCUUAGAAUAUAUAUAUAUAUAUAUAUAUAUAUAUAUAUAUAUAUAUAUUUCCGCUGCUCCAAGUAAGCUGGAGAUGAAAGGGACCACCAAUCACGAUCAAUGGUUAGAUCAAAAUUAGCUUAUCUGUGUUACACACGACUCCUGGCUCCUUCGUAAUUAAUCCCAACACAUAGGCCAUUUUGUAAAAUUCAGUAAAUAAAUUCUGACAGCCAACCAGAUUUUGAAAAUGAACCGUCCCAACGCCACAAAAAUGCCGAAAGUAAACUUUUUAUUUGCCAAAAUUCCAUUCCCCGCUCUGUUUCUCCUCCUCGUCCUCUCCUUACCCUUUCAAGUAAUUUUCGAAAAUCUGGACGAUGAACUAUCAAUCCUACUAGACGUUAAACAACAACUGGGCAAUCCCUUGUCACUCCAAUCUUGGAAUUCCUCAUCCUCACCCUGUGAUUGGCCGGAAAUUACAUGCAUCGACAAUAUCGUCACUGAAAUUUCACUCAGCGACAAGACCAUCACAAAGAAAAUUCCGGCUAGAAUUUGUGACCUCAAGAACCUUAUCGUACUUGACGUCUCCAACAAUUACAUUCCAGGCAAGUUCUCGGAUAUUCUAAAUUGUUCUAAGCUGGAGCAUCUCCUCUUGAAGCAAAACUUCUUCGUGGGUCCAAUUCCAACUGACAUUGAUUGACUUUCACGUCUCCGGUACCUAGACCUCACAGCAAACAACUUCUCUGGAGAUAUUCCCACAGCAAUUGGGAGGCUACGGGAGCUGUUCUACUUGUUUCUGGUUCAAAAUGAGUUCAACGGCACCUGACCAAUGGAGAUUGGUAAUUUGGCGAAUCUUGAACAAUUGGCCAUGGCCUAUAAUGAAAAAUUCCAGCCUUCAGCCCUUCCAAAAGAGUUUGGCGCAUUGAAGAAGCUGAAAUAUUUGUGGAUGACGGAGGCGAAUUUGAUUGGCGAAAUACCGGAGAGCUUCAACAAUCUAUCGAAUCUGGAACUCUUGGACCUCUCAGUCAACAAAUUGGAAGGUACGAUCCCGGGAGGCAUGCUUACGUUGAAGAAUUUGAACUAUUUGCAUUUAUUCAUUAAUAGAUUGUCCGGCCACAUUCCUUCAUCCAUAGAAGCUCUCAACUUGAAACAAAUUGAUCUUUCCGACAACCAUUUGAUGGUCCAUACCAGCGGGUUUCGGGAAGCUACAAAAUUUGACGGGUUUGAAUCUUUUCUGGAAUCAGUUGUCAGGAGAGAUACCAGCAAAUAUAAGCCUCAUUCCUACACUAGAAACCUUCAAAGUUUUUAGCAAUCAAUUGAGUGGAGUUUUGCCCCCAGCAUUUGGCCUUCAUUCGGAGCUCAAAUUCUUUGAGAUUUUUUAGAAUAAACUAAGCGGGGAAUUACCUCAACAUUUAUACGCUAGGGGGGCUUUGCUUGGAGUGGUCGCUUCCAACAACAAUCUCAGCGGGGAAGUGCCCACGUCCCUCGGGAAUUGCACAAGUUUACUCACCAUUCAGUUUUCCAACAAUCGUUUUUCAGGUGGGAUUCCUUCCGGAAUCUGGACAUCCCCGAACAUGGUAUCGGUGAUGUUAGAUGGAAAUUCAUUCUCAGGGACACUUCCAAGUAAAUUGGCAAGGAAUUUGUCUAGAGUGGAGAUCGCUAACAACAAGUUUUAUGGUCCAAUUCCUGCUGAAAUCUCUUCCUGGAUGAACAUCUCUGUGCUCAAUGCCAACAACAAUAUGUUGUCUGGAAAAAUUCCAGUGGAAUUGACUAGUCUUUGGAACAUCACUGUUCUGUUGCUUGAUGAGAAUCAAUUCUCGGGUGAACUUCCAUCCCAGAUCAUCUCAUGGAAGUCGCUCAAUAAGUUAAAUCUCUCAAGAAACAAACUUUCUGGCCUAAUUCCCAAGGCAUUAGGUUCUUUAACUAGCCUUAGUUACCUCGACCUGUCAGAAAACCAGUUCUCAGGUCAAAUUCCUCCUAAACUUGGCCAUUUGAACCUUAUUAUCCUCCAUCUUUCGUCCAACCAACUCUCUGGGAUGGUCCCCAUUGAGUUUCAACAUGAAGCAUAUGAAGACAGUUUCUUGAACAAUCCCAAGUUGUGUGUCAAUGUUCCCACUUUGAACCUCCCUAGAUGUGAUGCCAAACCCGUCAACUCCGACAAAUUGUCAACCAAAUAUCUCGUUAUGAUCCUAAUUUUCGCUCUAGCUGGUGCUUUCGUCUCCUUGUCCAAGGUUCAUAUCUAUCAUAGGAAGAAUCACAGUCAGGACCAUACAGCUUGGAAAUUUACUCCAUACCAUAAACUAGAUCUCGAUGAAUACAACAUAUUGUCCAGUUUGACAGAAAAUAAUCUGAUCGUAUGUGGUGGGUCAGGGAAAGUAUACCGAGUUGCUAAUAACCGUUCUGGUGAACUCUUAGCGGUUAAAAUGAUUUGUAAUAACAGGAGAUUGGAUCAAAAGCUUCAGAAACAAUUCGAAACAGAAGUCGAGAUAUUGAGCACCAUGCGCCAUGCCAAUAUAGUGAAGUUGUUGUGCUGCAUAUCAAAUGAAACCUCUAGUCUUCUUGUUUACGAGUACAUGGAGAAGCAGAGUUUGGAUAGAUGGCUUCAUGGGAAGAAGCAGAGAACAUCGUCCAUGACAAGUUCAGUUCAUAACUUCGUCUUGGAUUGGCCAACAAGGUUGCAGAUUGCCAUUGGAGCUGCAAAAGGCCUAUGCCACAUGCAUGAAUACUGUUCUGUCCCAAUCAUACAUCGAGAUGUGAAGUCCAGCAACAUCUUGCUAGAUGCCGAGUUCAACGCGAAAAUUGCGGAUUUUGGAUUGGCUGAGACGUUGGUCAAGCAAGGAGAACCCAACACCAUGUCAAGAAUUGCAGGCUCUUACGGGUAUAUUGCCCCUGGUAUGACCAUCAAGGCCCUCCUUUCCACAUGUUUUCAUUUCCAUAAUUUAUCGAUAAUUUGUAUCAUACCAUUCUUGUAUACUUGGAUGAUAGAGUAUGCUUAUACAACAAAGGUGAACAAGAAGAUCGAUGUAUAUAGCUUUGGAGUAGUCUUGCUUGAGCUUGUGACAGGUAGAGAACCCAACAAUGGGGACGAGCACAUGUGCCUUGCGGAAUGAGCAUGGAAUCAGUUCAGAGAAGGGAAAACCAUUGAGGAAGUGGUAGACGAGGAGAUCAAGGAACAAUGUGAUAGAGCACAAGUGGCCACUCUCUUCAAACUAGGCAUUAAGUGCACUAACAAAUUACCAUCCAAUAGGCCCACAAUGAAAGAGGUUUUGAAAAUUCUUCAAUAGUGCAGUCCUCAGGAGGGCCAUGGAAGAAAUAAAAAGGACCAUGAAGUUGCACCUCCACUUUGAAAUGACACUUAUCCCACCACUUACAAGUUGUGAGGAUAAAGCCCUUAAAAACAUGAUAUGAUGUAAUAAAUUUGGAAGUCAUUAUUUAUUUAAUGAUGUUCCGAUUUCACUUUUAUCUAUCCUUAUUCCAUGUAUUAUACUUUAUGAGUAUUCUCGCCUGCAUCUUUUGCAUUGCACUAGCUUAGGUGCAUUAAGAGUUGCAUAGAAGAUCUAUGUCAUGGGUUCCUUGCAAAUAUAUUACUUGUUCACAACCAGUUCAUGGGUCUAGGAAGCCCAUUAAAUGGCUUCAUGGGAAGAAGCAGAGAACAUCGUCCAUGACAAGUUCAGUUCAUAACUUCGUCUUGGAUUGGCCAACAAGGUUGCAGAUUGCCAUUGGAGCUGCAAAAGGCCUAUGCCACAUGCAUGAAAACUGCUCUGCCCCGAUCAUACACCGAGAUGUGAAGUCCAGCAACAUCUUGCUAGAUGCCGAGUUCAACGCGAAAAUUGCGGAUUUUGGAUUGGCCAAGAUGUUGGUCAAGCAAGGAGAGCCCGACACCAUGUCAGGAAUUGCAGGCUCUUACGGAUAUAUUGCCCCUGGUAAGACCAUCAAGGCCCUCAUUUCCACAUGUUUUCAUUUCCAUAAUUUAUCUAUAAUUUUUAUCAUACAAUUCUUGUAUACUUGGAUGAUAGAGUAUGCUUAUACAACAAAGGUGAACGAGAAGAUCGAUGUAUAUAGCUUUGGAGUAGUCCUGCUUGAGCUAGUGACGGGGAGAAAACCCAACAGCGGGGACGAGCACAUGUGCCUUGUAGAAUGGGUAUGGGAUCAGUUCAGAGAAGGGAAAACCAUUGAGGAAGUGAUGGAUGAGGAGAUCAAGGAACAAUGUGAAAGAACACAAGUGACCACUCUCUUUAGUCUAGGCCUCAUGUGCACUACCACAUUACCAUCCACUAGGCCAACAAUGAAAGAGGUUUUGGAAAUUCUUCGACAGUGUAGUCCUCAGGAGGGCCUGGUAGAAAGAAAAAGGACCAUGAAGUUGCACCUCCACUUUGAAAUGACACUUACCCCACCACUUACAAGUUAUGACGAUAAAGCCCUUAAAAACAUGAUGUGAUGUAAUAAAUUUGGAAGUCAUUAUUUAUUUAAUGAUGUUCCGAUUUCACUUUUAUCUAUCCUUAUUCCAUGUAUUAUACUUUAUGAGCAUUCUUGUUUGCAUCUUUUGCAUUGCACUAGCUUAGGUGCAUUAAGAGUUGCACAGAAGAUCUAUGUCAUGGGUUCCUUGCAAAUAUAUGACUUGUUGACAACCAGUUCAUGGGUCUAGGAAGCCCAUUAGAGGUUGUAAUAAACCACUUCCUAAUUGGAAGAAUGGCUAGUCUUAGCUAUUGGGAUGAGUUUCCAAUGGUAAGUGCAUUAGUGUGUAUGCUUACAUAUUGGACAUGACCUAUGGUGAAUCAUGACUUAAGGUUAUCAAGCAGUCAUGACCUUAUCAAACUGCUUCAUUAUGUUGUCUCUCAACCUUGAGAGAAUAUCGAGCUUGUACUAAAGUCAGCAAUGACUUUGACAUACGGGUGAAAUCAUAAGUUGAUCAUAUAUUCCCUAUGGAUUGAGUCACUGUUGAUGGAAGAUGGUAGUGAUAGGUAUUUUCAAUAAAAACACCAUGAUGUCUCUUGGGAUUAAGACAACGUGCCCCUUUUAGUGAUCCUAAAGAGGUGUGUUCAUAGAAACUAUGGUCAUAAUAGUUCCUUAAGUAAAACUCGACAUAGGCUCUUUGAGAGCUAAGACAUGUCAAUUGAAUACACAAUAUGAGGAUUUAUAACUCAAAGAUGGUAGAGGUAGUCUUGAAAGACUAAUAACUUUCACUUUGUUAGACUACGAAUAUCAGUUCAUGGGAAGACUAAACACAAUAAAUAGCAAGUCACAAACCUGAACAUUUGGUAUCUCAUUGUUAUUUUCAAUAAAAUAACAAUGAGAUGGUAAGUUGAUCAUAUAUACCCUAUGGAUUAGGUCAUUGUUAAUGGAAGAUGGUAGCAAUAGGUAUUUUCAAUAAAAGUACCAUAAUAUCUCUUGGGAUUAAGAUAGUGUGCCCCCUUGGAUGAUCCUAAAGAAGUGUGUUCAUGGAAACUAUAGUCAUAGUAAUUCCUUAAGUAAAACUCAACAUAAGCUCUUUGAGAGCUAAGACAUGUCAAUUGAAUACACAAUAGGAGGAUUUAUAACUCAAGGAUGAUAGAGGUAGCCUUGAAAGACUAAUAACUUUCACUUUGUUAGACUACAAAUACCAGUUCAUGGGGAGACUAAACACAAUAAAUAGCAAGUCACAAGCUCGAGCAUUUGGUAUCUCGUUGUUAUUUACAUAGGAUACCGAAGUUCAAUUGAUUCUCUGUAGUGGGAUGUUGAAUCAACUUUAGAAUUGGAUUUUGAGAGAGUCAGUAUUCCUAUGGCUCCCAAUGGUCCUUGCUCUAAGCUUAUAUACUUUGUUGGCAUGGAUUAUAAGAGUCAGAUUGGCUCUAGAUUUACUUUUGUACAUAAGGGCAUUUUGAUAAUUACGCAAGGUUACAUAAAGGUAAGUGAACAAGGUUUUUAGAUUGGGUUAAUUGAUUAAUUAGUAGGCCUUGUUUGAUUAAUUAAUCAAUUAAGACUUUUUUGGGCUAUAUUAAGUGACCUAAGCCCUUAGUGGGCUCAAGUCACUUAAACCUAAUAGAAAACCCUAUAAAUACCCCCUUAAGGGUUAGAGUUUGUAUAGUUUUUCUAAAGAGCCAUCUUCUAUCUCCAGAGAGAGAAAGAAAGAGAAAGAGUCAUAGUGUCCACCUCCCUUCUAUCUCUACUAGAAGUGUGUCAAGAUCAAGGUUCAAGUCAUUGGGAGGAAGACUUUGGAUUUACGAGACUUCUGCGAUUUCGUUCUUCAUUUUCACCACGUGGAUUUGAUUCAAGAACAUCCGAAUUUAAGGUAUGGUUUUCAUUAGCACUUUCUGAAUCCCUUUAAAGUUUAAAAAUGUUAUUUUUCCUUUGUGCAUAGGAUUAAUUUAGAAAAUGCUUAGAAUAGUUAUGCAUGUUCCAAACCUGAUCUGAGCUUAGGAAAUGGAGAGAUCCUAGUUUUUUCCCUCAAUGUUUGUGCUCCAAAGUGUUGAGAUAGUUUAGAGGGUGACAUGAUGAUUGACAUAAUACCUUAUGUAGAUAACCUAGUGAAUCCCUUCUCCAAGACAUUAAUAGGGAGAGUCUUUGUUGGUCACAUGGAUAGCAUAGGUUUCAGAUGAGUAUUUGGCAUGCUUUAAAGGCAUGAUACUUUGAGGGCUAAUAGGAGAAUGUUAGGAUAAAGCCCUUAAAAGUAUGACAUGAUGUAAUAAAUUUGGAAUUCAUUAUUUAUUUAAUGAUGUUCUAGUUUCACUUUUAUCAAUCUUUAUUCCAUGUAUUAUACUUUAUGAGCAUUCUUGUCUGCAUUUUUUGCAUUGUACAUGACUUAAGUGCAUUAGGAGUUACAUAGAAGAUCUAAGUAAUGGGUUUCUAGCAAAUAAAUGACUUGUUCACAACUGAUUCAUGGGUCUAGGCAACUGAUUACUACUCAAAAAGUGUUAUUUGAUAGCUUGUAAUUAACUCUUUUAAACACUUUUGAGUAGUAGUUAUCACCUUUUAACCCAAUUAACAUAUUAAGGACCCUUACAAUCAAUUCUAAUAAAAUUGUGUUAAGUUUUGGUGUUUUGAUAGCUUUUUUAUCACCAAAGCAAUCCGAGAUUGAGGAGAGUUCUUUGGAAUCCAUGGCAAAGAUGUCUGGACAGGGCGUCUGGACACACCAUCGGAGGGCGGCGGAAUAUGGGUUGUGGCAAGCUGUCGGAAUGACGUAGCAAGGCUUGCUCACUUUAGUCAAUGUUUUCCAUCCGGACAACAUAUCCGGAUAGGAUAUGCUAUCGUCCGCGGUGUGAUGUGCACGAGUGUCGUGUGCUUCUCCCUGAGGGAGUCCGGAUAGCAUAGCGGCGCGUGUCCUCUUGGGGAAUCCGGAUGGAGUUGCACCGGAUAGCAAUGCGCGCUCCGUGUCAUCAGGGGGAGGGGUCCCUACACCUUGUACACGCAGACGAUCCCCCUUGCGACGCGCGGGUAUCUCACUCCCGAAAUUCUGUCUGGUCAGACAUGUCCGGAUCCUCUGAUCGGAUAUUUCACAUCUGGAUAUCUCACAGCCGGAUGGGAGAGGAGGACGUUUCAACUUCCCUGGUCAGACAUGUCCGGAUCCUCUGAUAGCGCCUACCCGAAGAGUUUUUCUCUCAGUAUAUAGUGUCGCGGUGUUCUCCUGAAGCUUCCUGAUAUUUUCGACCGACAUCUUGAGAUAUUUUGCUUUAGAUAUUUGAUGUCUAAAUCCCCAAACUCUCUUUGUAACCCACCUAUCAUAGGAUCUCUUAGUCUUUAAGUAAGAAAAAGGGUGAAUAACCUCUGAUAUAUAUAGUUUGUAAUUUUCUUUAUAAGAAAUUAUGAUGUAAUCGGCGGAAGAAAGAAAUAUAUUUCACAGAGCACUUGCUCUGAUUUUCAUAUAUAUUUUUGUUUUCUCAUUCUUUUUCUUACUAGCCAAACAAGCUCUGAGGAAGUUUCCUCAGAGAAUGAGUGGCUAGACUUUUAGUUCCUUGGAGCUAAGGUUGCCGGGAAAGGUUUCAAGUGCAAGAAUUUAUAGUUUUGUGGUUUCGGCCAUUAAUGAAGAGAAAGUAUGAUCCUUUAAUGAUUUCUAUGUUUUUUAGUUAACUUAAAACACCUUCAAUUCACUUGAGACAACACUUGGUAAGGCAAGUGAUCUCCGUCCAUGGAGAUGCACUAGUUUGCCUCUUGCGAGCUUUUGAGAAGUGACUUGAAGGUAGGAUUUUCUAGAAUUGUCAACACUUGGUAAGCUUUUGGACUCCAAGGAGACAUCCAUUAGUUAUCUUUUGUGAGCUUGAGAAGGGAAGUCCAAAGUUAAUGAUCACCUUGAAUGGCAAAUGCUAGAUGAGAGGCACGAGCCAUUGCAAGUUGCAUCAAUGAGAAGAAACUAGAGUUGAAAUCCAUUUAAAGGAUACAUCUGUACAACACCGGUUAGAGAAUUGACUAUAUGUAAAUUCUCUAAUGCGAGGAAAUGAACCAAAUGACCGAAGCUCUAUUUUUGCAUAAGAAACCUCCCCUGUGAACCUAAACCUCCAAGGAAUGUUUUUCUUCAUAAGUCAUUUCCAUUACUUUCUUUUUAGUUAGCUUUAAACAAAAUCUCAUUUAAACAAAGUUUAUGUUUUAUUUCUUAAGCUAAUCUUGAAAUGAAAAAGCACCAAUUUAACUUUGAAUUGGUAUCAGUUGUGAGUUGAAAACCCUUUCCAGUGAACGAUCCUAGAGCCACUAUGCUAUAUUAGCUAAAGUUAUCCUAAUGCAUAGUGAUAUAGGUUAUAAAUUUUGUUGAUCACUCCCUCAGUCAAGGAGCACCAACUGGACAUGAAUCAGCUAAGACACCAAUUGGGAAUGAAUCAGCAACCCACUAGAGGUUGUAGUGCACCAUACCACCUUCUAAUUGGAGGGAUGACUAGUCUUAAUUAUCAGGAUGAGUUUCCCAUGGUGAGUGCAUUACUAUGUAUGGUUACAUAUUAGACAAGACCUACGGUGUGUCAUGGCUUAAGGCUAUCAAGUAGUCAUGACCUUACCAACCAACUUCAUUGUGUCAUCUCUCAACCUUAAGAGAAUAUUGAGUUUAUACUAAAGUUAGCAAUGGCUUUGACCUACGGGUGAGAUCAUAAGCUAAUCAUAUAUUCCCUAUGGAUUGGGUCAUUGUUGAUGGAAGUCGGUAGCAAUAGGUAUUCUCAAAAGAGGUACCAUGAUAUCUCAUGGGAUUUAGACAGUGUGUCCCCUUGGGUGAUCCUAAGAAAGUGUGUUCAUACAAACUAUGACCAUAGUAGUUCCUUAAGUGGAACUUGACAUAGACUCUUUAACAGCUAAGACAUGUCAAUUAAAUAUAUAAUUGGACGAUCUGUAACUCAAAGAUAGUAGAGGUAAUCUUUAAGGAUUGAUAACUUUCACCUUAUUAAACUACAAACACUAAUUCAUGGGAAAACUAAACAUAAUGGAUAGCAGGUCACGGAUCCGAGCACGUAAUAUCUCAUUGUUAUUUACAUAGGAUAUUGGAGUUCAAUUGAUUCUCUAUGGUGGAAUGUUGAAUCAACUUUAGAAUUGGAUUUUGAGAAAGUCAGUACUCCUACAGGUCCCAAUAGUCCACACUCUAAGCUCAUAUAACCUAUUGACACAUAUUAUGAGGGUCGGAUUGGCUUUAGGUUCAUUUUUGUGUAUAAGGGCAUUUUGGUAAUUACACAAGGUUACACAAGGAUAAGUUAACAAGGUCUCUGGAUUGGACUAAUUGAUUAAUUAAUAGGCCUUAUUGGGUUAAUUAAUCAAUUAGGACUCAUUUUGAGUUAGAUUAAAUGACCCAAGCCCAUGUGGGCUCAAGUCACUUAAGCCCACUUAGGAACCCUAUAAAUACCCCCUAGGAGUUAGGGUUUCCACAACUUUUGUCCUCCACCUGUUAGGAUAGAGCCCUUAAAAGUAUAACAUGAUGUAAUAAAUUUGGAAUUCAUUAUUUAUUUAAGAUGUUCUAGUUUCACAUUUUUUAUUUAAUGUGAAGACGUUUGGAACCCAUCCCUCCUUCACAGAUUUAUCCAAAAGUUGCAUGCUCUGACUCAAGUUUCCAUGCAUACACAACCCUCUGAAGUGAUCAUCAACUCCAUUACCUUAGUAGUUUUUUCCAUGUCAAGCAUACAGUUAGUUUUGAGAGCGAGACCCACUUUCACUAUGAACUCAAUGACCGUGCUUCGAUCAACUAGUUUGGCAUUUUCAUUUCUUUAUGGCAGCCAAAUUUGGACUAUAUCUAACACUUGGCAGCCAAAGGGCAUGAAUCAAAAACAGAGGAAAGCGACAGAAAAAAAAAAAAAAAAAAAACAAAGCACAAAUGGUUGAAACAAAACGAACUAAUAAAAGCCACAUUUUAUGUUUCAAUCAACCGGCUUAGAUGUAGGUGAGUGAAACUGAAAAGAUUUUAAACAAGAACACGAGUAUUAUUCAGACAUUCUAUAGGAAAGCUACAACAGAGAUAAUUCAUGCUCAAACAUAACCAAAGGAAAUGAGGCAUGAAUCAACUAUAACCAAAUCACAAAAACCAAGAGAUUAACAAUAACAAGUGUGUGUCCUACGGUUAUCCAGACCCAAAACAUGGAAAAUUUUAGAAUCUAAUUGAUAAAUGAAAGAAAAAAAAUGGAAAAAAUGGAAGAAAAUUAAAUACACAAUUUAAAGGACUGAGAACCUGACCUGAACUCUCCUGUGAGAUUUAGCAAUUUAUGAACGUAUCUUCAGGCCCCUGUAGAUGAAUCCAUGCUUGGUGGUAGUAUGCUUAUUGAUGAUAGUCUGGAGAUGUGGAAAUCAAAUGAUUCUGAUGAACUAAAUUUGAUGUGUGAUGAGAUAGAUGACGUGUUAUCUAAGGAUCACAAAGUUCAUCAAUAGAAACUCGUUUGAUGAUGCGUCAAUCUGAUGGAGAGAAUCCGUUGAUAAAAAAUGAUGAAAUGCCAAUUUGAAGAUAGUGACUGCGAUUCAUCUCCCGAUAUGAAUCUAAUGAGAACGUUCAGGAGUUAGAAAUGGAGAGCUCUAAUGGCAGUGGUGAUUUGCAGCAACGUCAAUCUCUGGUGGCAGUGAUAGCAAGCUCUAAUGGUGGUAAACUAUGCCGACAAAGACAAUCUCCAUGAAUUGCACAACAAACUUCAAUGGCGAUCUCCAGUGGUGGUGAUGAAUUCUCCUACAACAAUGAACUCUCAUUCUCCUGAAGAGAUGAACUCUCAAAUGUCGGUGAAUUAUUUUUAUAUAUUUUUUUAAUAAAUUUUAAAUGAAAUAAAAUAAAUAAAUUUUAAAUUUUUAUAUAUUUUUUUAAACUCAUUUAACUUAUUUUAAUUUUUCAAUUAUAAAAUUAAAUAAUUUGAAAAUAUAUAAAUUUCUAACUAAUUUUAAUUAUAUUUUAUUUUCUUUUAUAAUUUUCAUAUAUAGUAUAACCAAUACCAAUGUUUUCAAAAUCAGACCGAUGUUUGAACCGGAAAAGUUACCAGUUCACGGUUCAUUAGUCGAACUGGUAGUCAAACCGCGGUCGAAUCAAUGACAUCAUAAAUAAUAAUUUUUUUCUUUUUUCUCACUAACUAAUCCCACAUUGGAAAUGGAUCAAAAAUAUGUAGGAAUUGUGGUAUAAAAGGCAAGUUAGAAUCAUUAACUUGCAAGACUAAAAGCUUAUUGGGCUUGAUGACAAACGGGUUGGAUAGGCUCCUCAUGAAGUGAUCCGGUUCUCUUAUGGUAUCAAAACUUUUUUUAUGGCUUUAAACUAAAUAAAUAAAUAAACUAUUCGGAUCGCUAAGAAUCGCCCGGUUGGGGCGGUUCACUAGUUCAACCGUUGGUUUGAUGCCCAAACGGUUUUUUGGGUGGACCAGACUGGUUUUGUUACCGAUCGGACCAACUGGUCCGGUCCGAUUUUUAAAUCAUUAUCAAAUACAAUAAAAUAAUUUUCCUUAACAUUUCUUUUAUUUUUUUAGUACUUCUCAAGAAUCAAACAUAAUCAUAAGACUAAUCAUAUUUUUUAUUAUAAGAUCAUUCGAAUACAAUGCCCCAAGUGAGAAUCCCAAAACGUUUUUCAAUGUUUUACUAAUAUUAAGAUUUUGAAAAUCUAUACAAUUUCUUUUUUUUUUUUUUUAAUAUUUGGAUGAUAGAGCAUGAGUAUACAAGAAAGGUCAAUGCAAAGAUCAAUGCCUACAAUCUUGAAAUUGCACUUCUAGAGUUGGGCCCUAAAAGAAAACCCAAUAGGGGGAAGGGGCAGCAUUUAAACCUUGUUCAAUGGGCAUGGCAACACCUUGGAGAAGGAAAGUCAUAUGUGAAAGCACCGGAUGAGGAGAUCAUGGCACAAUGCUACUUCAAAAAAAUGAGUACUACGUUCCCAAUAAUCAAACUUUAUCAUGAAAAUGUUGAUGAUAGUGAGGAUUCUCUUAUUUACAAGUAUAGAGACAAAUAGGCAAAAGGUAAAUAAAUUAUUAAUAGAGCUUAAAAUAAUAAAUUGAGCAAAUAAACAUAUGGUAAGAUCGAAACUCAUUAUCCUCCUACUAAAUAAAAUUCUAAUACCAUAUUGGAUAACUAAAUUUUUUAAGAACUUAAACUUAAGAUUUGGAUCCUUAUGAUUGUAUAUCACACUUUCUAAUAAUAUAUCAAAUACUUUUCUAGAUUUUGUGUUGACUUGUGAUUACUUCUCUAAAUCAAUUUUUCAGCAUCUUGUAUAUAUGUAUUUGUUAGGAUGAAUCAAUUAUCAAUGAAUGCAAAAAUGCAACUCCUCAUAGAGUCUCUUGCUUAUUUCCUCUACAACUUAAUUAGAUAAACUUAAAAGAACUCCAGAGUGAUUUCACAAAGAAAUAGGAUAAUUAUUUUAUUUUCAAACCUGCAAAAAAGAUAUGGAAACCGUAUCAUUGAAAUAAUUAGAACAGAAAAUAAUUGGAAUCAAAGUGCUAUUGCCUUAUUUUAAAAACAAAAAAUAAAUAAAAUAAAUCUUAGGCGCCUUUAUGCAAAACUAAAUAUUAGUUGCCUAAAGCUCCUUAUUUGGAAUACUAGAUGGGCGUCAAGCAUCAUUUCAACUCGGCACCUCCUUCGGUAAAUACCAAAAAUAAUAUUUGUUUUGGGAACAAGACUAGAGUUUUGAGCGGAUAUAAUAUAUUUUAAAAAAAUGCACAAAAUAGAUUUUCAAGUAAAAUAAUUCUCAAGUUUCAGCUACAUGGGCAUCCAUAUGGUCGGAGAUUAUUAUUUUUUUAAUGUUGUUCUAUGUCAUAAAACUUUAAUUAGUAACUACGAUUUUAUUUUUUAAAACAUAAAAUGAUAGUUAGCUAUUAUAGUUUUAAAUUUAUUUUUAAAAUCAUAGUCAUCAAUUACGAUUAUAAGCUUAAAUUUAAAACCUUAGUUGGUAACUAAUGUUUUAACCGUUUUACAACAAAAUCAAAAUUAUAGUUCACAACUAUGAUCAUGUGAUAUAGAUACAAGUGUCAAUAAAACACUCCAAUUUGAAAAUUAUUUUGAGAGGGGAUCUACUUUGUAGAUUUUUAUUUGUUAAAAUAAAUUAUUUUUCCUCAAGCCUUAGAAAACUAACUUGUUUAGAACUAAAUUCAAUUAUACACUCUCCUAAUUUUUCUUUUUAUAAGAUCAAAUCCACGUUAUCAGUUUUCCACUAGAAUCCUCAUGAUUACUCGUAGGAUUCUGGAGAUGAAAUGGAAGUGUGGUAUGAGAUGCAUGCUUGUUUAAACUUCAGUUUCAAUCUUGGUCAAUAAUGUCCAUUCCCUUAGAUAUGCAGGAUGUGGAACCACUGCUGGAUCCUUUGUGAGACUUGACCAUCAGUAUCCUUCUCUCCAUUUGUGGGGUACUGCCCACUUGAUCACUGCUGUGGAAAUUUGACCAACACACCCAAAUUCCCAACAACCCAAAACCACAGAUUUCUUCAUCCUUCCAUCCAUCUUUCUUGAAGUAAAAUAGACAUCCAUGUGGUCUUUGUUUUUCAUUGGUUUCACUUUCUCCCAAGAAUACUAAUCUUGUCUUUAUUGACUGAUUAGUUUAAUUAGAGAUCAUCCAAGAAAAAGAAUAUCACAUUUUAUAUUAAAAAAAAAAAGUAUUGAAUAUAUUAGCAAGAUAUCAUCCUCGAAAAGUUGGAAAUGUAAUCUUGUACAAGGAAAGGAAACAAGGGGGAGUCUUAAAUAAAUUGUUUCCAAAAGAGACCAAAUGACCCAUGUCUUUAGGGGUGUAUCCUUCAUGUAUAUAAAUAAGCAUUGAAAGCGAGGGAAUAUGGAAGUUUAGAGACAAGACUUUGUUUUCUAUGAAUAAAUUAAAUGUGGUUUCAUGGCUUCCAGCCCUUUUCAAAGUAUUCAGUGGAGAUUGGCCCGAUUCCAAUGGAUUGAUCACUUUUUCCAUAAUGCAUAGUUUGAUUAGGUCACCAACCAUUCGCUAAGCCGUCAUACCUUUUUUCUACACCAACUCAAAAACCCCACUUGUCCAAUAUGUUUUUAUUUUUUAAAACAGCCAUUAACACAACAUUUUUAAACACAUCCAUUCUCAUGUCUCUCUACCUAACGUUAAUAUCCCAUUUUUAAGUGAUUGAUGUAACCAUUUUCAAACACUUCCAUUUUCAUAUCUCUCACAUAUCUCCAUCUGAAUUUUGAAGUGAUUCUACUUUGAAAAAAAAUACUUUUAAAGAAAAUAUUUCAAUUAAAAACACAUUAAACAAAAAAUACUAUUAAACACACUUUUAAUUUAUAUUAUUUUUUAUCAGUAACACUUUUACUAUAAAAAAAUACUUUUAGUGGUAAUCACUUAAUAUUUGAAUAUACAAAUAAAAUUUACCUUUUAUAUAAUGUAUUAGAAAAAAAAAGGUUUUUAAAAGAAACAUCCAUCAAUAUAUUAUAUAACAAAUUAUUGUCUUUAAAACCUAAUUUUUAUUAUAAAAAAAAUGCUUCUAAAAAGGUAUUAUAUCUCACUCAAAAUUACUACCAAAUCAAUUCUAAUAAUAGUUUGAAAAUGGGUUGAACUUUUAUAUUUAUCAAGAAAAAAUUGUAGAAGUAACCACUAUGUUUGAAAAUUAUAUGUCAAAAAUAUUUUUAUUAAAGAGAAAGAUAAUUAUAACAAAGCUUAUUGUCAUUAUUUCUCGAUAACACAAUGAAAUCGUAUGGAGCUUAUAAUCAAAAGUUCUUUUCAAAUGACUAACAAAGGGUUUUAUUCUUGAGUUGUUUUAAUUUACUACUAUUUUUAUCAUUUACCUAUGUUAUUAAUGGUGAUUAAAUGAUAAAAAUAUAUAUAUUUAAUGCAUAUUAAUUUCUUUUCACAUCCAAUUUUCAAGUGGAUAUGCUAUAAAAAUGUUGUAAAAUAAUUUUUUUAAAAUAACAUUUUCAUGUGAUUUUUUAUUCAUAAUUAGUUAUAGAAAAAAAUUAAAAUGCUUAGUUAUGAUUAAAACGAUUCCAUUUCAUAUUUGACAUCAACACAUGUUAUUUUAUCAUCUAAUAUUGUUACAUUAAAAAACACUCAAUUUAACAUGAAUAUUAUUAAAUAUAUAUAUAUAUUUAAAAUUAUUUUAAUCUUUCUAUUUAAAAAAAAAAAUUGAUGCAUUAUCGAUAUUUCCAUGAAAUCCACACGUGUCCCAUGAUUAUAGACUAAUUCGUUUGUAGUGUGGACGCAAUGACAAGUCAGAAGUCUCCCAUUUCUUUUCUAGUCAAUGGGCAUGUUCCACAUUUAUUUAUGAUAUUUCGGAUUACACGAAGACUUCCAAAAGCAAUCGAUGGCCCAUUUUUCUUCUGAUAAGCUUCAUGGAAUCUUUUAGACGAAGGAGGAUGCUACUUCCACAUUCUUUAACCGAGCGUGUCAACCAAGCUCUCUCGAAUUUUUCUAUAUUCUUAAUUUCUAAAAAAAAUUCAAUAUGGGAUAUCUAUUUUAAAAUUAUCUUUUUGAUAGAUAUUUUAUAAAUUUUAAAAUGUUUUUUCAAUUAUUAUACAUCUCAAAUUAUUUCUAUACCAUUUUUUUAUUUGGUCUUAUCUAGUUUAAACAAUGAUAAGAUAAUUUCAUAUAUGAUUUUUUAAGUAUUAUUGUUUGUAACCUAAAUCCAUUUGUGUGUAUUAUUUUACCUUAAUUUCGUUUGUUUGCAUGUUCAACCUAUGACCUAAAUUUCAUUACAUAUAUUCAACCAUUUAGAAUUUUUGUUUGAUAUGUAAUGUUUUACCUUAAUAUGUUCUCAAAUUACAUAUAUUAUGGGGAUAUAUAUAGAUAGAUUAUGGUUUGUUCCAUUUCCGUCACUUCAUGAGUUUCCCCUAAUCCACUUACUCCACUCCCAAUAGUGAUAAACUAUAUCUUGAAAGUGAAGUUGGCUUCACUUAUCCCUGAAUAAAAGACCUAUCCUCAAGAGUCAAGAUACUCCAAUUUGAAUUUGAACUCAAACCUAAGGAUAGAUCUUCGACCACCACCAUCUAUUGUCUCCUAAUAGGGGAGAUAUUAUUAGCCUUUUUUUUUCUUUUUCUUUUUUUCUUUUACCCCACUUUAACCAAAAGAUAAGAUAAGCUUAUUACAAGAUUAUAGAAAGAACGUACUUGUCUUUAUUUAUGAUAUUUUUUUUAAAAUAAUUCAACUUUAUUAAAUCUAAGUUAGAUAUAAAUUCCAAUUAUUCUACUUUUGACCAAAUCAUAGCGGUGACCAACACUAACUAUUUAAAAAAUUAAAAUAAGUAAAAAAAAACACUUUUUUUAACUUUAAGGUGGUAGAGCUUCAAAACAAUGAACUAAAAAGAUAAAACUAAGUGCAAGUUAAAAUAGAGAAUAAGGAACUCAAACAUUUUAUAAGAUAUACUUGACAUAAGUGAAAAUAAUUUAAAAGAAAAAAUAGUUCUUGCUUUGUGUGAAACAAAGUACUAUUAUUUUUAUGUUUAUUUCAUGUUAUCCAUAAAACAAUACAAAUGAUUUCAAUAGUUUGAGUGUUCUCCAAUUUUUAAAAUUCAUUCUCACUAUUUCAAGCUAUAUUUACUAAAGUUAUAUGUUGGAUUUCUAAAAAUGAGGGAAUAUAUAAGUUAAUGGAUGAAGGUUUGAUUUUAACAAUAAGGAUUGUGUUAUGGUGCUCAUACAAUUCGAACCAAAAUACACGCAACAACUCUAGAAGUAAUGAUGUAAUGUUACUUAUGUUGGAUUUUAUGAAAAUAUCAAUAAAAAUACUUAUAUUCGUGUAAAGUUUAUGUGGUACCAAUCAUAUGAUAUCAUAUAAACAUUUUAUGUUUUAUUACUGGUUUCAUUCAUCUAUAUUUAUCUUAUCUAUUUAUGUUUUAACCCUAUAUAUUUAUAUUUUCAUUCAAUAUAAAUUUUAUCAUAUAGUUUCAAUAACAAAAACAAAUGUACAUUUAAUACCGAAACUGCUUCUAACAUUAAAGUAAAUAUGAUUUCACGAAUUUCAUAUUUUCUAUCAUCUUUACCAAAAUUGAAUAGGGUUGAUUACUUUUUUCCCAUUCCAUGAUUUGAUCGCGUGAAGAUGAUUCCACCACCAAUCAUUUACUAAAAUGUGACACCCAUUUUCUACACCAACUCAAGCACUCCACUUUUGUUAAUAGCUUUUAGCCGAUAUAAAAAAGUGAACAAAACCGCUUUCAUAUUUUACCUACCAGGGCUAAGAAAUAUAAAUAGAGAUAGAAAUAAUUACUAUUUGUUAAAUAUAUAUUUUAUGUUUUAAAUAUAUAUAUAUAUAUAUAUAUAUAUAUAUAUAUAUAUAUAUAUAUAUAUAUAUAUAUAUAUAUAUAUAUAUAUUCUUUUUAAAAAUAAAAAUAAUCAUGAUAUUAAUUUGUUAAAAUUUACUCUAACAUCAUCUAAUACAAAUAAAUCAUGUACGAAAAUGCAAGAAUUAUGAUCAAGAGUUUCAUCCAACCAAUUAUAAAAAUUAUGUUUUACCUUUAAAAUUGGUUUUUAACACAAAGCUCUUCUAAUUCAGAACUUUAUUCUUUUACUCUUAUUUUUAUCAUUUAAAUAUAUGAUUAAUCAUGAUUAGAUAUUAAAAAAACAACUUUCAUAUUUAAUAUAUUCCCUUAUCAUCGAUUAAGUUUGAUUUUUUUUUUUUUUUGUUGUGUGUAUAUCUUUAUACUUUUUCUUCUUACAAAUUUUUUUUCACAUUUUAAUAUUUUUAUCAUUUACCAAAGCUUCAUUUAAAAUUUUCGUGUUUUUGAUAAUUUUUUAUUUGUAUAAAAAUUUACAUGAAUAUAAAUAUUUUUAUUGAUAUUUUGAUAAAAUCCAACAGCAGGGACAUUUCAUCAUUGCUUCUUGAGGUGGUGCGUGUAUAGUGCAUAUAGCAUGGGAAUAAGGAUAAGUCUCCUUUUUUACUAUUCAAUUCAAUGCCCUUUCACAUUCAUUUAUUAAUUGUUUGGACUUGUGAAAGCAACCUUCCCCCGUUUUCUUGACGCAACCUGCUACUUCCACGUGAGCAUGCCAAACACGCUUAGGGCCUGUUUGUUGAUGUUUUCAAAUACAUUUUUGGAAACAGUUUUUAGUGUUUUCAGAAAUAAAAUUAUGUUUGUUUAUUCUCAAAAAUAAAAAGAAUUAAAAAAAAACAUAUUUAUUUCAAUUAAUAAAAAUAAUUUUUAAUAACAAAUAAAACAAAAAAACUUGUUUGGAAAAUAUUAUUGUUGGUUUUGUUUUUUAAAGUUGAGUAUUUUAUUUAACUAAUUGAUAUUGUAAAUAUAUAAAUAAUUUUUCUUCAUAAAAAUAAAAAUGUUUCAUUUUGAACAUUUUUUGCAUUGGUUUUAAUUUUUUAAAACAAAUUAUUACUUUGUAAACAUGUCUAAAUAUGUUUGAUUUUAAUAAUUGAUAAACACCAUCUUAUCAAAAUAUCAUAAAUCGGUAAAUAUCAAUAAUUGGAUUUUAUGAAAUAAAAUUUAUGAUAUCAAAUAAUAAUGCAUUAUACUUGGAAACUGAUGAUCUAUCUUUUUUACUAAUAAUAUAUUUAUGAUAAUUUUUAUUUAAAAAUAUUUAUAAUUAUAUUUUAUAUUUAAGAAUUAUAUAAAAGAUAAAAAAAAUUAAAGUAAAUCAAACUAAUUUAUUUAUGAAAAUUUAUUAAUUUUUACUAUUUUACAUAUUAUAUAUAUAUAUAAGACAAGAAUCCUUGUUCUCUUUUCUCUCUUCUCCUCAUGGUUUCUCUUCCAAGACCCAAACUUUUAUUCACGGUUGAACUAUUUUUCUCCUCAAAGAACAACUCAUGAAAGUCAAAAUCUAGAUCUAUGAUUGUUGUAAAGAUUAUUGGUUAGGAUUUUGCCUCUUGUGUUAUUGUUUAUGUUUUUGUUUGGUUUUUGGGAAAUCCUAGAAUUUAUGGAAGUUUAGGCUUUGAAAUGCAUUAAAAAAAUCAUAUUAGGAUAAAAUCCCAAAAUAUCCAAAAAAUAUUGAAAUGGAAAUAAAAAAAAUAAAAAUAAAAAAAUUGAAUUUUUGUUAAACCGAAUUUUCAAUUUUCUAAUUUUUCCCAUUUUCCUUGGCAGUGUAAAAAAAAAAAUGAUAAGAACACCCAAGAAUACUAAUUGAAAACACAGACAUUUUUUUUUUUUUUUACUUCUUAGAAUAGUGGCAACAACACAAAAAAAAAAUCAUUUUAAAACCAGAUUUUAGAAAACACAUAAAACACUUGAGAACAAAAAAACACUCUCUUAUCAAACAUGAUUUUUGUGUUUUUGUUCUAAAAAUGGAAAACAGUUUUUGGAAACACCAACCAAACAAGUCCUUAAUGACUCAUUUUUCUUUUCUUUUUUUUGCUUAUUUGUGUAUUCUGUUUUCUAUUUUUAUUUUUAAAGAAAAUAAAAAUCAAGUUUAAAAACAUGUUUAGAUAUUAUUCUUAAUUUUUAUUUUUGAAAAAUUGAGUUCAAAAAAGGUCAAAAAUGAAAAUAAUAAUUUGGUGCUUUUAAAAAAAUUUUAUGGCGAUGUUUUUCAAUCUAACAUAAAAAUAGAAAAAUUAUCUUUAGAAUUAAUUAUAAAAUUAUAAUAAAAAAUUUUGUAUAUUAUUUUAAAAUAAAAAUAUAAUCAAAUACAAAAUAAUAAAAUAAAACAAGGAACAAAUAUGAUAUAAUAUCAUAUAGUAGCAUAUAAUAUAUAAUAUAUAAUAUCAAUAAAUAACAACUAAUAAAAUUAUUAUAUAUGUUAUAUUUUAUGCUUGCUAAAUCAAUUUAAUGUUUUAAAGUGACUUCAUAACUUGAUUUAAAUUAUUAAAUAAAUUAAAAUUUUGAUAAAAUAACUUAAUAUCAUAAUUUAAAAUUAAAAUAAUUUUAAGUGUUAAGUCAAAAUAAUUAAUUUAUUUUUAAUGUCAAAUCAUUUUUAUUAGAUAUUUACUUUGUUCAGUAAAAUUGAGUUAAUCUUUUGAAAUUAUCAAAUUUACAUUUUUAUUUUUCUUAAUUUAAAGCAAUAAAUUUAUUUGUUACACGAUUUGUAUUAAUCGUAUUCCAAAUAUAUAAAAUAAUUACAAUAAUUACUAAAUAUUUAGCUCAAAGAAAAUGUGUCGUGAAUAUAAAAUCAUGCAUAUUAUAUAAAUUACUAUUACAUGUGUGAGUAAAUAAGAUAGAAAUGAUUUAACAUUCAAAAUAAAUUUAUUAUUUUAAUUUAAUAUUUAAGAAUUAGUUUUAAUAUUAAAUAUAUUUAAUUUAUUUAAUAACUCAAAUUAAGUUAUUAUUAAUUAUUUAAUAUAUAAGAAUAAAAAGAUAUAAAAUAAAAGCAAGGAAAUAUAAAAUAUUUCAAAAUUAUUAAUUAUUUUUUCAUGAGUGGAUAUAAAAAUAACUAGGGGAGUAUGAUUUUAAUUUUAUAUUCUUAUACUGCUGCUGGAAUAAUAUGUUUGCAUUAUUUUUCGAAGGUGAAAAUAUAAAAUUACAAACAUUCAAAUAACAUAUAGAGAUUGUUUUGUUACCAUUUUAAUAGGAAUAACUAUAAAUGCAUAAGAGCAAUUCUCAUUGGAUAUAGUUUCUAUAUACUUCAUUAAAACACGGAAAAUAAUUUAAAUUUAUUCUAAAAAAGUAGUUCAAUUUUGAAAAACAAGCCCUCAAAACCUUGUUUCCAGCACAAAACUUGCCAAUGAGUCACGUGGUAUAAACUUCCUUUGAUUGAACUUUUGAAGAAAAAAAUCACGCAGUGUUUUGUUUUUGAAAAGUGUAAAGAAAAAUAUAUUUGUUUUUAUAUCUACAUAUUAACAAAAAGGAAACUUUCAAUCCAUGUUAUAAAUAAUAAAAUAUGAAUUAAACAUUUUUGCUCUUCUUUCUUUCCUCAUGAGCACACCAUAGUAGUCUAUCUGGUUCUUAGAAAAUAUUAAGAAUAGAAAAAAAAAAUAUUAAGAAAUAAUUUUUUUUUAUAUUUUAUUAACAUGAAAAAUAUUAAAAUCAAAUCAAUGUAAUUAAAAAUAGUUUAAAUUUUAUGCAUUUUAAAUUAUUUUAUCUUUAUAUAAGAGAAAAAUAAAUAAAUGGGUUUAAAGAAACAUAUAAAUAUAAUUUAUUAAUAAUAUUAAUUUUUUUUUUCAUUUUCCUUCAUCUAAAAAACUGAAGAUUUUUUUAAAAAAUAAAAAAAUUACUACCUAAAUUGACUUGCCUUUUAAGUAAUAAUUAUUAGGAAUAUAAAAUAGUAUUAAUAGGAUAAAAUAAAGCGUCAUGUAAGCUAAUAUUUUGUAUUUUAUAAUUACAUAGAGUAAUCAUAAAGUCACAUAUGACAAAACCAAAUAAAUAAAUAAAUGAGAGCUUGCAUCACCAACUGGGUUAUUAAAGUAAUUAAGCCAAGAAAAUUCUUAUGCAGAGUCUGAUGAUUCAACAAGCUACCUUCCAGACAAUGGUGAUGACUUUGAAGGAAUCCUUCCUCCAAUAAGAAGAUCUAAGUAAUCAUCAGCCUUUUGUCUUCCAUCAAGAAUAUUUUACAAGCUUUGCAGUUUCUGUUCCAAAAGCAGCAAGCAUGUGUCUACACAGCAGCCUGCCAGAAGUCUUCUCAGCCAAAAGAGGGUUUUUCGGGGGAUUUCGGUAUAAAAGUGAAUCUUACUAUUCACUAUUCACUAUUCAAGCACGGGUCUACUAUUCAUGGUUACUAUUCAAGUUUCCUUUUUUGCCUAUUUAAGGAGGCUCGAGCCUCAUUUGUAAGCACGUUCAAUUUAGGCUCCCAUGCUCUCCAUUCUCUCUUCUUUCUCUCUCAUCAUGUAAACUCUUCAAGCUUUCAAGCUUUCUUCAAGCUUUCCUACCCCUGUCUAUUGUAAGAUAUUUCUCCUUGUGUAUAAUAUAAGUAUGUUUUGAUUACCUCCUAUAUGGAUGGUUUUUAAUUAUGUUUUGUUUUUCAUUUUAUUUUAUGUUCUUGUACUGCCUAUAUGGUCGGUUUUAAUUAAGCUUUGUUUUUAAGUUUAUGUCUUUUAUUUUGUACCGCCUACAUGGUCGGUUUUAAGCUUAUUAUGAACUAACAAGUUUUUGGUUCCUUCUCUUUAAAUUUCUUUAUUGGAUAUCUUUUGUAUUUUCUAACCCUCUUCUUUGUUUUGAAUCAUGGCAUAAUUCCGAUUUUCUGGAAAUCUUGAGGGGUCUUAGCUGCUGCAAGCAUGGCUUGUAACUGUUGCUUUUUAAGGAGAAACUGAGACAUAUCAUCACUGGCUGAGACUUGUGUGGGAUUUUGGAGGAAAUACUGCUUAACUGUAUCAAUAGAUGCGUCAUUUUUUAAGGCAUCCCACCAUUUAGUUUUAAAGGUCCUUCCAAGAGAUGGAAAGGCUGCUGAUUCAUCUGUAAUGAUAAUAUAGUCCCACUGGACUAUCCAAGCAAGGCCAAAUUUGCUGAAGAAGAAUAGUAAAGGGGGAAAAGCUGAAAGUUCUCUAGGGAUAUCAUUAUCUGAAUCAGUCCUUGAUUCAGAGUCUGAGUUUAACAUUACCUUACAAAGCAUAUUUUUUAGGUCAUCUGAGACACUUAAGUUGUUAAUCUUUUGCUUAACUCUACAAUUUUUUUUAUAAUGGCCAACUUUGCCACAUUUAAAACAGAUAAUUGGCUUGAUGUCUAAAGGAGUUUCUUACUUUUUCUGGGUAUCUCUGUUGACCCUUCUUUGGACGUGCCUUGACUGCUUAGUAUCAUUCAUCCUAUAGUUGUCAUAGGUACCUCUCUUACUGUGGUAAAACUUAUCUUUGCUAGGCUUCCUGCUUGGCUUUUGCUUAGAGGGAGGCAUAGUUUCUUUUUGGCUGAAACCAAACUGGCUAUAGAAUGAUCCAAAUUCAUUCUUGUAGAUUUUUUGUUCAUUCUUCAUUUGUUGCUUAAGCUUGAAGUCAUUGCACAACUUAAUCCCUUUAGCUGUGACAAUGCUUAUAAUCUCACCAUAGGUUAGCUUAUCAUAAGGGAUUUGACCAUUAUACUGUUCCCUUAUCUUGAUCCUAAUUCUCUCAGAGAAAAGCUUGGGUAAUCCUGAGAUGAACUUUUCUUUCCAAAAAGACUGGUUACAAUCUGAUCUUAGCAUGACUUUGGUUAGGAAGACUUCCUUAUACCACCUAAAAUCAUGAAGCUUGGGACACUUAAGGUUGGUUAAGAGAUCUGCAGUUUUAUCCUUAAUUUUUGCAGGAUCUCCAAUGAAGUGCUUGGAUAUUGAGUAGAUUAGAGUAGCCACUGCAUCCUCAAUAUCUUGGCCAUCUUCGUCUUUAACCACUUCAUUACUCUCAUUAAUCCUAUAGGCUUUAAGGAUACUAUUUCUAUCAUCAAAAGUGAGAUAAUUAUCCCACCAACCCUUAAGCUGUCCUAUAAACCCAGCAACAAUGGUCUGAGCUACAGCAUGAUCUGGCAGUCUAUUGUUUAAUUUAUAGGUUGUACUAACCAUGGUCAUUUCUUGAAGCUUAGUGAGUAUGUUAUACUCGGUCAUACCGUCUAUGUUCCAUUCAUAGAUAGUACCACUGGUGUAUGAGGCUUGAGUAUACUGAUUUCUUUCCUCAAACUGCAUGUCAGGAAAAGUAGGCCUAGGAUAGUAAUUCCUAGUCUUAAAGGUUUCCAAGUUGUUAAUAAUUUGAUUAUGGGGUUCCUCAAACAUCUUAAUUAGUUCAUCAGCUUCUUCUUCUGAACUAAUAUCACCUUUAACCAUAUUGAUUCUCUUAUCAGGCUGAACAGUCAAAGGGGCAACAAGAUUAUCCUUAAUCUUUUGAUUAAUCCUAUCAACAAAAGCCUGGUUGAUUUGGGGAUUUUCUUGGAAUUCCUUAGAAAAUUCAAAGGACUCAGUGCUCUUCGUAUUAUUAACACGCUUAUAAGGAUAAUCUGGAUAUUCCUCUUGUUUGAAGAGUUCAAACCAAAUCCAAAACUUAAUAUUUUUCUUUUCUUGUCUUAAGUAGGCAUAGAAUUCUUCUUGGUAAAUGGUUCUAAUGACCUUAGGGACCGUGCUAAAGAACCAAUCAUUUCUUUGCUUAUUGACUUCAGAAUAGAAGUCUUUUCUUAAGAGAUCCUUGUUGAUCUCAAAGUCCUCAUCACUUAGGCUUAUUGUGUUAAUCAUCUGGGAAUAGGUAGGAGACAUAACAGGGGACUCAUCCUGUUGGGAUUCUUGAGUAGACUCAUUUUCCUCAGAGUAAAAUGGUCUAGCCACGUUGGUGUAACUUCUGACACCUGUUAGCUUAAUGUUCUUAGGAUUUCCUGAGCUGGAUCCUUCUUCUUCCCUAGUGGUUCUAACUGGGAUGGAAGAGCUUGAAGCUCUAGAGGGUUCAUAAACAGAAACUCUAGGGCUGUUAGAAUGUUUGAAAGAUUUGGAGAAAACGAGUUCUCCUCCUCCAUCUGGAUAUUGAACAAUUUGUUCAAUACUUUCAGAACGUUGUGCAAUGGCUGGAACAUCAUUAGCAAAAUGUCAAUUUUCAGGAAAAUCAACAUCUUUCCACAAGAUCUUCUUGGGGAUGAUGAAAUCUGACUUAUCUAACAUAUCUGAGUGAAAGUAAGUGGUCUCACCUUUAGGACUGGUGCAAAGAGCCCCAGAUCCAACGCUUGUGUUCAUGCUCUUAUAGGCAAACCUGGUUAUGAUUGAAACAGGACUGUUUCCUGGUUUGAUCUUAAAGCCAUGGGUCUUAAUAUGCAGGACAACGGAAUCUAAGAUGUUUGCAUCUCUUAUUCUAACUGUGAAGUUAGGAUAGCACUGGAAAUAAACUGGGUCAUCAUUCAGUCCAGCUUGGACUGCGCCUAUAAUAGAAUCUCGAUAUUCGAGAUGCCUAUUAUCCCUUAAACACAUGACAAUAGAGGUGUUUAAACCUAAUCUUGUCAAAGGCUUAGCUGCUACUUGAAUCAUACCAAAGUGUAUGAAAUUAUAGUCAUCUUUCUUAUGCUUUUCAACGGAUCUGUUAUCUAGAAGUCUUAUGACUUGGUCGUCUUGUUCUAAACUGACUGACAUUUCAGAGGUCUUGAUGGUAUAACUAUAAAUGCAUAAGAGCAAUUGGAUAUAGUUUCUAUAUACUUCAUUAAAACACUGAAAAUAAUUUAAAAUUUAUUCUAAAAAAGUAGUUCAAUUUUGAAAAACAAGCCCUCAAAACCUUGUUUCCAGCACAAAAUUUGUCAAUGAGUCACGUGGUAUAAACUUGCUUUGAUUGAACUUUUGAAGAAAAAAAUCACGCAGUGUUUUGUUUUUGAAAAGUGUAAAGAAAAAUAUAUUUGUUUUUAUAUCUACAUAUUAACAAAAAGGAAACUUUCAAUCCAUGUUAUAAAUAAUAAAAUAUGAAUUAAACAUUUUUGCUCUUCUUUCUUUCCUCAUGAGCACACCAUAGUAGUCUAUCUAGUUCCUAGAAAAUAUUAAGAAUAGAAAAAAAAUAUUAAAAAAAUAAUUUUUUUGAUAUUUUAUUUAACAUGAAAAAUAUUAAAAUCAAACCAAUAUAAUUAAAAAUAGUUUAAAUUUUAUGUAUUUUAAAUUAUUUUAUCUUUAUAUAAUAGAAAAAUAAAUAAAUGGGUUUAAAGAAACAUAUAAAUAUAAUUUAUUAAUAAUAUUAAUUUUUUUUCCUUCAUCUAAAAAAAAUGAAGAUUUUUUUUUAAAAAGAAAAGAAAUUAUUAUCUAAAUUGACUUGCAUUUUAAGUAAUAAUUAUUAGGAAUAUAAAAUAGUAUUGAUAGGAUAAAAUAGAGUGUCAUGUAAGCUAAUAAUUUUGUAUUUUAUAAUUACAUAAAGUCACAUAUGACAAAACCAAAUAAAUAAAUAAAUGAGAGCUUGCAUCACCAACCGGGUUAUUAAAGUAAUUAAGCCAUUUGACAUCAUAUAUGAACCCAUAUGAGAUUUUUUUUUUUUUUUGAAAAAAAAGAAAGGAAAAAGAAAUUCCUCUUGAAAGGGGGUGUUUUUUAAAAAAAAAAUUUAAAAAUAAGCUUUUUAAAACAAGACUAUUUGGCAAGAAGUUUUAAAAAAGAAAACAAAAAGUUUGUUUGGAUGAAAGAAUUUAUAUUGUUUUUAUGUUUUACUUUUAUUUUAUAAAAAAUUUACAAAUUCAAUUUAUAAUAAUAUGAAAUCAAAUUUAAGUCUUAUUAAAAAAAAAUUAAAUCUACAAUUAUGUAUAACUUAGAUAAACAUUUUUUAAGUUGUUUUGUUGAAUAAGUUAAUAUAUGAAUGAUAUAAUUUAUCAUAUUUAAUAAUAAUAUUAAAUGCAUCCAUAACAAAUAUGAAUUUUAUAAGUAUGCAUUCAUUAUUAAAAUAUAUCAAAUAUAUAUCAUAGUCCAAUAUAUUUAUAAAUAGGCCAGCUUGCUUAAGUGGUGUGCAAGGUUUAUUACAAAUCCGUGUGAGUAGCGGUAGCACAAAACACCGAGUUCAUUGGUCAUGGACUCGGGGCUCCUUCGUAAUUAAUUCCAACAAGCAAGUCAGUUUGUAAAAUUCAGUAGAAUAAAUUCUGUCAGCGCCCCAGAUUUUGAAAUUGAACCGUUGGUUUCCACCACAUUCCCAGCAUUCUUCCUCCCAACUCUUUCCCGACCAUCUUCCUACCUCCUCACAGAGAAGCCGGUGACGAACUCAACGUCACAAAAUGCCGAAACUACCCUUUUUAUUUGCCACAAUUCCAUUUCCAGGCCAUCUUCCUCCCUCCUCACAGAGAAGCCGGUAACGAACUCAACGUCACAAAAUGCUGAAACUACCCUUAUUAUUUGCCACAACUCCAUUCCCCACCCUGUUCUUCCUCCUCGUCCUCUCCAUAUUUCAGGUAAUUUCCCAAAAUUUGGACGAUGAACGAUCAAUCCUACUAGACGUUAAACAACAACUGGGCAAUCCACCGUCACUCCAAUCGUGGAAUUCCUCAUCCUCGCCCUGUGAUUGGCGGGAAAUUACAUGCACCGACAAUACCGUCACUGCAAUUUCACUCCACAAUAAGACCAUCAGAGAGAAAAUUCCAGCCACAAUUUGUGACCUCAAGAACCUCAUCGUACUUGACCUUUCCAACAAUUACAUUCCCGGCGAGUUCUCGGAUAUUCUCAAUUGUUCCAAGCUUGAGUAUCUGCUCUUGUUGCAAAACUCCUUCGUGGGUCCAAUUCCAGCUGAUAUUGAUCGACUUUCACGUCUCCGGUACCUAGACCUCACAACAAACAACUUCUCUGGAGAUAUUCCCGCAGCAAUUGGGAGGCUACGGGAGCUGUUCUACUUGCUUCUGGUUCAAAAUGAGUUCAACGGCACCUGGCCAACGGAGAUUGGUAAUUUGGCGAAUCUUGAACAAUUGGCCAUGGCCUAUAAUGACAAAUUCCGGCCUUCAGCCCUUCCAAAAGAGUUUGGCGCAUUGAAGAAGUUGAAAUAUCUGUGGAUGACGCAGGCGAAUUUGAUUGGCGAAAUACCGGAGAGCUUCAACCAUCUGUCGAGUCUGGAACACUUGGAUCUCUCACUCAACAAAUUAGAAGGUACGAUCCCUGGAGUCAUGCUUACGUUGAAGAAUUUGACCAAUUUGUAUUUAUUCAAUAAUAGAUUGUCCGGCCGCAUUCCUUCAUCCAUAGAAGCUCUCAACUUGAAAGAAAUUGAUCUUUCCAAGAACCAUUUGACGGGGUCGAUACCAGCGGGUUUCGGGAAGCUACAAAAUUUGACCGGUCUGAAUCUUUUCUAGAAUCAGUUGUCAGGAGAGAUACCAGUAAAUAUAAGCCUCAUUCCUACACUGGAAACUUUCAAAGUUUUUAGCAAUCAAUUGAGUGGAGUUUUGCCUCCAGCAUUUGGCCUUCAUUCGGAGCUCAAACGCUUUGAGGUUUCCAAGAAUAAACUAAGCGGGGAAUUACCUCAACAUUUAUGCGCUAGGGGGGCUUUGCUUGGAGUGGUUGCUUCCAACAACAAUCUCAGCGGGGAAGUGCCCAAGUCCCUCGGGAAUUGCACAAGUUUGCUCACCAUUCAGCUUUCCAACAAUCGCUUUUCAGGUGAGAUUCCUUCCGACAUCUGGACAUCCCCGGACAUGAUAUGGGUGAUGUUAGCUGGAAAUUCAUUCUCGGGGACACUUCCAAGUAAAUUGGCAAGGAAUUUGUCCAGAGUGGAGAUCAGUAACAACAAGUUUUCUGGUCCAAUUCCUGCUGAAAUCUCUUCUUGGAUGAACAUAGCUGUGCUCAAUGCCCGCAACAAUAUGUUGUCAGGAAAAAUUCCAGUGGAAUUGACCAGUCUUCGGAACAUCUCUGUUAUGUUGCUUGAUGGGAAUCAAUUCUCGGGUGAGCUUCCAUCCGAGAUCAUCUCAUGGAAGUCGCUCAAUAAUUUGAAUCUCUCAAGAAACAAACUUUCUGGCCCAAUUCCCAAGGCAUUAGGUUCUUUACCUAACCUUAAUUACCUUGACCUGUCAGAAAACCAGUUCUCAGGUCAAAUUCCUCCUGAACUUGGUCAUUUGACGCUUAAUAUCCUCGAUCUAUCGUUCAACCAACUCUCUGGGAUGGUCCCCAUUGAGUUUCAAUAUGGAGGAUAUGAACACAGUUUCUUGAACGAUCCCAAGCUGUGUGUCAAUGUUGGCACUCUGAAACUCCCUAGAUGUGAUGCCAAAGUCGUUGACUCCGACAAAUUGUCAACCAAAUAUCUCAUUAUGAUCCUAAUUUUUGUUGUAUCUGGUUUCCUAGCUGUUGUUUUGUUCACCCUGCUCAUGGUUCAAGAUGAUAAUAGGAAGAAUCACAGUCGAGACCAUACACCUUGGAAGGUUACCCAAUUCCAAACACUAUAUUUCAAUGAACAGUACAUAUUGACCAGUUUGACAGAAAAUAAUUUGAUCGGACGCAGUGGUCAGGGGAAAUAUACCGAAUUGCUAAUAACUGUUCUGGUGAACUCCUAGCGGUUAAAAAGAUUUGUAAUAACAGGAGAUUGGAUCACAAGCUUCAGAAACAAUUCAUAGCAGAAGUCGAGAUAUUGGGCACCAUACGCCAUUCCAAUAUAGUGAAGUUGUUGUGCUGCAUAUCGAAUGAAAGCUCAAGCCUUCUUGUUUAUGAGUACAUGGAGAAGCAGAGUUUGGAUAGAUGGCUUCAUGGGAAGAAGCAGAGAACAACGUCCAUGACAAGUUCAGUCCAUAACUUUGUCUUGGAUUGGCCAACAAGGUUGCAGAUUGCUAUCGGAGCUGCAAAAGGCCUAUGCCACAUGCAUGAAAACUGCUCUGCCCCGAUCAUACAUCGAGAUGUGAAGUCCAGCAACAUCUUGCUAGAUGCCGAGUUCAAAGCAAAAAUUGCGGAUUUUGGAUUGGCCAAGAUGUUGGUCAAGCAAGGAGAGCCCGACACCAUGUCAGGAAUUGCAGGCUCUUACGGAUAUAUUGCCCCUGGUAAGACCAUCAAGGCCCUCCUUUCCACAUGUUUUCAUUUCCAUAAUUUAUCAAUAAUUUUUAUCAUACAAUUCUUGUAUACUUGGAUGAUAGAGUAUGCUUAUACAACAAAGGUGAACGAAAAGAUCGAUGUAUAUAGCUUUGGAGUAGUCCUGCUUGAGCUAGUGACGGGGAGAGAACCCAACAACGGGGACGAGCUCAUGUGCCUUGUAGAAUGGGCAUGGGAUCAGUUCAGAGAAGGGAAAACCAUUGAGGAAGUGAUGGAUGAGGAUAUCAAGGAACAAUGUGAAAGAGCACAAGUGACCACUCUCUUCAGUCUAGGCCUCAUGUGCACCACCAGAUCACCAGCCACUAGGCCCACAAUGAAGGAAGUUUUGGAAAUUCUUCGACAAUGCAGUCCUCAGGAGGGCCAUGGAAGAAAGAAAAAGGACCAUGAAGUUGCACCCUUACUUCAAAAUGGCACUUGCCCCGCUACUUACAAGCAUAACGAGAAGGGAUCAGACAAUGAGGAUGACGAUAAAUUAGUUUGAAAUUUACAGCUUGUAAAUAAGUGUAAGAAAGCUUGUAAAUUAAAGGUGGUAGUGAUCUUAGGAAGUGUGUUUAGCCUUUUUAUAAUACUUGAAAAAUAAAAAUUUGCAAGUGUUAAAAGGUUAAAAACACUGUUGGAGGUACCUAACAUCUGCAUAUCUUUAAUACACCACCUCCCAAAUGAGGUAAUUGGAAACGCACAAAAUCACCUCAUCCCAAAACUAGGACCAUAAAAGAAGACGACCUCUCGGUCCUGCGGGAUGACCUGACUAAUUGACCUAUGCCUAGAAAAACGAAUCCAACUACCCGUCUCCUCAUGUGCCCAAAAGUCAACCAUGCCUCUGAUAUGCUGCAAAAAACCAAUACUUCAUGAUCCUUCACAAGGAAAAGUGGCUAUAAAAGGGGAGCCUUUUCCUCCUCUAAUGACUCUCUCUCUCAGCCUCUAAAAGAAAGCUGUAGAAAAUGUAGAAAAUGCAUUUCUAUACCCGGAAAAUAGUGGAAUGAAAUCUCCAAUAUUUUCCUUGAAGAAUUUUGGAUUCUUCAUUGGCAUAAUGGAGGACCGAGAGUGAAGUUUAAUCAGUCCAAAGGGAUUUGGAUGUCAAUUCUAUCUUUGUUCAACAUCCAAUAUCUUCCACUAUAAGCAAAAACAACAGCAAAAACAUCAACAACAAAAUUUUCUAGGGGAGUUUUCCUUUAGUUUUUUCUUCUCCUUUUAUAAAUCUUCCUUUAAUCACUUUUGUUUUGCGUAAUAUUCAAGAAAAUGUCAACUUUGUAGCUUUAGGAAAAUGAGCAACUAACCUCUCGAUUAUCUCUUUGUUUUGGGUUUUUCUAGUACCACUUGUGAUUGGUUGUUCCUUAGAAUUGAAAACAAGAAAAUAUGGAUCGAAAUAGCAGCUCACAAGCCUUUGUUUCAUGCUAAGCAAUUCUUGAAUAUUAUGGAGUUCUAGGGAAACAUGUCCACUUGCAAUCUGCAGCUUCAGGUUUUAUGAUUUAGGCCUCAAGCACCAUGGUUUAGCCAUCUCAAUCAGUUGUUGAAGGGGACAAUGUCUAACCAAUUUCAAAGGGUACAACCUCACAAAUCCUCGAUCUCAAUAUCGCCUCAGGUAAAUAGAUAAACCUAGAAACCUAACCUAACAAAGGUACCUAUUCUUUAACCAAAUAGUUGAUCAAAAGCUACAAAUCUUUGAAGAAUGCAAUAUCCAAAAGCUAAAAAACUUUGCAGAAGUGUUUGUACUAUAUAAUCUCCACCUUGACUAUCCAGACAAUCUCCACCUCGACUAUCCAGGUGAUCUCCACCUUGAUUAUCCAGACAAUUUUCAUCUCGGGCAGUCGGAGGUACCUCAUUCUCAAAUACCAACAAAGUAACCCAAUUUGUACUUGUCAACCAAUACACAUAUCCUCACAAUUGAUUGUUUAACCCUUAUCAAAUCAACCACCCAAGAUAUGUUGGGCCUUGUUCAACUGGCUCAAGAGUUUGCCCAACCUCCCACCUGCUCAGCAUGCAUAUGUUAGAAAUGUCUAACUCCUUCUUUCAGAUAAAAUUGGUUGACAGUUUUAUGCUUGGUUGAAGCCACUCAUAUAGAAUUUGGGAGCCAUAACAAUUACCAACAAUGUAUGAAGGAGGCAAACUUUGAGGCACCUCAAAUAUUCAAGAGUUAGAUACAACUUAAGAGGUUAUUUAUCUUACCUAACCUCAACAGGAAGUCAUCAAAAAGCACAAGUACAAUCUUGAUGUCAACUCACAUACAUAUCAGCCAAAUGGAAGAAAGUCUUGUCACCUAAGCAAGCGAUCAACUAAAGUUCAGAUAAGUCUUCUCUAACAUAUUUAUCUUAUAAUCUUUGGUUAAUUUCAUUUGUUUCAUUUUACAAGGACUAAUUGUGAAAAACAAACACCUUUCAAGUUAGGAAAACCUUCCAACUAAAAAUCUAAGGUUGAAUUAGUCUCAAAACAAAAACUCUUAUUAAUAGUCUAGCUAAAAACAAACGGUCAAGGUGAGUGACCAAACAAAAAACCUCGACCUAAAACCCACUUCUGGCAUUAGUCCUCUCAAUUCUAGAUGUACUUUGUUGAACCAUCCCUGUGGUCAUACAUGGAAAUUACCUUGAUGCAAAACUGACCUCUCACUCUUCUAGAGAUGGAUCACCUGUGUGCUUUGUGGACCUUCAAGUAAAGGUCGCACUUGUACACAAGCUCUAUCUCUAGGUAUGAGUUAACUUUAUGCCAAACCAACCUCCCUCUAUGAGCAUGUGUUAUCCUUGUGCCAAAACCUAAGUGGUCAAUUCCAACAAUUCCAGUGUAUAAAAGAACUUAACCUGAAUAUUUUUCUACUAUCCACUCUAAAAGCAUUACAUGCAAACUAAAUGAUUGAACUUGCCUAUUGACUUGUGGCAUAAGAAUUAUUUCAGGGCAAAACAAGUUACGAAAUAAGUCCACCUCAUGAUUAGAUCACUUAAACAACAGAUCGAGAAACUCAAGCUAGCAAAUAAUGAUAACCUCUUAAUCAAGAGUAACAAGUUGGGGAACCUAGCUAGAAAGGUUGGCCCUAGCAGAAAGGCAUCCAAGACCCUUACCUCACAUAAGGGGAAGUGGGUGGGAAGAAAAAAACUAGGUCUCGAAUAAUGAAGUAUGACAUCAGAAUUUACAACAAACAACUUGGGAUUUGUGUGUUAUCUAUCUAUGUUACUUCCAAUUUGUGAUUGGAUACAAUAUGAAGGAAUCUCGAAAAAUAGCAUCACAAGACACAACCUUAUUAUUAGUUGGCCCCAAACUGAAAAUCAUUCAAAUGUGAAAGCUUUGAGUUGAACAAUGUUGGGACGUAAAUGCAAAAAAUUAUCUACGGAGGUUCAUUAGUUAAAAUUGCAAGUCAACUCAGCCUAAGAGGCAUCAAAGCAGUAGAACUGAGAAUGUGCAUCACCUACAACUUCCUAUUUAUUUCAAAAAAAACUACAUAUCCGUUAUGUGGCCUUAAAGUUCAACCUGCAUAAGAAACCCAAUCGAGCAUCUUUACCAUUGUUAGCAACUCAUGAUACUAGCUAACAAUUGUGAAUGACUACUCUUCUGAGUUUUCCCUAUUAACUUACAACGACCUACUAUCAUAUGGUUCUACUAAUUGUCUGGAUAGUCAAUACAUAGCUCCGCUAACUCUAUGAACUAUUCCUAAAAUAUUACAGCAACAACCCCCAACCAAGGAAAAAUGCAAACUACCUCGUUAAUGUAAGGUAAACACCUAAGGAAUCCUUGAUAAAAUUUGUUUAGUUAUUCAUAUCAGAAAUAGUGCAAGUAGAAAGCAAUGAUCAAAGAACUAUGACAAAGGCCUUUAGAAAAGCCUUGUCUACAAGAAGUCCACUACUUGGGUCAUUAGUAAGGGAUAACCUUCCCCACAUACCAGAUCAAGCUAGAUGAACAACUUGAAUUAAACCUUACAGAAAAAGCUACGAUAUCACAAUUCGCACAAUCAACACCUACCUACUUGACAAGGCUGAGGGAAAAAAUCAAGUGGCAAUCAAAUCAAUGUUAGUCACAACACAACUAGAAGAAAAGUUGGUUUGAUAUAGGAAGUUCAACCAAUAUAUUCUUUGACAACUUCUUUCAGCAAAUGAAUAAGUCAUGACUUUGACUCGAAUUGUAAGCUCUUAUGGAAAAUCUUCCAAUGCCUAGAUUAACUUGACCUUGGAGCAAAAGUAGAACUAAAGUCUCUUUCCUGAUGAAAAAGUCUCAGUCUCCUUACAACAUCAUUCUCAAGCAACAUUUUGUGGAUGCAGUAUCUCCAUCUUACAAUAAGAUGCUUGAGUUGGGAAAGAGAUCUAACAAUGAUAUUAUGCUUAAAUUCCAAAUCCAUCUCAACCUGAGAUAGCUCCGCAAAAAGGUUAACCAAACAGGAUGACAUACUCAUCCCCUAAUCUGGUUCAAAUGAGAAGAGUGCAUCAAAAACAACAAAGUAUCACCAAAAAAAUAACACAAAAUGAGGAACGAGUGGUAACUACAUUGACCUUAAUAAAGUUUGUCCUAAAAUUAGUUCUCCCCCGCCAAAGAUGGGCCAACUUUUGGACUCAAUAUCAUAACAUGAGGAAAAAAAGGUUCAAGAACCCUCAACCAUCUUGUGAGCUUACUCAACUAAAAGCAAAGGAGCAUUAAUCGUAAUGUUGAUCCAUCAAGAAUGAUAAACAAAAACUACAACCAAAAGGUAGAGACUCUUACAGGUGCUAAAACAGGUAUUCAAAAUAACCUCAUAAAAGGUGUGUUUGUGACCCCAACUUGAUGGUAGCAAAGUGCCCAAACCAUGAAACCAAGCACACCUAAAAAGGUACUAUGUCUAAACUAUAUAGCUAGUUUUAACAAUUUUGGAAUGUUUUAAUUACCUCAAUAAACUUCGCACCUUAUCUCGAUCCUCACGUAUGUGCUUGCUAAAGUGAAAUUUGCAAGAUUGAGAAAGACUGGGCAAUAAUCCUCUAGGAAGAGUUGUUCAUACAACUGAGAUCUAAGCCCUAUUACCAAAAGACAACCAAAGCCAAGCAAUUGGUUGAACCUCAUCUGGUCUAUAUUAAUUAGAAUUAUGAUCAAUUUUGUUAGCCAAGAACUAAAACAAUUAUCAUUUGGGACCAUUCACCUCUCUAAGAAGUCAAGGUCAUAAUUUGUCACUUCCUCUGGCCAAAUAAGUGGGUCUAUAAGCCUGCAACACUACACAUAUUUCCCCAAUCUUCCCUACCAUGUAUCAAACUAAAUUUCACUAAGCAACAAUUAGUACACAUUUUUUAUCACACAAAACCCACACAACAACAAAAAGUUGAAUAAGCCCAAUAAUUGGCACAACGCACAUAAAGUGUGGUCAUCAACACCCCACAAACAACAGAAAGAAAGAGAAAAAAAACUAACAUUGACACAAUUCAUCAAAGUUGCAAUCAUCAAAAUUAGCAAAACAAUGUAGCAAAAGAAAAAAACCCCACAUAAGCACCAUUCAUCAAAGUAUUCUCCUAAUGAAGUGUAAAAAAAUGGUCAUCCUCAUCAUAAUGGUCUAAAGUAUGGAAAAUACCGCCAUCAUCAAGGAGACUUUAGCAAAUGAGUUAUAACAAGUACAAGAGGGUCAUACUCUUUGCUCUUACUAGCAAGCCUAGUCUUGUUUAUAUUAAAGCUCUUGAUGCAAAGGCAUAUCAACCCCACACCUAUAAAUGAGGUAGAAAGAUUUGUAUCACCAUUUGAUUGUUCGCCUUGACCUGAUCAUCCAAUAUGCAUGGAAGCUGAUCAUUGGGAUCCUCAACACUUGUGAAUAAAACAAAAAUGAGUAAGACGUGUCAACCUCAUCAACAAACAUCAUAUCCUUGGCAAAAGUGGGAAUCAAACACAAAGAUUUUUUCUUUCUCGCCAUUCCUAGGGAAGAUCAAGACCUAAACCCACUCAUAGACACUCUUAUAUCAAAUACUAAGAGGAAUCAUGUGAUCCUUCGAAGACCCAACCUCAUCACAUGCAGAAUUGGGUCAUCACCAACUAAGCCCUGAUCAAUGCUUAACACUUAAGUGAAACAAAAGACAACUAAAUACAAACGAAAAGAAAGCUAGCGACAAGCAAAGAAACCACUUAAAAUGUCAAAACUAGACAAGCCAACGUCCUCAACUUGAGCUACAUCUAGUUGGAACUAUUUGAUUGAACUUAUGGCAUGACUUGAACUCAAAGCAAAGGUUUCCACACGAACAUUCGAUUGAGCUACUUACUCCAAUAUGACACCUCAAACAAGACUUUGUAAUACAAAACCAUAUCUCACAAUUGCAACACCAGCUAAAACAACAACAAAAUAAGCAUCAACAACAAAUGGAAAAUAUCCCGGCACGCCAAAAUGACCUCAUAGAUCAACUACAAAACAGCCUAGCCAAUUCACGGCCACUAGGCUAACCAAAUUGACGUUGGGAGGAAAGUGCAACGAGUUGCAUGCAUGAAGCCCCAUCAACCUGGGUUAAACCAAAAAAAACUAGCCAUCAUUAGCACACUAUCCGAGAUCGUUACAAAGUCCUACCCUCUUCUAGUCAUAGAAGAUGUCAGGACUUGGGAGGGACUAGAGGUACCAAAAAUUAACAUAUCUUUAAUACACCACCUCCCAAACAAGGUACAUGAAAAGACACAAAAUCAUCUCAUCCUAAAACCAAGACCAUAAAAGAAGAUGACCUCUCAGACUUGUAGGAUGACAUGACUACAAUCUUGAAGUUGUACUUCUAUAGUUGGGCCCUAAAAGAGAACCCGGUAGGGAGGAAGGGCAGCAUAUAAACCUUGUCCAAUGGGCAUGGUAGCACCUUUGAGGAAGAAAGUCGUUUGUGAAAGCAUUGGAUGAGAAGAUCAUGGCACAAUGCUACUUCAAAAAAAUGAGCACUAUAUUCCUAAUAAUCAAACUUAAUCAUGAAAACUUUGAAAAUAGUGAGAAUUCUCUUACCUACAAGUAUAAAGACAAAUAGACGGAAGGUAAAUAAAUCAUUAAUAGAACUUAAAAUAAUAAAUUGAGCAAAUAAACAUAUGGUAAAAUUGGAACUCAUGAUCCUCCUACUAAAUAAUACCAUAUUGGAUAACUAAAUUUUUUAAGAACUUAAACAUAAGAUUUGGAUCUUUAUGAUCGUGUAUCAUGCUUUCUAAUAAUAUAUUAAAUACUUUUCUAGAUUUUGUGUUGACUUGUGAUUACUUCUCUAAAUCAAUUUUUCAGCAUCCUAUAUAUAUGUAUUUGUUAGGAUGGAUCAAUUUUUCAGAAUCAAUUAUCAAAGAAUGCAAAAAUAUAACUCCUCAUAGAGUCUCUUGUUUUUCCUCUACGACUUAAAAGAAGUCCUUAGUGCUUUCACAAGGAAAUAGGAUAAUUUUUUUUAUCUUCAAACCUGCACAAAGAUAUGGAAACCAUAUCAUUGAAAUAAUUAAAACGGAAAACAACUGGAAUCAAAGUGCUAUUGCCUUAUUUUUUUUAAAAAAAAAAAUCUUGGGCUUUAUGCAAAACUAAACAUUAGUUGCCUAAAUCUCCUUAAUUGGAAUACUAGAUGGGUGUAUCAAUUCAACUUGACACCUUCUUCCAUAAAUACCAAAAAUGAUAUUUGUUUUGGGAACAAGACUAGAGUUUUGAGCAGAUAUAAUACAUUUAUGAAAAAAAGAUAAUAAAAUGGAUUUUCAACUAAAAUAAUUCCCAAGCUAGUACAUUUCAACUAUGUGCGUAUCCGUAUGGCGUGAGAAUGUUUUUUUUUUUUAUAUGUUCUUUUAUAUCACAACUAUAAUUAGUAACUAGGAUUUUGAUUUUUUUAACAUAAAAUCAUAGAUAGAUAUUAUAAUUUUAAAUUUAUUUUUAAAAUCACAGUCAUCAACUAUAGUUUUAAGUUUAAAUUUAAAAUCAUAGUUAGUAACUAUUAUUUUAACCAUUUUCCAAAAAAAAUCAAAAUUAUAAUUAAUAACUACGAUUUUAUGAUAUGAAACACUCCAAUUUGAAAAUUAUUUUGAGAGGGGAUCUACUUUGUAGAUUUUUAUUUUAAAAAAAAUAAAUUAUUUUUCCUCAAACCUCAAAAAACAAACUUGUUUAGAACUAAAUUCAAUUAUACACUUCUCUAAUUUUUCUUUACCCUAAUAGAAGAUCAAUUCCAUUUUAUCACUUUUCCACCAGAAUCCUCAUGACUACUUGUAGAAUUCUUGAGAUGAAAUGAAAGAGUGGUAUGAGAUGCUUGUUUAAACUUUAGUUUCAAUCUCGAUCAAUGUUGUCCAUUCCCUUAGCUGUGCAUUAUUCCAAUGCCAGUUUUCCUCCAUAAACUCCAGGUACAAGAUUAGAUUCCGUGUGGAAUGGAUCCUGUUGUGAGACUUGACCAUCAAUAUCCUUCUCUCCAUUUGUGGGGUACUGCCCACUUGAUCACUGCUGUGGAAAUCUGACUAACACACCCAAAUUCUCAACAACCCAAAACCACAGAUUCCUGCAUCCUUCCAUCCAUCUUUCUUUAAGUAAGAUAGACAUCCAUUUGGUCUUUGUUUUUCAUUUAUUUCACUUUCUCCCAAGAAUACUAAUCUUGUCUUUAUUGACUGAUUAGUUUCAUUAGAGAUCAUCCAAGCAAAAGAAUAUCACAUUUUAUAUUAAAAAAAAAAAAAGUAUUGAAUAUAUUAGAAAGAUAUCAUCCUCGAAAAGUUGGAAAUGUAAUCUUGUGCAAGGAAAGGAAACAAGGGAGAGUCUUAAAUAAAUUGUUUCCAAAAGAGACCUAAUGACCAAUGUCUUUAGGGGUGUAUCCUUCAUGUAUAUAAAUAAGAAUUGAAAGCGAGGGAAUAUGGAAGUUUAGGGACAAGAUUUUGUUUUCUAUGAAUAAAUUAAAUGUGGCUUCAUGACUUCCAACCCUUACUUCGUCUUUCUCCACAUUAAAUAGCCCUUUUGAAAGUAUCAGUGGAGAUUGGCCCGAUUCCAAUGGAAUCGAUCACCUUUUCCAUAAUGCAUAGUUUGAUUAUGUUAGGAUGAUUAGGUCACCAACCAUUUGCUAAGCGUCAUAUCUUUUUUCUACACCAACUCAAAAACCCCACUUGGCCAAUAUGUUUUUAUUUUUUAAAACCAAUAUAAAUAAGGCAUUAACACAUCCAUUCUCAUGUUCCUCUACCUAACGUUAACCAUUUUCAUAUCUCUAGCAUAUCUCCACCCAUAAUAUCUAAAUUUUGAAGUGAUUCUAGUAAAAAUACUUUUUAAAAAAAUACUUUAAUCAAAAACACAUCAAACAAAAAUACUAUCAAACGCACUUUUAAUUUAUAUUAUUUUUUAUCAGUAACACUUUUAUUAUAAAAAAAAAAAUACUUUUAGUGGUAAUCAUUUAAUAUUUGAAUAUACAAAUAAAAAAACCUUUUUUAUAAUAUAUUAGAAAAAAAAUGGUUUUUAAAAGAAACAUCCAUCAAUAUAUUAUAUCACAAAUUAUUGUCUUUAAAACCUAAUUUUUAUUAUUAAAAAAAUGCCAAAAUUACUACCAAAUCAAUUCUAAGAAUAGUUUGAAAAUGGGUUGAACUUUUAUAUUUAUCAAGAAAAAAUUGUAGAAGUAACCACUAUCUUUGAAAAUUAUAUGUCAAAAAUAUUUUUAUUAAAGAGAAAGAUAAUUAUAAUAAAGCUAGUUGUCAUUACUUUUCAAUAACACAAAGAAAUCAUAUGGAGCUUAUAAUCAAAAGUUCUUUUCAAAUGACUAACAAAGGUUUUUAUUCCUUGAGUUGUUUUUACUACUAUUUUUAUCAUUUACCUAUGUUAUUAAUGGUGAUUAAAUGAUAAAAAAAAUAUUUAAUGCAUAUUAAUUUCUUUUCACAUCCAAUUUUCAAGUGGAUGUGCUAUAAAAAUGUUGUAAAAUAAUUUUUUUUAAAUAACAUUUUCAUGUGUGAUUUUUUAUUCAUAAUUAGUUACAGAAAAAACUUAAAAUGCUUAGGUAUUAUUAAAACGACUCCAUUUCAUAUUUGACACCAACACAUGUUAUUUUAUCAUCUAAUAUUGUUAUAUUAAAAAACACUCAAUUUAACAUGAAUAUUAUUAUUAUUAUAUAUUUAAAAUUAUUUUAAUCUUUCUAUUUAAAAAAAAAAAAAAAUUGUAUGCAUUAUCCAUAUUCCCAUGAAAUCCAAACGUGUCCCAUGAUUGUAGACUAAUUCGUCUAUAGUGUGGACGCAAUGACAAGUCAGAAGUCUCCCAUUUCUUUUCUAGUCAAUGGGCAUGUUCCACAUUUAUUUAUGAUAUUUCGGAUUACACGAAGACUUCCAAAAGCAAUUGGUUUGAUAAGCUUCAUGGAAUCUGAAGAUAAAGGAGGAUGCUACUUCCACAUUCUUUAACCGAGCGUAUCAACCACGCUCUCUCUAAUUUUUCCAUAUUCUUAAUUUCUAAAAAAAAAAAAAUUCAAUAUGGUAUAUCUAUUUUAAAAUUAUCUUUUUGAUAGAUAUUUUAUAAAUUAUUAUAAAUUUUAAAAUAUUUUUUCAACUAUUAUCCAUCUCAAAUUAUUUCUAUAAACUACCUUUUUUUUUUAUUUUAUAUUAUCUAAUUUAAACAGUAACAAGAUGAUUUCACAUAUGUUUUUUUAAGUAUUAUUAUGUGUGUCAUUUUAUCUUAAUUUCAUUCGUUUGCAUGUUGGACUUACAACAUAAAUUUCAUUACAUAUAUUCAACCAUUUAGAAUUUUUGUUUGAUAUGUAAUACUCUACCCGAAUAUGUUCUCAAAUUAUGUAUGUUAUGGGGAUAUAUAUAGAUAUAUUAUGGUCUAUUCCAUUUCCAUCACUUCAUGAGUUUCCCCUAAUCCACUUACUCCACUCUCAAUAAUGAUGAACUAUAUCUUGAAAGUGAAGUUGGCUUCACUCAUCCCCCAUAAAAGACCUAUCCUCAGGAGUCAAGACACUCGAAUUUGAACUUGAAGAGGAUAGAUCCCUGACCACCACCAUCUAUUGUCUCCUAAUAGGGGAGAUAUUAUUAGCCUUUUUUUAUUCUUUUACCCCACCUUAACCAAAAAAUAAGAUAAUCUUAUUACAAGAUUAUAAAAGGAACUUACUUUUCUUUAUUUAUGAUAUUUUUCUUUAAAUAAUUCAACUUUAUUAAAGCUAAGUUAGAUGUAAAUUCUGAUUAUUCUACUUUUGACCAAAUCAUAGCGGUGACCAACACUAGCUAUUAAAAAAUUAAAAUAAGUGAAAAAAAAACACUUUUUUUUUUUUACUUUUAUUUUUUAGCAUUCAAUUGUUAGAGCUUCAAAACAAUGAACUAAAAAGAUAAAACUAAGUGCAAGUUAAAAUAGAGAAUAAGGAACUCAAACAUUUUAUAAGACAUACUUGACUAACAUAAGUGAAAAUAAUUUUUUUUAAAAUAUAGUUCUUGCUUUGUGUGAAACAAAGUAGUAUUAUUUUUAUAUUUAUUUCAUGUUAUCCAUAAAACAAUACAAAUAACUUCAAUAGUUUGAGUGCUCUCCAAUUUUUAAAAUUCACUCUCACAAUUUCAAGCUAUAUUUGCUAAAGCUAUACGUUGGAUUUCUAAAAAUGAGGGAAUAUAUAAGUUAAUGGAUGAAGGUUUGAUUUUAACAAUAAGGAUCGUGUUAUUGUGCUCAUACAAUUCGAACCAAAAUAUACGCAACAACUCUUAAAAGUAAUGAUGUAAUGUUACUUAUGUUGGAUUUUAUGAAAAUAUCAAUAAAAAUACUUAUAUUCGUGUAAAUUUUUUGUGGUAUCUUAUAAACAUUUUAUGUUUUAUUGCUUUAUAUAUAAAUCUAAUUUCAUUUCAUUCAUCUAUAUUUAUCUUAUCUAUUUAUGCUUUAACCCCAUAUAUUUUUAUUUUCAUUCAAUAUAAAUUUUAUUAUAUAUUUUCAAUGAUAAAAACAGAUGUACAUUUAAUACCCAAACUUUUUCUAACAUUAAAGUAAAUAUAAUUUCACGAAUUUCAUAUUUUCUAUCAUCUUUACCAAAAUAAAUCGAAUGGGGUUGAUCACUUUUUUCCCAUUCCAUGAUUUGAUUGCGUGAAGAUGAUUCCAUCACCAACCAUUUACUAAGAUGUGACACCCAUUUUCUACACCAACUCAAACACUCCCCUUUUGUUAAUAGCUUUUAGCCGAUAGAAAGAAGUGAACAAAACCGUUUUCACAUUUCACCUACCAAGGCUAAGAAAUAUAAAUAGAAAUAGAAAUAAUUACUAUUUGUUAAAUAUAUAUUUUAUGUUUUAAAUAUAUAUUUUUAUUAAAAAUAAAAAUAAUCAUGAUAUUAAUUUGUUAAAAUUUACUCUUACAUCAUCUAAUAUAAAUGAAUCAUGUACGAAAAUGCAAGAAUUAUGAUCAAGAGUUCCAUCCAGCCAAUUAUAAAAAUGAUGUUUUACCUUUAACACAGGCUCUUCUAAUUCAAAUCUUUAUUCAUUUUCUCUUAUUGUUAUUAUUUAAAUAUAUGAUUAAUCAUGAUUAGAUAUUACAAAAACUUUCAUAUUUAAUAUAUUCUUUUAUCAUCGAUUAAGUUUGAACUUUUUUUUUGUUUGUGUAUAUCUUUAUACUUUUUCUUCUUACAAUUUUUUUUUUCACAUUUUAAUAUUUUUAUCAUAUACCAAAGCUUCAUUUAAAAUUUUCGUGUUUUUGAUCAUUUUUUAUUUGUAUAAAAAUUUACAUGAAUAUAAAUAUUUUUAUUGAUAUUCUGAUAAAAUCCAACAGCAGGGACAUUUCAUCAUUGCUUCUUGAGGUGGUGCGUGUAUAGUGCAUAUAGCAUGGGAAUAAGGACACGUCUCCUUUCUGACUAUUCAAUUCAAUGCCCUUUCACAUUCAUUUAUUAAUUGUUUGGACUAUAUGAAGACUUGUGAAAGCAACCUUCCCCCGUUUUCUUGACGCAAGCUGCUACUUCCACGUGAGCAUGCCAAACACGCUUAGGGCCUGUUUGUUGGUGUUUUCAAAUACAUUUUUGGAAACAGUUUUUAGUGUUUUCAGAAAUAAAAUUAUAUUUGAAAACUAAAUUCUAAAAAAUAAUUUUUAUUCUCGAAAAUAAAAAGAAUAAAAAAACAUGUUUAGUUCAAUUAAUAAAAAUAAUUUUUAAUAACAAAUAAAACAAAAAAACUUGUUUGGAAAAUAUUAUUGUUGGUUUUGUUUUUUAAAGUCGAGUAUUUUAUUUAACUAAUUGAUGUUGUAAAUAUAUAAAUAAUUUUUCUUCAUAAAAAUAAAAAUGUUCCAUUUUGAACAUUUUUUACAUCAAUUUUAAUUUUUUUAAACAAAUUAUUACUUUGUAAACAUGUCUAAAUAUGUUUGAUUUCAAUAAUUGAUAAACCAUUUUAUCAAAAUAUCAUAAAUCGAUAAAUAUCAAUAAUUAGAUUUUAUGAAGAUAAAAUUUAUGAUAUCAAAUAAUAAUGCAUUAUACUUGGAAAUUGAUGAUCUAUCUUUUCUACUAAUAAUAUAUUUAUGAUAAUUUUUUAUUUAAAAAUAUUUAUAAUUUUAUUUUAAAUUAAAUUUUAUUUUAUAUUUAAGAAUUAUAUAAAAGAUAAUUUUUUUUAAAGUAAAUCAAACUAAUUUAUUUAUAAAAAUUUAUUAAUUUUUACUUGGAAUCCUUGUUCUCUUUUCUCUCCUUCUCCUCAUAUUCUCUUUGUUUCUCUUCCAAGACUCAAACUUUUAUUCAGUGAAAUUGAAUUAUUUCUCUCCUCAAAUAUCAACUCAAUAAAGUCAAAAGUCAAAAUCUAGAUCUAUGAUUGUUGUAAAGAUUCUUGGUUACGAUUUCAUCUUUUAUGUUAUUGUUUAUGUUUUUGUUUGGUUUUUGAGAAAUCCUAGAAUUUAUGGAAGUUUCAGCUUUGAAAUGCAUUAAAAAAAACAUAUUAGGAUAAAAUCCCAAAAUAUCCGAAAAAUAUUGAAAUGGAAAUAAAGAAAAAAUAAAUAAAAAUAAAAAUUGUCGAUUAAGUUGAAUUUUUGUUAAACCGAAUUUUCAAUUUUCUAAUUUUUCCCAUUUUCCUUGGCAGUAUAAAAAAAAAAAAGAUAUAACAAUUUUUCUUUUUCUUUUUUAACUUCACAACACAAAAAACAUCAUUUUAAAACCAAGUUUUAGAAAAUUGAGAACAAAAAAACACUCUCUUAUCAAACAUGAUUUUUGUGUUUUUUGUUCUAAAAAAAAAACAGUUUUUGAAAACACUAACCAAACAAAUCCUUAAUGACUCAUUUUUCUUUUUUCUUUUUUACUUAUUUGUUUAUUCUGUUUUCUGUUUUUAUUUAUAAAGAAAAUAAAAAUCAAGUUUAAAACACAUGUUUAGAUAUUAUUCUUAAUUUUCAUUCUUGAAAAAUUGAGUUCAAAAAAGGUCAAAAAUGAAAAUAAUAAUUUGGUGCUUUUAAUUUUUUUUUUUAUGGCAAUGUUUUUCAAUCUAACAUAAAAAUAGAAAUAUUAUCUUUAGAAUUAAUUAUAAAAUUAUAGUCAAUAAUUUUGUACAUUAUUUUAAAAUAAAAAUAUAAUCAAAUACAAAAUAAUAAAAUAAAACAAGGAACAAAUAUGAUAUAAUAACAUAUAGUAGCAUAUAAUAUAUAAUGUAUAAUAUCAAUAAAUAACAACUAAUAAAAUUAUUAUAUAUGUUAUAUUGUAUGCGCAUGAGGUUUUUGGUAAAUCAAUUUAAUGUUUUAAAGUGACUUCAUAACUUGAUUUAAAUUAUUAAAUAAAUUAAAAUUUUGAUAAAAUAAUUUAAUAUCAGAAUUUAAAAUAAAAAUAAUUUUAAGUGUUAAGUCAAAAUAGUUAAUUUAUUCUUAAUGUCAAAUCAUUUUUAUUAGAUUUUUACUUUGUUUGGUAAAAUUGAGUUAAUAUUUUGAAAUUAUCAAAUUUACAUAUUUAUUUUUCUUAAUUUUAAGUAAUAAAUUUAUUUGUUACACGUUUCCAAAUAUAUAAAAUAAUUACAAUAAUUACUAAAUAUUUAGCUUAAAGAAAAUGAGUCAUGGAUAUAAGUCAUGCAUAUUAUAUAAAUUAGUAUUACAUGUGUGAGUAAAUAAGAUAGAAAUGAUUUAACAUUCAAAAUAAAUUUAUUAUUUUAAUUUAAUAUUUAAGAAUUAGUUUUAAUAUUUAAUAACUCAAAUUAAGUUAUUAAUCCAUUAUAUUGAUUAAUUUAUCAAACACCUUUUAAAAAUCUUUUUUUUUAGUGCCCAAAAAUAAAAUCAAUAAAAUUAUAUUAGUUUUUUGUUCGUCUCACGAUUUAUUUUAUAUGUUGAUCUUACAUUCCAAUUAUUGAUACUUUAAUAACAUACAUUUUGUAUCACCGUGAAAUCAUCUAAACUUAACCUUGCACUGUUGGUACUGAACAACUCCGUGUGUUACAUGCUGGAUGGCCUAGAAUUUUCCUUCUUCCUGUGGUUAGUUGCAAUAGAUUUUCCGGCACUGCAACGUUGGACACGACAGUUGAAGGAGCGCGGACUUAAAAGUAAAAGUGACGUGGAAAAUGAGAGAAAAGAUAUAAAAAGAAUAUGCUGAGGUCACAUUGCCAUUGUCAAUCGAAUCAUAAUUGUGGAAAUGAAUUCUCUAGUGGACCAACCAGCAGCGUGUUGAGUGGCACCCCGGCGCCCACGCCCCAUUGGUCAGCUUGCUUUUGUGGUGUGCAAGGUUUAUUCCAAACCUUUUGAUCAGUGGUUAUACAAGUAGCACAAAUCCGUGUGAGUAGCACAAAACACUGAGUUCAUUGGUCGUGGCUCCUUCGCAAUUAAUUCCAACAAGCAGGUCAGUUUGUAAAAUUCAGUAUAAUAAAUUCUGUCAGCGCCCCAGAUUUUGAAAUUGAACCGUUGGUUUCCACCACAUUCCCAGCAUUCUUCCUCCCAACUUUUGCCCGGCCAUCUUCCUACCUCCUCACAGAGAAUCCGGUAACGAACUCAACGUCACAAAAUGCCGAAACUACCCUUUUUAUUUGCCACAAUUCCAUUUCCCGACCAUCUUCCUCCCUUCUCACAUAGAAGUCGGUAACAAACUCAACGUCACAAAAUGCCGAAACUACCCUUAUUAUUUGCCACAACUCCAUUCCCCACCCUGUUCUUCCUCCUCAUCCUCUCCAUAUUUCAGGUAAUUUCUCAAAAUUUGGACGAUGAACGAUCAAUCCUACUAGACGUUAAACAACAAUUGGGCAAUCCACCGUCACUCCAAUCGUGGAAUUCCUCAUCCUUGCCUUGUGAUUGGCCGGAAAUUACAUGCACCGACAAUACCGUCACUGCAAUUUCACUCCACAAUAAGACCAUCAGAGAGAAAAUUCCAGCCACAAUUUGUGACCUCAAGAACCUCAUCGUACUUGACCUCUCCAACAAUUACAUUGUCGGUGAGUUCCCGGAUAUUCUCAAUUGUUCCAAGCUUGAGUAUCUGCUCUUGUUGCAAAACUCCUUCGUAGGUCCAAUUCCAGCUGAUAUUGAUCGACUUUCACAUCUCCGGUACCUAGACCUCACCGCAAACAACUUCUCUGGAGAUAUUCCCGCAGCAAUUGGGAGGCUACGGGAACUGUUCUACUUGUUUCUGGUUCAAAAUGAGUUCAACGGCACCUGGCCAACGGAGAUAGGUAAUUUGGCGAAUCUUGAACAUUUGGCCAUGGCCUAUAAUGACAAAUUCCGGCCUUCAGCCCUUCCAAAAGAGUUUGGCGCAUUGAAAAAGCUGAAAUAUCUGUGGAUGACGCAGGCGAAUUUGAUUGGCGAAAUACCGAAGAGCUUCAACCAUCUGUCGAGUCUAGAACACUUGGAUCUCUCACUCAACAAAUUAGAAGGUACGAUCCCUGGAGUCAUGCUUAUGUUGAAGAAUUUAACCAAUUUGUAUUUAUUCAAUAAUAGAUUGUCCGGCCGCAUUCCUUCAUCCAUAGAAGCUCUCAACUUGAAAGAAAUUGAUCUUUCCAAGAACCAUUUGACGGGGCCAAUACCAGAGGGUUUUGGGAAGCUACAAAAUUUGACCGGUUUGAAUCUUUUCUGGAAUCAGUUGUCAGGAGAGAUACCAGUAAAUAUAAGCCUCAUUCCUACACUAGAAACUUUCAAAGUUUUUAGCAAUCAAUUGAGUGGAGUUUUGCCUCCAGCAUUUGGCCUUCAUUCAGAGCUCAAACGUUUUGAGGUUUCCGAGAAUAAACUAAGCGGGGAAUUACCUCAACAUUUAUGCGCUAGGGGGGUUUUGCUUGGAGUGGUUGCUUCCAACAACAAUCUCAGCGGGGAAGUGCCCAAGUCUCUCGGGAAUUGCAGAAGUUU
rnacentral:lncRNA from 1 species